UAUUCAAAAAAAAAUUAAUUCUAUGAAUUAAAAUUACUUACCUCCCCGGCAACGGCGCCAAAAACUUGUUGUGCAAAUUUUAAUGUACUCGCAAGCGCACGAAUCUAUUAUAGUAUAGAUCAAUGGUGACGAGUGUCGAUCCCACGAGGAGGUGGAUUUUAAUUGUGUAGAAUUAAUUUUGUGAAUGGUUGAUUGGAUUUGUGGUGGAAAUGAUUUGAAAUAUGCUACAACUUAAAUUAAAAUGGCGAGAAUAAAUUCUAAAAUUGGUAUUGAAAUGGCGGGAAGAAAUUGAAGAGAAUUCUAUUGAAAUGACGUACUUGGGUAUCUGGAUCCGUAUCAACAUGCAUCAUGAGCUAAAUAUUCCUUAUUAAUACCAAUUAAGUCAUGAGGGGGGAAUCCACACCUCAUGAACCAUGCUCUAAUCAAUAUGGUGCUAAGGGCUUAUCGUGCCAAAUAAUAAUAAUCUUAUACUAGAGGGCCGGUGAAACCAAGGCGGUACUAGACAAGAUUAAUAUUAUUUGUCGACGAGAAGUCAAAACAUCCACAAAAACUAGAGGGGAUGAGAAAAUAAAUUUACCAAAUAAAGCCCAUGACACAUGUUGAGACUUCACCUUCAACCCAAGCUUGAAAGAAAAUUAGCCACUCAUAAUUGAACUAGGGGCAAAAUGGGAAUUUAUUAAAAUACGAAGAAAAUACAAGAUGGAGAAGGAAUUACAGAAAAUGGAUCCCAAAAAUGGAUUCAGAGAUAUCAAAUUAGGGGGGAGAGGCCCCCUUUUUAUAAAUACAUGGAGUAAAUCAUGGCCAUCGGAUUAAAAACAGUUUGGACGCUCAGGAUUGCGCCACGUCAUCAGUCAACAGUCCACGGUUUGACCACGCGGAUGAACAGUAACACGGUUUGACCCGACUUUGAACAGUAACGCGGUUUGACCCGGAUGAACAGUAACGCGGUUUGGUUGAAAAUAAUCCUGUGUGAUGCAUGCACCGUACACGAGAUUUUUCGUCCACUGAUAUGCUGCCACGUCACCAUCAACAGUACAUAAGAAUUUUAGUCCAACAGGAUCGUGACACCUCAUCAGUCAAUGCCACAUCAUCGGUCAAUGCCACGUCAUCAUCCGUCUAUGUGAACAGUGUCGUGAACAGUAACGUAGACAGUACCGUACACGUGAAUAGUACCGUACAUGUGAAUAGUGCCAUUUUUCCUUUUAUGCUCCUCCUAAGGUUUUUAACCGUUCUGAGUUCAAAAGUGAUGUCCGUUUUGCCGUCUGAUUUCUCCUUUAUUGUGAAAUGACUAUAAUGCCCCUAAAAUACAUAAAAUACUUAAUUAAAAUAAAACACAUGUAAUUAAAUCACAAGAAGGUUAAAUACAUAAAAGUAAGGGUUGUUAGUAAGACUUGAAAUGUAAAAUGACGGUUUUCUCCUUUAUAAAUAUGCGUUUUCUAACACUCAACAUGCCACAUCAUUGAAUGGGUCAUAUUUAGGUUUAAAUAAUAGAUUAGAUUAUAGGCUGAAAUCUUGGUCAAUGAGAAACAAUUAAAAUUGCUUCUCUCUCUACACACACAUAUUAUUAUUACAUUAAUUUUCUCUCCAUCAAUAAAGUGAGUCACUCUAAAAGGGUUUAGAGAUAGAAAUUAAUUUUGCUAACUUUUAACUUUUGCAGUGAGAUUUGAUCAAGGAAAUUAUAAUGGAUCAAGGUAUAUCUUAUUUUAAUUUUGGUGAUGUGAAAAUCAUGAUACUCUAUGAUCUUGGGAAUUGAAGUUUGUCCAAAUUACGGUUUAUUUGCCUAUGAGAAUUGUAGAAAAUUCCAAACUCUUGUUUAACCAAAAACAUUUUUCUAACGAGUUGAUUUUUUUUUUUUUUCCAUCCAUUGUCUAGUAGAUUCUUGGUGCAUAUGAUUGGUCUGGAUGCAACCCAAUGGCUCCAGAAUUUUGGAAAUUUCCUUCAUUUUUCCUCAUAAAAUCCAGGUAAUUAGCACAUUGAUUUUGAAAAAUCGUUCCAAACAUCAUUAUUUUCAAUGGCUAUGAGCUUUCUUUUGAAUAUGUGGUUAUGAGGUUGAGGAUGUUGAUGAUAAUAUUGCAAAUCUAUUGAAAAUAGUUAUUAGACUAAUAAUGUAAGGUUGAGAGCAACCAUCCUCUUGAGGUUUUGCAUCCUAGUUAGCUAUAUGGCCAGUAAUGCUCUGAGUCACUUUCCACGGUGAAUAAAAUUACUGUGACACAACUUUGUGUUCACAAAUCACCAACCAUUUAUUCUCACUUGACAUGAGAAAUGAUACCUUGUGACUGGUGACAAUGAUACUCGAACUAAUGAUAAGCGUAGAAAAUUAAUCAUCAUAACCCUUAAUUUUGUUUUUGAUAUAGCCACCACUACUACUCAGCAGAGAAUUAAAAAGAUUGUGGAGGCUUAAGAUUGGAGAUUAUGGGAUAAAAAACGAUCCAUACAUAUUCAGGACAAAGAACUUUGCAGGUAGGCAAAUUUGGGAAUUUGACCCUGAUGCAGUCUCCGUUGAAGAGCUAGCUGAGGUUGAAGAGGCUCGGUUAAAUUACUUCAAAAACCGCUUCAAUGUUAAAAAUUCUUGUGAUCUCCUUUGGCAAAUUCAGGUAUUUUAUUUAAUGCACAACUACAAUGAAAAGAUGAUUCAUCUAAAUUAUACAUAAUUAAAAAUAUGCACGUGUUAUAAAAUCUUAAAAAAAACAAGUAAAUUUAGGAUGAGUUGAGAAUCCGUACGGCGGAUUCAUGUUGUCUUACCUAACUAAUUUUGGUCUUACGUUAAAAAUCUUUUUAAAUAUGUCGUCGAAAAGACAAGUAAAUUUAGGAUGAGUUGACAAUCCGUACGGCAGAUUCAUGUUGCCUUACUUAACUAAUUUUUGUCUUAGGUUAAAGGGGACCUGUCUACCUUACAGAUUCUGUAACAUACGCACCCAAUGCAUGCACCACACCUGUCCUGCGUAUGGAGAAAAAGCAUGCAAUUGUUUUUGUUUGGUAGCUAGCUAACCAAUCAGGAGCUGGCUAAGUUGGAUCUGUAUGUUACAGAAUCUGUAACUUAGCCAGCUCCUAGGUUAAAGAUCUUUUAAAUAUGUCGUCGCACAUUUAUUGUCAUCAACAUUUUCUUUGUUUGCUUUAAGAUCACCUUUAAGGCACUAACCACUAAAUUCUCUAGAUUUUUAAGAAUUAUUUUUAACAUAGUGCACAUUUUUGUAGUAUAUGAUUGUUUUUGUGAAUUAAUUAUCAUGAAGACUAUUCACCUAAACAGAAAAAAAUUUUAUUAAAUAAAAAAGUUGGAAAAUUUUAGGGGGAGAAAUAACGGGCUUUACUCCUCAAAAAUAAAAUAAAAUAAAGCUAAGACAAACAAUAACAUAAAAGUACAAAUAAAGUAGCAUGCUAAGAGAAUCUGUAGCUUAGAUAUCCAUUGACAUAUCUAGAAAUAAGGCUCAGUGUAGAAGGAGGAGAAUCCUACCAAAUGAGGGAAGAAUGUUAUAAUCCCAAACUCGAACCAAACAUCACUUGAGGGAAGAAUCUUAUUUUUUCUUUAUUUUUUUAAGUCAAUCAAAUCAAAAUUGAUAGUUGACAAAAAUUAAAACAAAAAGAUAAUACAUCUAAAUCAUAUAUGACUAAUUAUGUGCAGGUGUUAUAAAAUCCUCAUAAGAUAAGCAAAUGUGAGAUGUGUAGAAUAUCCGUAGACAGAUUUAUGUCAUUUUUUCCUUUUAUUAAUGCUUCGACUAAUUUGGCCGGCGGAGUUACUUUUGCUAAUUAUUGUACCUAACGAAUUUUGCCAGACAUUUAUUGCCAUCAACAUUUUUCUUUGUUUGCUUUAAUAUUAACUGCCAACUGCUAACUGCUAACUGCUAACUACUCUCGAUUCUUUUAAGAACUGUUUUGAAAUGACACCCAUUUUUGUAGUAUAUGAUUGUUUUCGUGAAUUAAUUAUCAUCAUGACUCAUCAUCUAAACAGUUUUUCAUUAUGAUAUGUGUGUAUAUAUAUACACACACAGAGAUACAUACAUACAUACAUACAUACAUACAUACAUACAUACAUACAUACAAACACACACACACACAAACUUAUAUUUAAGCAGAGAUGGACCUACAGGCUAGCCCGGAAAAAAUUCACUAAUACCCCUUAAAAUUUUUUCCUUUUGUUUAAUAUUGCCGUAUAGCUUUUAUUUUUAUUUUUACAAAUAUAUCCCCAAUUCAACUCUAUUUUUUAUCCCCACUAGAGUCAGAGACUUAUUUUACAACAUAAUUAAAUUAUAUAUUUAUUGAAUGAAUUGAAAUCAUAAGGAGCUACAAUGAUACUACUAUUUUAACUUAUUAUAAAAAAUGUUUUGAUUUUGUCUAAGUGAAAUAAAAUUAUACUAGUAUAGUAUAACAUCUUCGCUAGUAUUACAAAGUUACAAAUCGACAUACAAUAAUAAUUAAUAAUAUUUUCAUAAUUUAUUCCCUUUACAGUCUUACUUACUCUUUUUCUUUUCAACCGUGUAUAAAAUUACUGUGACAACUAACUUGUGUUGACAGAAUCACCAACCGCUUGUUCUCACUUGACAUGAGAAUUGAUGCCUUGUGACUGGUGACAAUGUUACUUGAAUCAAUGAUAAGCUUAUAAAAAUAAUCAUCGCAACCCUUAAUUUUGCAUGUGAUGUAGCCAGCACUACUACUACUCAGCAGAGAAUUAAAAAGAAUGUGGAGGCUUAAGAUUGGAGAUUAUGGGACAAAAAAUGAUCCAUACAUAUUCAGCACAAACAACUUUGCAGGUAGGCAAAUUUGGGAAUUUGAUCCUGAUGCAGGCUCCGUUGAAGAGCUAGCUGAGGUUGAAGAGGCUCGGUUAAAUUACUUAAAAAACCGCUUCUAUGUGAAAAAUUCUUCUGACCUCCUUUGGCAAAUUCAGGUAUUUUAUUUAAUGCAUAACUGCAGUUUUUUUUUUUAAUUUAUUUGGUCAUUUGAUUGACAAAACAUGCAUAAUUUUUUAUUAAUUAAUUGCAGAUUUUAAGAGAGAAGAAAUUCAAACAAACAAUUCCGCAAGUGAAAAUUGGUAAUAAUGGAGAGGAGAAAACAACUGAAAUUGCCACAACCGCGUUGCGGAGGGCAGUUCACAUAUUUUCAGCCUUGCAAUCUUGCCAUGGCCACUGGCCUGCUGAUAAUUCUGGCCCCUUGUUUUGCAAUACCCCAAUGGUAAUUAAUUCACAAUUCUCACAAAUUUACAGUCACUAUCUUAUAUUCUUUUAUUCAUUUAACUAUUAAUUAAUCUAGUUUUAAAAUUUAAAAAUGUGUAGGUUAUUUGUUUAUACAUUACUAGUCAUCUUAAUAUCAUAUUCUCUGCUGAACAUCGCAAAGAAAUGCUUCGUUACAUUUACAAUCAUCAGGUAUUUAAAAUUUAAUCAUUUUGAUUAGUUUAAUUGCUCAUGCACGUUGAAUAAUUUGCAAUAGAAAUAUUAUGUGAAUUAUAUAUACAGAAUGAAGAUGGGGGAUGGGGAUUACACGUUGAGNNNNNNNNNNNNNNNNNNNNNNNNNNNNNNNNNNNNNNNNNNNNNNNNNNNNNNNNNNNNNNNNNNNNNNNNNNNNNNNNNNNNNNNNNNNNNNNNNNNNGAAAAUGGAUCUUGAUCGCGGCGGAGCAACUGGCAUGCCAUCUUGGGGAAAGACUUGGCUUUCAGUAUAUAGUUUUAAUCCACUGAAAUCUUGAUUAUGUGUAACAAAAAAAAUUUCCUAAUAAUUAAAUAAUUACUUAAUUUUUUGUCUGGUAGAUUCUCGGUGUAUAUAAUUGGUCUGGAUGCAACCCGAUGCCUCCAGAAUUUUGGAAAACUUUCCUUAUUUUCUUCCCAUCAGUCCAGGUUAGUUCAUAGCACUUGAAAUAUCGUCAUGAACACAAUUCAUUAUGAUUAUUAUGAAACAAAGAAAUAUUGAAAAUGAUCAUUAGAGAGCACUUAAAGAAAUAUUUAGAAUGAUCAUUGGAGAGCACUUAGUGACUUAUGUAUGGCAAUAAAGUAAUUAAAAAGUCAAAAUAGAGAAGUUGAUAUAAUUUUAAUUUUGAAUUGAAAUUAAAUUGAUGCUACAACAUCAUUACUAAGUUGUAGAAUUUGUUAUGAAUUCAUUUACCAUUCUGAAUAUCCACUUUGUUUCAAAAAUACAGGUAAAUUGCUUUGCUACUGCCGGUUGACAUACUUGCCUAUGAGUUACUUUUAUGGAAAAAGAUUUGUCUGUCCAAUCACACCACUUGUUUUACAAUUGAGAGAAGAGAUUUACACCCAACCUUACAAUGCGAUUAAUUGGAGCAAAAUGCGGCAUUUAUGUGCAAAGGUUCGUUUAACUAAAUUGAUUUCUCUAUUUAUUUGAACUUCUUUUGGGGAAAACUUCGGGCUUAAUUAGGAGAGAGCUUCGUUUAAUUUAACUUGUUGGCAAUUGUCGUAUGAAAAUAACUAGUGCUUUUAUUCCACGACUAUGACUCACAAAGUCAAGAAUUACAGUAACGAAUGGAGGCUCAAUCCUUCAGUUAAAAUUAGCUAAUCUAUUGGGAGACUUUAUUGAUUCGUUGAAGGAUCAUGAAAACAUUUUUAUUGCAGGAGGAUCUCUUCUUUCCUCAUACUACUGUUCAAAACUUGCUUUGGGAUACAUUGAAUAAUCUAGUUGAGCCUGUUCUUAAUCGUUGGCCCCUUAAAAAAUUGCGAGAGAAGUCUCUAGAAACAGCAAUGAAUCACAUUCAUUAUGAAGAUGAGGCCAGUCGGUACAUGACCAUUGGAUGUGUUGAAAAGGUAAUCAAUUUAGAAAUCUGGCAAUAUGUGCAAUAUUAUUACUAUUUAGAUCAUAAGCUACACUCAUAUUUGUGAGAUUCAUGCAAUAUAUAUGUGUUAAUUGAUACAUGCAAUCGAAUAGCCGCUGAACAUGCUCUCCUGUUGGGUCGAAGAUCCUAAUGGUGGUUAUUUCAAGAAGCAUCUUGCCAGGAUCGGUGAAUACUUUUGGAUUGGAGAAGAUGGAAUGAAAGUGCAGGUUUAUAUAUAUAUAUAUACACACACACACACACAAUUUCUUCCUGUAUUAUACGUACUUUUAACAUUUAUCUUUAGAGUUUUCCCAAACACCUCUAUCACAUAAAUUCAAGCCAAUGGUUUUAACUGUUCCUUGUCAAUGGGGUUUUAUCCCUAAUACCCUCCAUCACACAUCAAAGCCAACCUUUUAACCAUCCCUGUCCUUGCAAAAGUAGUUUGGCCCCACUAGUAUAAGUUUAGCUCUGAUAGAAUAUAAAACCCUAUGAAUGUAACUAAUUUUUAAAACUCAAAAUUCAGCUCAUCAAUUGGGAAUCUCUCUAAGUUUAAGUUUAUAUAUUUAGCUAGAGAACUAUUUUCUAAACGUGGCAUUAUGAUUCUAAUGGUGCGAUUACUUAUCAUAAAUAGGAAUGAGAAUUAAGAAAUGAGAAUGAAUAAUGUGCUUGCUUAAGUGAGAUGUGGAAUGAAAAUUAAAAUGGCUGCCUCUCCUAGAAUUGGGAAUGCCUACUAGAGUUUUUAUUCUCAUGAGGAGAGGUGGGAACGGGAAUUUCAUUCCUUAAAAUGACCGUAUUAAUCCCACUUCAAUUGUAAAUUCUCUUUUUGUCCUUCUUUUAUCAUCAUCAAUAAACUUUUCAUAAUAAUAAUAGUAAUUAAUGUUAUCAAACUAAUGAUUGAUAUUAUAUUAUAAAAAUAAUAAAUUUUUUAUUAUUAAUAUUAAUUAUAAUAAUUAAUAAUUAUAAUAGUAUUACUAUAAUAAUAACCAUUAUUAUUAUUAUUAGCAAUAAUAAUAAGUAUUAAUUAUAAUGAGUAACAAUAAUUAUUUUUAAUAAUCACAGUUAUUAUAAUAAAUAAUGACAAUAAUCAAUUAAGGUCGGUUUAGUAAUUUAUAACAAAUCCUUUCCUAAUGUGAUUCCUACAGCUAAAAUAAAUAAUUUAUUAUGAUUUUCAUUCCUUAUUUCGAUUUCAGCCUAUUCUGAUUUCAUUCCGAUUAUCGAUUAAUAAAAUACACAGCAGAAAAUUUUCGAUCAUUUUUAUAGCUACAAGUUGAAAAUUUAUUGUAAAUGAUGCAUGCAGGGUUUAUGUAGUCAGACAUGGGUCUGUGCUUUUGCCGUUCAAGCUUUACUUGCUUGCAAUCUCACUGAUGAAAUUGGUCCAAUACUUAUGAAAGCACAUGACUUCCUUAAAACAUCUCAGGUUAAUUUUCAUAUUUUCUUCUGUAAACUUUACAUAUAACACCCAACAACAUUCUUUUAUUUCGUUCAGACAUAGGCGUGAAAUUUGGCAGGUCACUGAUAAUCCUCCAGGGGAUUUUAAAAGCAUGUUUCGUCACAUUUCUAAAGGAGGAUGGACAUUUUCUAAUAAAGAUCACGGAUGGCAAGUUUCUGACUGUACUGCAGAAGCCUUACUGGUAACUAGAGAUUAUUGAAAUGGCCGUUUUUGGGUAAACAUGGCAAUCAAAAUGGUCAUAAUUUUUCCUUAUAAUUUUCCAUGUGAAUUAAUAAUAUUUUUGUAUUUCACGGAUGUAGUGUUGUCUACACUUCUCAAUGAUGCCAUCAGAAAUUGUUGGUGAAAAAAUGGAACCCGAAAGGUUUUAUGAUGCUGUUAAUUACAUACUUUCUAUGCAGGUAUGAAGCGAUCAAUUUCUAUUUGCGAUCUUAUCUUUAUAUAUACAGCUUCCAAAUUUUACUACAUUCGAACGAAAAUUAAUCUUCGACACCAGUUGUAUAUAUGAAUAAGGAUUCUCUCCUAAUUUACGCUUUUCUAAGUUUUGUAGAUCAUGUUGAUGGUAUAUAGUUAGAAUUUAAUUAUUCUUAUAUUUUUAUCUCACAACUAUAUCUAUUAACCAUCAGUUGCAUAUCCACAUGUACACUUAUAUAUCUAGUAAAAUUAUAUGACAGAAUUUUUAUUGGAUGGAUGUACAUGCAAAUAAUUGUAUUAAAAAGACUUCAUUUAUGUACGUAUUUAAUUUAGACUUGCACAUUAUUUUUUCCAAAAAAAAUCUUUAUUGCCUGUUAGUUAUUCCAAAAUAUUUUAUGUAGAGUGAAACUGGUGGAGUACCAGCCUGGGAACCAAGGAGAGCACCAUCAUGGUUAGAGGUAAAAAUAACUUCAACAUAUAGAAAACCCUUCUACCCUUAAUCAAUCUCAAGGGUUUUAUUGAAUGGUUUUAAUCCGUUGUUUGACUAACUACAAAGCUCGAAUUCUGAGAAAGAUAGGGAAAACAUUUAUGUGGAAUAGUCCUAUUUCAUCAUCAUGCGCUGACGCUGACAUGAUACGAUUAUCGAAUAAAUUUUUAACACAUGAAAAAUAGAGAUAAUUUUUCAAUUUUGAGUGAUGGGAGCCACCACUUAAUUGUAAUGGAAACUUGGUUGGUCCCAUCAUUAAUUAAAAUUAAAAAAUUGCUUCUCUCUUCCAUAUGUCAAAGAUUUGUUGGAUAAUCCUGUCAUAUUAGCAUGUCUUAUGGUAGGACUGUCUCACAUAUGUUUUUCUUAAGAGGUAGUGGGGUAAAAAAAUAAAAUUGACCUUCACCUACCCCUACCUUAAUAAAAAGAAAACCUUUAAUAUCAUAUAUAUUCAUGAAUUGUUUGUGUUCCAUGUUCAGUUACUCAAUCCUAUAGAAUUCUUUGAGGAAGUUAUCAUUGAACAUGAGUAAGAUUUCUUCAAAUUUGUGUUUAGUCUUGUACAAAUAUUCUUGCUAUAAAUUCUGGUGGACUUAUCAGAAAUUUUGAAUUGUGUUGGAUCCAGUAAAGUUGAGUGCACUGCAUCGACAUUGAAGGCAAUGAAUUUGUUUAAGGAGUUAUAUCCGAAACACAGGGCAAAAGACGUUAAAAACUUUAUCCGGAAUGCAUCUAAAUUUAUUGAAGACACGCAAAAACCUGACGGUUCUUGGUACGUUUUCGCCAUAAAAGAAUGAUUAUGCCAACGUGUGUGCUUCCCCCCCCCCCCCCCCCGCCCCCCCCCCUUUCUUUACAAAUAGUUUGGUAGUAAUUCAAUUCUAUACUCAACAAGGGAAUUCAAUUCUCUACUAUCAAUCUGAGUGAACUAGCAGUAGCACAUUAUUAUAUACGAUAAAUGCUCCUUUGAAUCCUACAGUUUGAGCCAAUUACCCUAAAAUUAGUUAUUAUAUUUUAAAAAAUUAUAAAAAAUGUCUAUUAUAAUUCGCUUUAUUGUAUGGGAAAACACUGUUCGUUUUUCAUUUACUUCUUACUACUGGAUAUUUCAACCAAUCAUGUUAAUAUAUAUAUACACAUGUCAGCUAUCAAGUAGUGAAUAAAUAAAAAGCAAUUCUUUAGAAUCACCAAAGACUUUCUUCAUCACAUGUUGCAUUUUGCAUGUCUGAUUUGUAUGAAUUUUAAGUUAUAUUAGGCAGCGAAAAUAUUAUUUUACCUUUAAAAAACUAGAUCCCAUAUAUAUAGAAGUAAAGAUAGGGGUAUUUUGGAUAUUUAUUAAAAUAUAAGAUUAAUUAAAUGAUUGACUAUAAAUACUAAAUGAGCAAUUUUAGCCCCUUUUUUUAGUUCUUUUUAACUUUUUAAUGGUCAACAAAACCCAUAGAAUAAUUAAUGACAUUUAAAUAGUUAUUCAGUUACUGCCAAAAUUUUAAGCGGAGCCUAGAAAAUUAUAUAUGAAGAACUAAUUAUGCUUUUACAGGUAUGGUAGCUGGGGAAUCUGCUUCACGUACGGUACAUGGUUUGCAAUUUCAGGGCUAGUCGCUGCAAAAAAGACUUACAGUAAUUGUUUAGCUAUUCGCAAAGCAACAGAAUUUUUUCUCAAAAUUCAAUGCAAUGACGGUGGUUGGGGAGAGAGUUACCAUUCCUGCCCAAACAAGGUAACUUUAUUUGGAUUUGAUCAAUAAAUAUAAAUGUAAAAAAAGCCCAAUUUCCAAAAUAUCAUUGACUUUAUUGUUCACAUGAAUUCAUCGAUAAAUCGGAUUGGCGAUAAUAAAAUAAAAAAUGUUAGAUCCUAAAAUAGGUAGUAAUAUAAAAUGAAGUUCUGGUUCUUCCACUAGAUUUUGGCAUUUUGCUAUAGCAUCGCCAUGACUCAAAAUGAUCUGGUUUUAGUCAUUUAGAUAUUUUUACUUAACAUAAGUGUAAAAUUUUGACUUAACAUAUUUUCGGACUACAUAUAGUUUGAUAGCUUUAAUUAGUUUUCAUAUGAAAUGUAAGUCUGAAUCUGAUGAUAAAAAUUAAAUAGAAUUGGAUGUAUAAAUUUGAAUAAUAUGAGUUUUAUUUUUAUUUGUUCAUAUCCAAAUGAAAUAUGCGAAAAAUAUUGUUUUAUUGUUUUCAAAUAUUUAUUCUCAUAACAAAAUAUAGGUAAGGAAAAAGUUUUAUUAAGAUAAAUAUGACUCAAAUUUAUAUAUUCAGAUCAUUCAGAGUUUAGAGAAUUCAAAUUCGAACAAACAAACGACAAAUUGCUACCUAAAUUUUCAAUAGGUUUUCUUGGAGUAUGGUAACUAGUCUUCCAACUUCGUUUAUUAUCUUUUCAGUUUUACAAUAAGAAGAUUAGUGAUUUUUGCAGAAUGAUAAUCAGUGUGUUUGGUGAUGUAGAAAUAUGUACCUCUGAAAGGAAAUCGAUCGAAUUUAGUACAGACUUCAUGGGCUAUGAUGGCUUUAAUUCAUGCUGGACAGGUAAUUAGUUGCUAAUUAAUAAACAAUUAUCUCUUUCCAACUUUUAGAACUUCGAUAAAUUAGUUGCUGAUUACUGAACAAUUAUUUCUUUUCAACUACUUGUACGAAACUUAAGAAUUAUAGUCACUGCCAAAAAAUAGAAAAAAUAAUUUCUUUCAUUUUGUCAUUACAUGAAUUUAAUUUGUUUUUGUGUUAGAUGGAAAGAGAUCCUACUCCUCUUCAUCGUGCUGCAAAACUGUUGAUAAAUUCGCAGCUGGAAGACGGCGAUUUCCCCCAACAGGUAAUUAUUGCAUAAAAUCACUAGGAAAAUAAUUAUAUAAGUGUACGUGCAAUGGAAAUAAUUAUAUAAGUGCUAUUUCUCCCAUAAUUAUAUAGAAGAUUAGUGUACCACAUUUAAAAUGACUAUUUAAUUAAGGAAAAUAUUAUUCAUUCUAAAGAGGUAUAAUUGAUUACUUGCUGGUUGAUCGAUUGUAGGAACUCACUGGAGCUUUUAUGGGGAAUUGCAUGACACACUAUCCAACAUAUAGAAACGUGUUUCCGAUGUGGGCUUUGGCAGAAUACCGCUCAAAGUUUCUCUUGCCCAAGAUUUCUGAAACUAUUUAAGAUAUCCUAAAUAUCUUUCACUCAAUUGUGAGCCAAAAUCAAGGCCAUAAUACCAUACAAUAAGAAUUAUUGUCAUUGUAAUAUGCAAACACGGCAAAGUAUCUGUACAAUUAUGGUAUGCAAUGAUGUACUCAUACAGAAGAUGUGAUCAACCAUGUUUCUAUUAGUAAUUCAUAGUCUUGUACGAUAAAUUGGGCUUUUGACCCACAUUAAUCAAUUUGAGUUAAUGUAUAUCAUUAUUAUUAUUAUUUAUUUUCAUUGUGGUGGUGUUAGAGAGAGUUAGAGAGUUCUCAAAUACAUCAAAAUUUUGAUAGAUUAAUAAUACUCAGAUCAGAAAAAUUUAUUAAUUAACCAAAUUAUAAUUUUGCACGUUAAUCUCUAGUUGGGAUUGGUAAAACAUAUGAUUUAAUUAAGGGUUCAAUUCUUUGAGUAUUAAUUUAUUGAAAUUUUACUAUAAUUAUAUCCUUAUUAUGUAUUUUACUCCUUUUUUAAAGAACAAUGUUCUCCUAUUUUUUUGCUAAAUUAUCAAACAUAUUUUUUUUAGUUUGAAAACACCAUUUCCAUACUUUAUUUUUAUUUUAAAAAAUAACGUCUAAAGAAGCAUUUUAUAAAUACUCUUUAUUUUCAAACUUCAAAUGAGUGCCUCUUCCCCCCACCCCACCCGGCAAAAACAAAAACAAACAAACAAAGAAAGAAGAGUAAUGAUAUAGCCACAAACUCUUGUACAAACUUAUUUUGUACAAACUGACGUGGCAUGAUAAGAUUGGUUGAAUUAAAUAUCACUUGGCCCACAUGAUUUGUUUUUAUUAUUUUAUAUUUUCAUUCAACCAAUGAAUUAAUGCCAUGUUAGUUUGUACAAAAUAAGUCUGUACAAGAGUUUGUGGCUGUAUCAUUACUCAAGAAAGAAACACAUAUGAAUGCUACCUUUUUGUUUUUCCUUUUGAAAACAUUUUACACUCAUCUUUGAAAGUAGAUUUUAGAAACAUCAUUUUGAAAAUGUUCUCAAAUUCACUACAAGAAUAAGAAUACAAGUAGUAGGUGAUAGGAAUUAACUAUCAUAAAGGAGGGCGCAUAAUGGACAAUCUAUUCAUCUUCUAUGUUGUCACUUAUCUAUGAUAAAGACUUACUCGUAAUUAGUUUAUAAUAUGAGUUUCAAAUAGUCAUAUAUAUGUCACACCAUAUUGUAAUGGAAAAUUCAAAAUUAUUUGAAAUUUUAUCACUUGUUUUGAAUUUUUUGGUAGGAAAAUUUUUAUUAUUUCAAUUAAUGUUGUUGAAAAAUAUUUAUAUUAUUAAUUAUUUUGAAUUUUAUUAUUAUGAUUUGAAUAGUAUUAUUAUUAUUUUAUUACUAUUUUUACAAGAAUCCUGCAGAAUGACCAUGAAUAAGUAAAAAUUGGUGCUGGACUUGAGAAACAAACAAUCUUCAAAUCUACAGAAGGAUCAGCAGUCAUACACGAAAGCCCAUAAAGCAGAACCACUAAACCUGUAGUGGAACCCACUAGUGUUAAUUGCAGUAGAUUCAUAAGUCCAUGAACCACAUGCAUGACCAUGGACUUUGUAGAAAAUGUUAAAAAAAGUCCAUAUCCAAUCAUCACAAGUCCAUGAGACUAUGGUUCGAAUUCAUAGUUAAAGCUGAGCAAAACUCCACGUAUGGAAGAAUCUAGAAGCUUGUUCCAAAGAAACAUAGAUAGAAAUAAAUUAUGGUAUCACUCAUAGAGAUAAAAUCAUAGAAUAUCUUAAUCUUAAGUAAUCUAGAUGAUGAAGAGUUUGAAUUCAAAUUCUAUGCUAUCAAUAGAAGGCUUUAAAUAUAAAACCUCUCUUCAUGCCAAACGGGACAAGACAUUAUAACAAAAAUAGUUGUGUUUGUUUUCAAUAAUAAAGCCAUUUAAUUCAUGUCCAUGGACAUAGGCCAACUAGUGAACCAUGAUAAAUUCUGUGCUGCAUUUAUUAUAUGCUCCCACUUAGUUACUUUCCUCGUGAUGAACAUUAUUAAUAUAUUUAUUUAUAAUAUUUAAUGGACAUAAUUAAUAAUGGACAUUAUAAUAAAUAAUAAAGUAAUUAUUAUUUAGUGUAAGAUUUUUAAUGCUCUUAUCUUAUUAUGUGUAUUUUACUUUUUUUCUUAUAAAAUUUUAUGUUCACUUUACAAUAUAACCUUCCUUUUAAAUUUAGCCCGGAUACUUUCAAAUCCUGGAUCCGCCCCUCUGGAUAUGUCUCUUAAAAUAAGCAAAUCUAGUUUAAAUAAAAUAUAACUACUUUCUUAAGUGAUAUGACUAAUUCUCAAGAGACACAACCUCUUUUAUAAAAUAAAAGUCAUGUACGUAUAUAAAGGCAUCAAUAAUCUAUAAAUAGACACUUUUAUAUGUAUUUCACAUAAUCUUUAAUGAUGAGUUUAUGUUGGGAAAAAGACUAACACAAGUAGCUGCAAAUUAAGCGGAAACAAAACUAUUUCCCUCUUUAUAUGAUUAAAAUAGGAUGUGCUCCACAAAUAAAUAGAUAGAAAAAUAAACCAAUAAAUCCAAAGCAAAAGCCAACCACAAGAGAUACAGAUUUUUAUAUGAAAAACCCAAAGCAGGAAAAUUACGAGACCGUAGUCUGAUAUAAUCUUCCACUAUAUUAAUGGGAUUACAACACAAAUUCUUCUCUAAAUAAUACUAGAGGCUACCAACAUCAAAAAUCUCAAUAUUCUUGGCUUACAGUAACAGCCUAAUAACUAGCCAAAGAGGGGAUAAAAUAAAAAGUAAGACCAGUAAAAUUAUAGAAGGUGAUGCCAAGAACUUAAUCUCAAAAUUUGAAAGAAAACGAAGUUAAAAUCGCCUUCCAAUUAUCCAAUCAAAGAUUAAAAUUACUAUUCUUAAAUUAAAAACUUUUACUCGCUUUUCUCUCUCUCUCUUGCCGCUUCCCCUGCACGCACACGUUAUCUUGGGCAGCGGCUUUCACUUGCUUUUAUAGCCAAAUUUUAUAGCAAUUUUCACUAAGCCCCUCAAUGUUUCUUUAAUUACUCAAUUACCCAAAUUUAUUAAACUUUGGGCUUGGGCCACCCAAAUGAAAUUGACCCAACAAAUCUCCCCCUCCAGAUCAUAUAGGGGGUACAACCAAGCCCGCUUUCUACAUACAGCUUUUCAGCUUCUCCUUAGGCAAAGGUUUUGUCAUCAUAUUUUAUCCAUUCUCUGUUGUGUGUAUCUUCUCAACCUGCAACUAUUUCUUCUCAAGCACGUCUUAUAUCUAAUAAUACCUAACAUCAAUAUGCUUGGAUUUCGAAUGGUAUAUCGAAUUCUUUGCUAAGUGAAUGACACUCUGAUUGUCGCAGUACAUGACACGACUCAAAAGUGUAUUACUCUCAAGUAUAAGAGUGUCUAGUUAUAAUAUAACUCGGUGAGACCGGGGUCGAACCAUAGGGAGUUUUAAAUCUAGUAAAACUAAGAAAAUUAAUUGUGGGGAAAAUAAAUUAUUUGAAAUCAAUUUAAAAUAAGCUAAGGUUUAGGAUCCACUCUCUGUAUUCAAACUAUAAUUUUAAUACUCUCUCAUUUAUAUUUUGCCUCACUUUUACCAAUUAAUUAUUAUAUCAUUUAAUUCUAUGUGUGUGGAUAAAUAUAGAAUAAAGUACCUAAUGUGCCAAACUAUAUUAAUGUGUCGAUAUUAUGUCAAAAUACCAUAAAAUCCAGUGAGAUUUAUAAAUUAACAUGAUAUAAAAAUAAUUAGAAAAGAAUUAAAAAAAACUUAUUUGAGAAAAUAAUAAUAAUUAAUUGUUUGAAACAUUAAGCUUCACCCUUUACCUCAGCUUAAUAAAAUUAGCUACUCAUAUUGAAAAAAAGCACAACACUCUUUUUAUUUGAUAAACUUUUUGAAAUAUAUUACAAAGAAAAUUGAUACAAACGGAAAUAAGAAAAAGAAAAGAAACAAACAAAGAAAGAAAAUCUUCAGUCUCGGCUUCUCAAAUUUUACUCUCCAACUUCCCCUCGCUCUUCAAUUUCUCCUCCCUUUUUUUAGGCAACAAUUGCCUUUAAUUUUCUUUAUUUUAUUAUUUAUUUAUUAUUUUAUUAUUAUUUUAAAAUAUAUAAGUGUGUUGAAAUGUGUGAUGGUCAGGAGGCGUAAUGGCCUCCUGACCAUCACCAACAUGUUUUUGUUCUUUUGUUCUUUUUUUUGUUCUUUUUUUUAUUUUAUUUAUUUUAUUUAUUAUUUAUUAUUAUAUCUCUUUAAUUUUGUUCCAGUAGUUCUUCUUUGUUCCCGCUUUCAAUUCCAAUUCCAUCUUUAUUCCUGAAAAAUAUUUACAAGAUAAAAAUUAACAAAUUACGAAUUAAUUUAACAUAAAAUAUAUUUGGGGAGUAUUAAAAUAAUUUAGAAAUAAUGAACGCAUUAAUCGACACAAUAAGUGAAAAACUAAUAAUUUUAUCCUUAUUAAAUGUACAUUUUUUUAGUGUCAAUCACACCCCCCAACCAGCUUAUCGCUAGGCCCUAGCAAUUUAAGCGAUAAAAAUUUAGAGAAAUUUCAAAACCAAAUUGAAAUUUUUUUUAAAAAAAAAAUUGUGUUUACUUCCUUCAUCAGAUUAAUGACAACAAUCAAAUAAAAGUAUAAGCAUUAUCUUCAGCCUAAAGAAAAUCACACCGGCUCAAAAUAGUUCAGUAAAAUCCUGUAAAAUGAUCAAUCAUCAGAGCUACAUUAAUCAAGCCACUUUUAAGAAUGAUACAUCAAACCCCAAAAUCUCACGAUUAAGAGUGACUCUCUCAAAAGAAAAUAUACCACAAAUUAAUUUGUCACUCUAAAAAAAUGGUAAAUUUGAGAGAAUAAUAAAACAAUAUCACACGCUCUUACCAAGAUAAAAAUAAUGCCCACAAUUUAGAAAUAAAAUGAUCUCAAGUCCAAUGAAUUACUAGCAAAAUUUAUUUUUAUUUUUAUGCAUCACCACAUCUUUUAGUCCAUAUUACCAGCUUUUACUUUAGAUUAUAGUUUCCAAAAAUCGAGAAUGACUUUUAUUAGGACGUAACGUAGGCUAGGGUUAUGGCUAACAAAAAAGGUAAUAGGGAAAAUAAAAAUAUAUGUUUGAAAAAUAGGAGACUUGUUGGAGAUUAUAAGGUGCUCUUUUUUUUCUUUUUGCUUGGAUUUUUUUUUAUAUAUACAUAUCAUCUUUCUUUUUUUUUCUUUUUUUUCUUUUUUAUAGCACCAUUAUUAGGAAUACAUAAUCAUCCCUAUUUUUAAACAUAAUUGGGUGAUGAAAAACAUAAAACACAAGGUGAUACUCCUCAUUGGAGUAAGAAAAUAUGAUAGGUUACCAAAGAAAAAGUUUUUUUUUUUUUCAAUGGCUCAAAGGGGUUAACUAUGGAUUCUUUAUAAUAAGGUUGGCUAGAAAGGCUCAAACGGAUCAAAGAUGGCCUUCUAUCAUCUUUUAGGGUUCCAUAUAAUCUUUCAUAUCCACUAGUUCAAUGGACUUUUAGAUGCGGCUACACAAACUUUUUUUUUUUAAUAUUGAGAUUUUGUACAAUAAAUUGUGAAGCUGUAUAGGCAAACAAGGUUACUCUCCAACGAUAACAGGCUCAAAAACUCGCUUGGUCUUUUUAUAACAUGUACAUUCCUCCAAAUGGCUUAAUCAAUUUCACUCAUUCAAUUUCUCAAUAUGUACAUAAUUCAAGGCUAAAGAUAAUACGAAUACCAAAAUUUGAAAAUCAUCAUGUUAUCCAAUGUUAUAAGAUCACACUGAAAAAGAAAAUAAUUUUUUUUUAAAGAAAACACUAAAAAAUUGCGACUAAUUGUAGAAACUUAAGGGAGAUGAUUAAGAGAAAAAGACCGAAAACAAAAAGUUAGAAACAUUUUUUUUUUUGAAGAAAACACAAAAAUUAAGAAGAUGCGUUUCUAGAGACACUACAUUCUAUAUUCUGCCAUCUUCGACUCAAAUUUUAUCCAAAGUUAGUCUUUACAACAAAAAUUAGUAAAAACAUCACUAGGAUUGAGACGUUCCAUAAUUAUCAACUAUUCCCUCCCCCCAACCUGAAGGAGACAUUGUCCUCAAUGUCUAAAGAAAGGAGUAGAGUUUAGAAGAUAUCACCUGGCCACUGCUGGAAAUAUUUACAGACGGAGAGUUAAAUCUAAUUUACACUUUUUAUGAGAGUUACUGCCAUCGUCAUCAGUUGCCCAAUCCAACGCCAAAGUCAUGGGAUCUGGCUCUGGUUUGUAAGCUUGCAAAAGAUCAAGUAACUCAUUAGCAGUAGGAGCACAAAUGAAGAGUUUUUUCGCUGAGGAUGGAAUGAAAUAAUUUUUUAUUGCAUGAUUAAGAAAUGUUAUUAAGCCAUCAUAAAAGUUAUUAAUAUUUAACAAACCGAUGGGUUUUUUAUGGAUAUUCAAAUGGGCCCAAGAAGCAAAUGUAAUUAGUGCCUCCAAAGUUGCAAGGUCUGUUGGCAAGAAAAUAAAAGCGUCAGCAUGAUUUAACAUUUCAUAUAUUCUUUCUUGCAUACCUGAGACAACUAACUCUUCUCCAGUUGGUGAGUCUGGUAGACAUCCUAAAGGUUUUAAGGCUUUUGGAAUGAUGUCUAGCACUUGGCUUCCUCGAACGAAAGCGGCUUCAGAGACAAGCUUUGAUAACCCUCAGUCACCUCCUCCAUAUACAAGAUGUAGUUUCCUCUUUCCUAUAGCACGACUAAGAUCUAUGGAUGCUUGAACGAACUCCUUAUACUUUCCAUAGCGAAAUCCAGAAAGCACACAAAUGUUUUUAAGUUGACUGCUUGAAGUUGCUGCCAUUACAAAAAUUCUAAAAAGAAACAAUUUGUGAGUGCUUGAAAAGGAGUUCCUAUUUAAGAAUCUUGGUGAUGGACAUAAUGAUGUACAUCUGUAAAUGGGGUGGUGUGUUUGUCAAAUGACGUGUGAAGCUUUUAGCUUAAUAAUUCAAAUGCAAACAGUGAAAAGAAAAAACAAACAGUGAUUAGAUAAAAUAAAGAAAAAAAACAAUAAUAAUAAUAAUGCAAAAGAUAAAAGAACAGUAAAAUAAAAUGAUAUUUACUAGUAGUUGUGAUUGUAGCUCACAUCUUCGUCUGGUUUUACGUCCAGUAACGGCUUGAACGACCUCUAUGGGUCGAGGAUAGGCUUCCCAUCCAGUUUUCUUAUAAACUGGCAAACAGGAUUUUUUAGAGUCAAAUUCCCAAGACUAAACUGUACACUUUUCUUUUGGAACAACUUCCACAAAUUUUGAAUUUCACGUUGAACAUAUCCGCUCGGAUGUGUCUCAAGAGAUCGUAGGAUAUCAUCCAACGAUUCUUUACUCAUGCCAUCCUUAACGAAUUUGAUUUUAUCUUUAUGAUUUACAGAAACCAUUCCUAAAGCUUUACAACGUGGAUUUUUGCAAGCAAGUCUUACACAGUGAGAACAUUCAAAGCCAAGUCGCUUACCUCUUCUUUUCUUAGCAAAUGUACUUUUACCAAAACCAGGCAUGUAGGAAAUGAAUGGAUCAGAAAACUCACCUGCCAAUCGAACCUUUGCUUCAAUUAACCAGCGAAUGUCAGCAGGAAUCCCAUUGAUCAUUAACAAACGCAGUCGUUCACAACGAGGUUUGUAAAUCUUCUUAAGAGCAUUUUGAGGGAGAGAAUGAACAUGUUGAUGCAAAUUUUGUUGUAUUUCUUCCAUGCUUGACAUUGAGGUUUCAAUUAUUGUGGGAAACUGAGAAUACCGACUUAAAAAGUCAUGGAGUACCGUUAUCCACCAUUUAUAAGGGAGAGUGAAUCAAAACAAAACAAAUCAAAUCUAUAAAAUCAAAUCAAAAGUGAAAAAGAACAACAAAAUAAAACAAAAACACACAAGGAAUAUAACUCACCUUCGUCCUUUUAUUGAAUCAAGUUCCAAUUGCAGAUUAUAAAUAUCAUCCUCUAUUUCCUUGAGUUGUCUUUCUAGAUCUUUCACAUGAGAUACUAACUCUGGUGGUUGUAGAUCCCAAAUGGGAUGUAAUUUACAAAAUUGGAGCAAUUUCCUCAGGUGAAAUUUUACAUGAAAAAGCGUUUUAAGAUGAUCGAAAAGGAAAUUUCUCAUGGAGGUACUCAUGACAAGUAUAAAAAUUUGGUGAGCUAAAUCACAAUUGUCAAACAACACACAAUUAAAAUAAUGCAAUGCACUCCAUUCAAGACAUAGGGAAAAGGAAAAAGAAAAAGAAAAAAUCAAAUAAUUCAAACGAUAAAGUAACAGUAAAUCAAAUUCACAAAAUGUUAAAAUGAAAAGGCUUAAUCAAAAUUUUGGUGGAUCACUCAAAUGGAUUUUGGUAUCUGCUUCAUGUAGUUGAUAAUCUAGAUAUGGUUUCAAUCUUUGGCCAUUAACUUUAAAUGUGACACCAUCCUUUGGAUUCUUAAUUUCUACGGCUCCAUAUGGAUACACAUUUUUUACAACAAAUGGACCAUUCCACUUUGACUUUAACUUCCCUAGAAAUAAAUGAAGACGAGAAUUAUAAAGUAACACUUUUUGACCAAUUUUAAAUGUUUUCCGAAAAAUUCUUUUGUCAUGAAAAAAAUUGGUUCUUGCCUUAAUAAUUAUGGAAUUCUCAUAUGCAUCAUUCCUUAAUUCCUCAAGUUCAUUUAUUUGCAAUUUACGCACACUGCCAGCAUCAUCAAGAUUUGAAUUAAAAGCUUUAAUGGCCCAAAAUUAUUUAUGUUCAAGUUCUACUGGUAAUUGGCAAGAUUUUUCAUAAACAAGCCAAUAGGGUGACAUUCCUAAAGAUGUUUUAAAAGCAGUACGAUAUGCCCAAAGUGCAUCAAUUAGUCGAAGAGACCAAUCUUUACGGUUUGGAUUAAUUGUCUUUUCUAAAAUUUGUUUUAUCUCCCUAUUUGUUAAUUCAACUUGACCACUUGUUUGAGGGUGAUAAGGGGUAGCAACCUUAUGUGUAAUUUCAUAUUUCUUUAUUAAGGACUCAAAUGGCUUAUUACAAAAAUGCUUACCUCCAUAACUGAUAAUGACUCGAGGUAUUCCAAAUCUACUCAAAAUAUUUUCUUUUAAAAAGCGGAUCACAAUCUUGUGAUCAUUGUGCCGACAAGGAAUCGCCUCGAUCCAUUUUGAAACAUAAUCAACAGCAACCAAAAUGUAUACAAAUCCAAACGAUGAUGGAAAAAGGGCCCAUAAAAUCAAUUCCCCAAUAAUCAAAUAUUUCAAUGACAAGGAUGGGGUUUAAAGGCAUCAUGUUUCGCUUUGAAAUAGACCCUACCAUUUGACAAUUUUUACACAUUUUACAGAAUGCCUGUGAAUCUUUAAAUAAUGUAAGCCAAUAAAAUCUACGCUGUAAUAUUUUGCAGCUGUCGUUUUUGAAGAAAAAUGGCCACCACAUGUUUUAGAAUGACAAAAUUGAAUGACCAUACUUACCUCGUCGUUUGUUAUGCAUCUUCGAAAAAUUUGAUCAGAGCAGUACUUGAACAGGUAUGGUUCAUCCCAGUAAAAGCUUUUCACUUCUGUUAAGAAUUUCUUCUUGUCUUGGGAGCUCCAGUCACAUGGCAUUUCACCUGUUGCAAAAUAAUUAACAAUAUUAGCAUACCAAGGCAUUUUGUUUAUAGAAAACAAAAAUUCAUCAAGGAAACAAUCAUUAAUGGGUGUUGUUUCAAUUGAAGACUCAUUUGUAAGUCUUGAAAGAUGAUCUGCAACAACAUUCUCAGCGCCCUUUUUGUCCUUAAUUGUCAAAUUAAAUUCUUGAAGUAGCAAAAUCCAUCGUAUCUACCUUGGUUUGGCAUCCUGUUUUGACAUUAAAUAUCUCACAACAGCAUGAUCAGGAUAAACAACAGUAGAUGAACCAAUUAAAUACGAACAAAAUUUAUCCAAUGCAAAUAAUACAGCAAGUAGUUCUUUCUCAGUUGUUGUGUAAUUCAUUUGAGCACUAUUCAAAGUUCUACUUGCAUAAUCGAUGACAAAGGGCUUACCUUCCUUUCUUUGACCUAGAACAGCGCCAACGGCAUAAUCACUAGCAUCACACAUUAGCUCAAAAGGCAAAGACCAAUCAGGGGGUUGCAUUAUUGAGGCUGAUGUCAAAAGAGUAGUUAUUUUUUAAAAAGCUUGUUGACAAUCUUUAGUCCAUUCAAAUUGUGUGUCUUUUAUUAGGAGGUUACAAAUUGGUCUAGAUAAGACACUAAAGUCUUUUAUAAACCUCCUAUAAAAUCCCGCAUGUCCUAAAAAAGAACGAACUUCUCUAAUUAUUUUUUGUGAGGGUAAUUUUGAAAUGACUUCAACUUUGGCUUUAUCAACUUCGAUUCCUUUUGAAGACACAACGUGGACCAAGACAAUUCCAGAAGUGGUCAUGAAAUGGCAUUUUUCCCAAUUUAAAACUAGUCCUUUUUCUUUGUACCUUUCCAAAACUUUUUCUAAAUUAUCAAGACAUGUAUCAAAAGAAUUACCAAAUAUAAUUAACUGAUCCAUAAAAACCUCUAGACAAUUUUCAACCAUGUCACUAAAAAUGCUUAGCAUGCACCUUUGAAAUGUUGUAAGAACAUUACAAAGUCCAAAGGGCAUUCUCCUAAAUGUAAAUGUUCCAAAUGGACAUGUGAAUGUGGUCUUUUUCUGGUCUUCUAAGGCUAUAGGGAUUUGAUAAUAUCCAGAGUAGCCAUCAAGAAAGCAGUAGUAGGGAUGUCCAGCUACUCUUUCGAGAAUUUGGUCUAGAAAUGGAAGGGGAAAAUGAUCUUUUCUAGUGGCAUCAUUUAAUUUUCUGUAAUCAAUGCACAUGCGCCAACUAUAUGGAAUUCGUGUUGGGAUUGGUCCACCUUUUUCAUUUUUUACAACAGUUAUUCCAGGUUUUUUUGGUACUACUUGUGUUGGACUUACCCAUUUACUAUCAGAGAUAUGGUAGAUAAUUCCUACAUCUAGUAGUUUAAGGACCUCAUUCUUUACCACUUUUUUCAUAUGAGGGUUUAGUCUUCUUUGUGGUUGACGAAUUGUUUUGGCAUUUUCCUCUAAGUGUAUUCGGUGUGUGCAAAUUAAAGGAUUAAUGCCUUUUAUGUCUUUUAAGGUCUAACCAAAUGCAGUUUUAUGCCUUUUUAGUACAGAUAACAACUUACCCUCUUGAUCAUGUGUGAGUUGAGAAGAAAUUACCACUGGAUAUGUCUGCUGCUCUCCAAGAUAGGCAUACUUCAAUUCUUCUGGUAAGGGCUUUAAUUCGAGCUUUGGUGCUUCCUCUUCGUUUGCUUCUUCAGGUUGUAUUGUAUCUUCAAAGUUCGAUUGGUCAUCGUCACCUAUAGGUACCUGCAUAGAAUCAAGUGUAGGGCAUAUGUUAGCAGUAUCAAAAUCUAAUUCCUUACUUGAUUCAACAGAACCAGCAAAACAAAUUUCCUCAGAGUUUGUAAAAUUCUCAUCCUGAAUGUGUUCCUCAAUGAUUGCCUCGAUGAGAUCAAUUUCAUCAUUCUCAUUAUCAUCAUCUUCUUGGUGGUGAGGUUGUUUACACAUGUUGAACACAUUAAGUUCCAGUGUCAUGUUGCCAAAAGAUAAAUCCAUUAAUUCAUUCCUACAAUUUAUCAAAGCAUUAACAGUAGCUAAAAAUGGUCGACCCAAUAUAACAGGAAUUUGUUUGCAUUCAUUAGCAAUUGGUUCCGUUUCCAAAACAAUAAAAUCCACAGGAUAUAUGAAUUUAUCGACCUGGACUAAUACAUCUUCAAUUAUUCCUUUUGGAACCUUAAUCGAUCUAUCAGUAAGUAAAAGAGUGGUAGAAGUUGGUUUUAACUCACCGAGAUUGAGUUGUUGGUACACUGAGUAAGGAAGUAAAUUAACACUGGCACCAAGAUCAAGUAAAACAUGUCCAAUUUUAUGAUCCCCAAUAGUGCAAGAAAUAGUUGGACAACCAGGAUCCUUGUAUUUCAAAGCACUAUUAGUUGAGAGAAUGGAACUUACCUGUUCUGCUACAAAAGCUCUCUUUUACACCUUAUGUUUCCUUUUCACUGUGCACAGAUCUUUCAGAAAUUUAGCAUAAGAAGGCACUUGUUUAAUGACAUCCAGCAGAGGAAUGUUGACCUUAACUUGUUUAAAAACUUCAUAAAUUUCUGGACUGUGGUUUGAUUUCUUUGGCUUGGCCAGUGCUUGAGGAAAUGGGGGUACAAAAGGAGAGUUGGUUAUUUCUUCAUGGGCCAAAGGUUCGACAAACUCUUCCUUAUCUUCUGAAAUUGAAUCUUUACUUGUUUCACGAGGGUCCACAAUGUGUUUUUCGACUACUUUACUACCACGAAGGGUUAUAACCGAUUUGACUUGACUCAUAUUUUGGUUUCUUGAAUUUCCCAUUUGAGGAUGUUGUUGACUCUUGGGGUUUGGUUUAGAUUGAGCAGGAAACUUUCCUUUUUCAUGUAUGGUCAGAGCAGAUGUAAGUUUGGAGAUAGUUUCUGUCAAAUUGGUUAAGGUUUGCAUUGUUUGGUUAUUAAUCGACUCUUGUUUUUCAAUAAACGAAUCCAAUGUGUCUUCCAGAGUUUUUCUUGGUGGUGGGACAUAUGGUGGGUAACUCUGGGAGUUUUGAAAAUUUUAAUGUGGAGGAACUGGUUGUGAAGGUUGUGCAUGAUUGUCAUUUCUCCAACUGAAAUUUGGGUGGUUUCUCCAACCAGAGUUGUAAGUUUGGGAGUAUGGAUUUGGAUUUGGCCUUUUGAAAUUGUCAACGACAUUUACUUGUUCAUGCAAACUUUCUCUUAGAGCUGGUAAAGUUGGACAGUCCUGCGUAGAAUGGUUAGUAGAAUCACAAACAUAACAUGAAAUAUUUUGAACAAAUUUUACAUGAUCAUUCUUUUUCGACUCUAAUGCUUCGACUUUUCUAGCUAAUGAUGCAAAUUUGGCUUGAAAAUCAUGGUCUUCCUUAAGGUUAUGCAUGCCUCCACCAGAUGGAGAUGACUAGGGUUUACUUGAUGACUCAUAAGAACCAACUGUAUCCCAGUGCUGUGCAUUUUCUGCUAUAUAAUCAAGAUUGUCUAAUGCAUCUUCAGGACUUUUAUCCCUAAACUCACCAUUACACAUCAUUUCAACGACUUGUCUACCUUGGGAUGUUAAUCCCCCAUAGAAAUAAGAUAACUAAUCUCCAUGUUUCAAAACCGUGAUGUGGGCAAAUGUUAAGUAGUUCUUUAAACCUAUCCCAACAUUGGUAGAGAGUUUCUCCUAAUUUUUGAGUGAAAGUGGUAAUUUGUCUUUUGAAAGAAUUUGUUUUGUGGGGUGGGAAGAAUUUUUUCAACAAUUGUACUUGCAUUUCAUCCCAAGUUCUUAUGGAUUCUGACCUAAGAUUUUGUAGCCAAGUUUUAGCUUUAUCCUUUAGUGAGAAAGGAAAAAACUUAAGCCUGAUUAUAUUCAUGCUACAAUUUUGAUCAGUACAGGUGUCACAGACUUCCUUAAAUUCCCUUAAAUGCAAAUAUGGAUUUUCAGACUCAAAACCAUGAAAGUUAGGCAAAAGUUGAAUGAUACCAGACUUGAAAUUAAAACGUGAUGCAUCAAGAGGGAAAACUAUGCAUGAUGGUGACCCUGUUCUAGUAGGAUGCAUGAAGUCUCUAAGGGUCCUAGGUUGUUCAUGAAGAUUUUGCAAGGCUUGAUCAUUUUCGUGCUCCGAAAAAUUUUCAGCUCCUAUGUCAGCCAUAUUUAAGGGUGGUGAAGGUGAUUUUCUAAUUAAUCUACUACUAUUUGUAUGAGAUUAACGGCGCAUGCAAUGUUAAUGAUGUGUGCUAAACUAAUGAUGCAAAAACGCUAAAUGAAAAUUGCAGAAAUAAAAAUAAACUGGAAAUUAAAUAAGAAAAAAAAUGUGAAAUAAAAAUAAACAAACUGAAAAUUAAAUAAAUAAAUUAGGCGGUGAAACCAGCCAUUAAAAGAAACUGUUUAGGCGGUAUUUUAAAACCAGCCAUAUGAUAAAACAUAAAAUUAAAUAAAUUAAUGCACAAAAAUAAAUAAAUUAAAAUUAAAAUGCUAGGUGGUAGAACCGACCAUAUAAAUAAAAAUACAAAAUUUAAAUGACAGUUAGGCGGUAGAAUCGACCAUUUUAAAUAAAUGCGGAAAGUAAAUUGCAGAAAUUUAAAGAAAUAAAUUUGAUUUGGGGACUGAUUUGCAAAGGUGUCUGGGCUAAGAUAUAGUUUCUCACAAAUUUUAUGGAUAAUGUUAAGGUUUGAAAAGAAGAGGGGUGCUAACUGAAGUUUUACAAAAAGAGAAUAAAAUAGAAUUACGGAAAGAUAGUAACGACAAAACAAAAAAAUAUUAAAAUAAAAUAAAAAUAAAGUAAAGGCAAACUAACACCAAAUUUAGAAAAUUUCGUGGCAACGGCGCCAAAAACUUGACAUGACUCAAAAGUGUAUUACUCUCAAGUUAUAAUAUAACCUGGUGAGACUGGGGUCAAGCCACAUGGAGUUUUAAAUCUAGUAAAACUAAGAAAAUUAAUUGUGGGGAAAAUAAAUUAUUUGAAAUCAAUUUAAAAAUAAAUUAUUUGAAAUCAAUUUAAAAAUAAGCUAAGGUUUAGGAUCUACUCUCUGUAUUCAAACUAUAAUUUUAAUAUUCUCUCAUUUAUAUUUUGCCUCACUUUUACCAAUUAAUUAUUAUAUCAUUUAAUUCUAUAUGUGUGGAUAAAUAUAGAAUAAAGUACCUAAUGUGCCACACUAUAUUAAUGUGUCGACAUUAUGUCAAAAUACCAUAAAAUCCAGUGAGAUUUAUAAAUUAACAUGAUAUAAAAAUAAUUAGAAAAGAAUUAAAAAAAUCAUUUGAGAAAAUAAUAAUAAUUAAUAGUUUGAAACAUUGAACUUCACCAUUUACCUCAGCUUAAUAAAAUUAACUACUCAUAUUGAAAGAAAACACAAUACUCUUUUAUUUGAUAAACUUUUUGAAAUAUAUUAUAAAGAAAAUUGAUACAAGCAGAAAUAAGAAAAAAAAAGAAACAAAGAAAGAAAGAAAAUCUUCAGUCUCGGCUUCAGCUCUAAAAUUUUGCUCUCCAGCUUCCCCUCGCUCUUCAAUUUCUCCUCCCUUUUUAUAGGCAACAAUUGCCUUUAACUUUCUUUAUUUUAUUAUUUAUUUAUUAUUUUAUUAUUAUUUUAAAAUAUAUAAGUGUGUUGAAAUGUGUGAUGGUCAGGAGGCGUAAUGGCCUCCUGACCAUCACCAACAUGUUUUUGUUCUUUUUAUUUUUUUUAUUUUUUUUAUUAUUAUAUCUCUUCAAUUUUGUUCCAGUAGUUCUUCUUUGUUUCCGCUUUCAAUUCUAAUUCCAUCUUUAUUCCUGAAAAAUAUUUACAAGAUAAAAAUUAACAAAUUACGAAUUAAUUUAACAUAAAAUACAUUUAGGGAGUAUUAAAAUAAUUUAGAAAUAAUGAACGCAUUAAUCGACACAAUAAGUGAAAAACUAAUAAUUUUAUCCUUAUUAAAUGUACAUUUUUUAGUGUCAAUCAGUACACAAUAAAGUUGUCUUGCUUUAUACCCAACUCUUGUAGGAAAUUCUUCAUCCAAAAGGUUUCUUUGCAACCUUCAGUAAUUGCAAUAUACUCUGCUUUUGUGGUAGACAAGGCAGCACAUUGCUGAAGUCUGGAUUGUCCUGAGACUGCUUCCCCUGCAAAUGUGAGCAAAUAUCAUAAUGAGGAUUUUCUCGAAUAAACAUCUCUUACCAUAUCUGCAUCCGUGUACACUUGUAACACAUGUUUGUCACCAGCAAAACAUAAACAUGCCUUGGAAGUGCCUCUGAGAUAUCUGAGAAUCCACUUUACUGUUGUCUAGUAUUCUUUGUCCAGAUUAGACCAAAAUCCACUAACUAUACCAACUACAUGAUCAAUAUUUGGUCUUGUACAAACCACGGCGUACAUCAAACUACUAACUGCUGAAGCAUAAUGAACUUCUUUUAUUUCUUGCUUCUCUUUCUCACUUGUAGGACAAUACUCAAAACUAAACUUGAAAUAACCUACAAGUGGAGAACAAACAUAUUUUGCCUUACCUAUGUUAAAUAUUUCAAGAACCCUUUAACAUAUGCUUCUUGAGAUAACCAUAACUUUCCAACUUUUCUAUCGUGGGAAAUCUUCAUGCCAAGAUUCUGUUUCCCCAGUCCCAAGUCCUUCAUUGCAAAAGACUUGCUAAGCUCUCUCUUCAAAUUGUCAAUCUUACUAGCAUCCUGGCUAACAAUCAACAUGUCAUCCACAUAAAGUAAAAGAAUUAUGAAAUCAUUGUCACCAAACAUUUUCACAAAAACAUAAUGGUCGCACAUAGUCUUGUUAAAACUAUGAUUCUCCAUGAAAGAAUCAAAGUUCUUGUACCACUGUCUUAGUGCCUAUUUUAGUCCAUACAAACUUUUCUUCAACUUGUACACAAGUUCUUCUUUGCAUUUGACACUGAAUUCUUCAAGUUGCUCCAUAUAUAUUUCCUCCUCUAAGUCACCGUCCGAGAUAGCUACUUUUACAUCAAGCUAUUCAGUCUCUAAGUUCAAGCUAGCUGCUAAUCCCAGAACAACUUGGAUAGAAGAUAUCUUCACCACAGGAGAAAAUAUUUCUGUAAAAUCAACACAUUUCUUCUGACUGAAACCCUUCACAACCAAUCUAGCCUUGUACCACUAUUGUGAGUUGUUUUCAGUCUUCAAUCUAUAAACCCACUUGUUCUUCAGUGCCUUUUUUCCCUUAGGCAGCUUCACUAAGUCAUAAGUGUGGUUUUUAUUGAAAGAUUCCAUCUCUUCUUGCAUGGCUUUAACCCACUCACUUUUAUGCUGCUAAGACAUGGCUUCUUCAAAAUAUUAUGGCUCCCCUUCAUCUGUAAGCAUCACAUACUCAUGUGAAGCAUAUCUAGUGGAAGGUCACCGUUCUCUAAUGGAUCUCCACAAUUCUGGCUCAACUAGUGGUGAAAGUAGUUCUACAGGUGCCUGGUCAACUAGUUUUGCUAGACCAUCAUUAUUAUCCUCUCCAGCUCCCCUAUGAUCAUUAUAAACUACAGGUGGAGAAACUGAAGUUGGAAUAAUAGGAAUCUCCGGAGAUAACUGAGACUUGUCACUCUUCUCUGUAUCACCAACUAUCUGAUCUUCAAGGAACACAAAAUCUCUAAUUCUGAUCAAUUUUCUUGCCACUAGAUCCCAUAAUUUGUACCCAAAUUCUUCAUGCUUAUAGCAUAAGAAAAUGCAUUCCUUGUCUUUUCCCCUUUGCAUGUUGAAAUGUAAAUUGAGAAAUUUGAUAAGUGAAAAUGAUUAAGCCAUUUAAAGAAAUGUACAUUUCAUGAUAAUUCCAACUGAGUUUUUGAGCCUAUUAUCCUUAGAGAGUAACCUUGUUUGCCUAUAUAGUUACACAAUUUAUUAUACAAGAUCUCUAUAUUUUCCUCAAAGUUAAAAAAAAAAAGAUUUGAGGCCGCAUCUGAAAGUCCAUUGAAUUAGUGGAUAUGAAAGAUUAUUUAGAGCCCUAAAAGAUGAUAGAAUACAUCUUUGAUCCAUUUGAGUAUUUCUAGCCAUCUCUGUUAUAAAGUAUCCAUAGUUAACCCCUUUGAGCCUAUAUAGUAAUAAAUAAAUAAACUUUUUCUUUGGUAACCUAUCAUCUUGUCCCACUUCAAUGUGGAGUAUUACCUUAUGUUUUAUGUUUUCCACCACCCACUUAUGUUUGAAAAUAGGGAUGAUUAUUUAUUGUUGAUAAUGGUGCUAUGAAAAAAAAGGAUAUGUAUAUAUAUAAAUAAAUACAAAAAAAAGAAGAAAUAAAAGGAAAAAAAUUUCCAAGCAAAGAGCACCUUGUAAUCUUCAAAAAGCCCCCUAUUUUUCAAAUAUAUAUUUUUUAUUUUUCUUAUUACCAUUUUCUUGUUAGCCAUGACCCUAACCUACAUUACGUCCUAAUUAAAGUUCUUCUUGAUUUUAGGGAACUAUAGUAUGAACUAAAAGCUGGUAAUACAGACUCAAAGAUGUGGUGAUACAUAAAAAUAGAAAUAAAUUAAUUUGGUUAAUAAUUCUCUUGAGUUGAGAUCAUUUUAUUUCUAAGCUUUGGCCAUUAUUCUUUCAUCUUAGUAAGAACGUGUGAUAUUAAUUUAUAUUCUCUCAAUUUACCACUUCUUAGAGUCACAGUUUUUAUGGAGUAUAUUUUCUUUUGAGAGGGUCACUUUUAACCGUGAGGUUUUGGGGUUUGACGUAUCAUUCUAAAAGUGGCCUGAUUAAUGUAGCUUUAAUAAUUGAUCAUUUUACAUGAUUUUACUUAACUGAUUUGUGUGGGUGUGAUUUUCUUUAGACUGAAGAUAAUCCUUAUAUUUUUAUUUGAUUGUUUUCAUUAAUUCAAUGAAAGAAGUAAACACAAUUUUUCAAAAAAAAUUUCAAUUUGUGUUUGAACUUUCGCUAAAUUUUUAUCGCUUAAAUUGUUGGGGCCUAGAUAUAAGCUGGUUGGGGGGUGUGAUUGACACUAAAAAUUGUAUAUUUAAUAAGGAUAAAAUUAUUAGUUUUUCACUUAUUUUAUCGAUUAAUGCUUUCAUUAUUCAUAAAUUAUCUUAAUACUCUUCAAAUAUAUUUUUAUAAAUUAAUUUGUAAUAUAUUAAUUUCAUUUUAAUUUUAUAUUGCAGAUAUAUUUCAAGAAUAAAGAGGAGUUAGAACUAGAAGCAGGAACAAAGAAGAAUUGUUGGAGCCAUUUGGAAGCAUUAUCGAGGAGAUGUAAUUAAAAAAAUAAAAAAAUUAAAUAAAUAAUAAAUAAAAAAGUGGGCAAUCAUGUUGAUAAGGGUCAGGAGGCCAUUAAGCCGCCUGACCAUAACCUAUGUUUUGCUUGUUUGUGUGAUAAUAAUAAUAAAUAAUAAUAAAAUAAAAUAAUUUGAAGCUGAAGAUCACCUAUAAAUAGGAGCCGAGCGGGGAGUUGAAGCGAAGUGACGGGGGGAGAAAGCUAAAGAAUUCAUUUUUCUUUUUUUCUUUUUUUCAUGUGUAAUCAAUCUUCGUGUAAUAAAUUUCAGAAAUUCGCUAAAUAAAAUGAGUGUUUUGUUUUCCAAUAUGAGUGGCUAAAUUUUCUAAGUUGAGGUGAAAAGUGAAGCUCAAAAAUUCAAAUUAUUGAGUUAAUUACUCUCCCAAGUGAGUCUUAAAGUUUAUUUUAUUUAUUUAUAUUUUUCUUUCUUAUUGGUUUCUUUUAUGUCAUUUUAAUUUAUAAAUAAAAAUCUCUUCAGAUUUAUACGGUAUUUUGACAUAAUGUUGACACUUCAAUAUAGAUGUGGCACAUUAGGUACUUAGUCCUAUAUUUAUCACAUUAAUGGUUAGUUAAAAAUUAAAUGGCAUAAUAAUUAAUUGGUAAAAGAAAUACAAAAUAUAAAAUUUGAGGAGUAUUAUAACCAUAAUUUGAAAUCAGAGAGUUGAUCUCGUAACCUUAGCAUAUUUUUAGAUUGAUUCAAAUUAAUUUCUUUUCCUACAUUAAAUUUUCUGAGUUUAAUAAAUUGACUACUAGAUUUUAAAUUUCCUGUGGUUCGAUUGUGAACUCAUCGGGUUAUAUUAUAACUAGACACUCUUAUACUUGGGAGUAAUAACACUUUUGAGUCGUGUCAGUCCACACCACACAUAUAAACAAAGUUAAUAUUUUCAUGGCCAUACAUUUGCUAAUUCCUCUAAUCAAAUAUAAAUCUAACUCAAUCUACUAAAGCACAAUAAUUACCACACCUGAUAUAAUAAAAACUUAUUCCACUAACAAUUAUCACACCUAACAUGGUAAAAACUUAUAAUUUCACAACAAAAGGCGUAGAUUCUCCUUGAUAGUGACUUAACUUUUUUGGACUUCCAGAUUCCAAAUUUGACAUACGUUUAUUUGUUUGGAGCCUUGAAUUGUGUGAAGUCAUUAUACCCAAUAAAUACAUAAAAAUACACAAAAUAAAAUAUUUAGAAACAUAAUUAGAAAUUCAUAAUAUGUUACGCAAUUACAAAUGUAAAUUAUAAUAUAAGCGCGAAAUAAUAUUUUUACCCUUUAGUGAACAUAUAUUUUUUAACAUUAACCACAACCCCAACCAGUUUAUUGCUAGACCCCAACAAUUAAGGCAUUAUAAUAAAUUGAGAUUUACAAAAUUUACAUGCAAAUUAAUAGUUGUUCAUCUAUCCUAUAAACUAUCAAAUAAAUAAACUCUCUCAAAUUUCAUUACUUAGCUUUUUGUUGUUCACCCAUUAUUCAGGAUAUCACCAAACCUUCUUUUGUGCUCAAGAGAUUAACAUAAUACAUAUAGGGCUUCAUUAAAGGAAAACAAUGUUUUCAUUCUAAAAUUCAUUGGAAAUUUUAUCUUUAGGCAGUAGAUUAUUCACACAUCUUUUAAAAUAUUACAUUUUUAAUCCAUAUAGUGAGCUUUAGGCCAUUGACUCCCAGACUAGUUGUUCUUAAGGCAUUAGGUGUUAAAACACCCUUAUGGACUUAGUAAACAACGUCUUUUAAAGUCAAAUUCCCAAAAUUGAACUAUGUACUUUCUUUUUAGAAUAGUGUCUAUAAAUUAUAAAUCUCACACUAUACAUAUCCACUUAGAUGCUCUCAACAGAUCACAAGAUAUCAUCUAAUGAUUCUUUACCUAAACCAUCUUUAGUGAAUUUAAUUUUACCUUUAUGAUUUUUAGAAAUCAUUCCUAAAGUGUUAUAGUGUGGUCAAUUGCAAUCAAGUCUUACAUAGUUAAGACAUUUAGAGCCAAGUUGUUUAGCCCGCUUUCUUUUAGCAAUGUGUUUUUACCAAAACCAGACAUGUAAAAACAAAUGGAUCAGCAAACUCACCUGCCCAUCAAACCUUUGCUUCAAUUAACCAACAAAUAUCAACAUAAAAUCCAUUGAUAAUUAACAAAAGCAAUCGUUCACAAGGAGCUUUGUAAAUUUUCUUGAGAUAAUUUUGAGGGAGAGAAGGAAAAUACUUAUAUAAUUUACGUUGUAUUUCUUCUAUGUUUUGAUUUUAAGGUUCUAGUUACUCUAGAAAACUAACGAUACUAACUUAAAAAGCCACAGGGUACCAUUAUCCAUCAUUUAUAUGGGAAAGUGAAUUAAAGCAUAUAAAAGAAACGAAUCAAUUCUGCAAAAUUAAGUCAAAUGUGAAAGCGAAUAAAACCAAAAAUGAAAAACACACAAUGUAAAAAAAAAAAAAAAGGGUCUAAUCAAACAUUCAACUCAACUUCAUCCUUUUGUUGAGUCAAUUUCAAGUUCUAAUUGGAAUCCUUGAGUUGUCUUUCUAGAUUUUCAAUAUGGAACACUAACAUUGGUGGUAAUAGAUUCCAAAUAGGAUGUGAUGUACAAAUUCAUAUCAAGUCUCUUUAGUGAAACUUCACUUGUAAAAAUUCUCUAAGAUGUUCAAAGAGGAUCUUUUUUAUUGAGGUCUUAUGUCAUAUAUCAAAAAUGAUAAAAGAAAACACAAUCGUCAAACACACUUAGGCAAGAGAUAUCACGAUACUUAAAAUAUGUGCCAUGCACAUCAUCUGAGACAUAAAAAAACAACAAUCAAACACUUUCAAAUUGGCAAAGUAACAGUAAAACAAUAUACUAAAAAGUAAAGUGACUCAUCAAAUAAAGAAAAAAAAACCUAAAUCAAGAUUUGGUGGGUCAUUCAAAUUUAUUUUGGUGCUUUCUUCUUGUGAUUGGUAUUCUAGAUAUAGUUUUAAUCUUUGACUAUUAACUUUAAAUGUAACACCAUUCUUUGAAUUUUCAAUUUCUACAUCCCCAUAUGGAUAUAGAUGUUUUACAACAAAUGGACCAUCCUAGUUUGGCUUUAACUUCUCUGGAAACAAAUGAAGACAAGAAUUAUAAAGCAAGACUUUUUAACCAUUCUCAAAUAUUUUUCGAAAAAUUCUUUUAUCGUGAAAAACUUUUGUUCUUGCCUUAUAAUUCUUGAAUUUUCAUAUACAUCAUUCCUUAAUUCCUUAAAUUCAUUCAAUUACAAUUUACGUAUAUUACUAGCAUCAUAAAUAUUUGAAAAGCUCUAACAGCCCAAAAUGAUUUAUGCUCAAGCUCAACUAGUAAGUGGCAAGGUUUACUCUAAACCAGCUGAUAAGGCGACAUUCUAAAUACGUCUUAAAUGCAGUACAGUAAGCUUAGAGUGUAUCAAUCAGUUAAGAGACCAAUCUUUGUGGUUUAGGCUAACCGUCUUUUCUAAAAUUUAUUUUAUCUCGCUAUUUGGUAAUUCAAAUUGACCAUUUGCUUAAGGAUGAUAAAGGGUAGUACCUUUAUGUAUAAUUUCAUAUUUCUUCAUUAAGGACACAAAUGACUUGUUACAAAAAUACUUACCUCUAUUACUGAUAAUGACUCAAGAGAUUCCAAAUUGUCUUAAAAUUUUUCUCUUAAAAAUUUAAUCACAGUCUUGCUAUCAUCAUUUCAAAAAGAAAUUGCUUCAAUUCAUUUCGAGAAAUAAUCAAUUGCAACUAAUAUGUACACAAAUCCACAAGAUAGUGCAAAAUGAACUUACGAAAUCAAUUGCAACUAAUCAUGUUUCUUUUAGCAAUUGAUCCCAAUUUUUUACAGUUCUCACAAGUUUUACAAAAUUCAUAUGUGUCUUUAAAUAUGGCAGGCCAAUAAAAUCCACAUUACAAAAUUUUAAUAAUAGUUUUUCUUGAAGAAAAGUGUCCACCAUAUGCUUCAAAAUGACAAAAAUUUAAUUAUACUACUUAUCUCAUUGUCAGGAGUACAUCGCCGAAGAAUUUGAUUCGGGCAAUAUUUGAACAAGGAUUGUCCCAAUAAUAUAUAUUUUUUUUUGCUUCAACAAAAAAUUUCUUCUUAUCUUCAGUGUCCAAUUGCCAAGGCAUUUUCCCUGUAACAAGGAAAUUAACAACUUAGCAUACCAUGCAUUGAAGUAAUAGAAAAUCAAAAUUCGUUUGGAAAAGAAUCAUUAAUAGGUGUUGUGUUUAUAUAGAAUUCAGAUGUAAGUCUUGAUAAAUGACAAGCAACGAAAUUUUUUGCUCCCUUUUUAUCUUUGAUGGUGAGACUAAAUUUUUGGAGUAACAAAUUCCAACAAAUUAGUCUUGGUUUAGAAUCAUGUUUAGUCAUCAAAUAUAUCACAGCAACGUGGUUAGUAAAAACAACAUAUUUAAAACUGAGCAAAUAUGAACGAAAUUUAUUUAAUGUAAAUACCACAACAAGUAAUUCUUUUUCUAUUGUAAAAUAAUUCAUUUGAGCAAUAUCCAAAGUCUUCCUCGCAUAAUAAAUCACAAAGGGCUUACCAUCUCUUCUUUGUCCUAAUAGCAAAAUCACUUGCAUCACACAUUAAUUGAAAAAGGUAAAUAUCAAUCAAGAGAUUGCAUAAUAGGUGCAGAUGUUAAAAGACAAAACAUUAGUUCAUUCAAAGGAUGCAUCUUUUAAUAAAAGGUUACAAAGUAAUUUAGAUAUUACAUUAAAUUUUUUUUAUAAACCUCCUAUAAAAUCUUGCAUGUCCUGAAAAGAAUUGCACAUCUCUAAUUAUUUUUUAUUGUAGCAAUUUGAUAUGGCUUCUAUUUUUGCUUUGUCAACAUUAAUUCCUUUAACAGAUACAACAUGAUCUAAAACAAUUUCUAGAAGUAACUAUGUAAUGACAUUUUUUUCAAUUCAAUACAAUUUCUUUUCAACACGUCUUUUUAAUACUUUUCCAAAAUUAUCUAGGACAUCAUCAAAAGAAUUCCCAAACACAGUCAAAUUGUCCUUAAAAACCUCUAAAUAAUGUUUAACCAUAUCACUACAAUUACUUAGAUUGCAUCUUUGAAAUGUUAUAAGAGUAUUACAAAGUCCAAAAAGUAUUUUUUUUUCAAAUGCAAAUGUUCUAAAAAGACGUGUAAAUAUGGUAUUUUCUUGAUCCUCAAGUGCUAUAGAAAAUUGAUAAUAGCUUGCAUAUCCAUCUAAAAAACAAUAGUAGGGAUGUCUAGUAAAGUCCAUCUAAUACAUUUUUAUACUUUUUAAAAACAGAUAGCCACUUACCUUCUUGGUCGCCUAUUAGAAUAAAAGAAAUCACAACAGGAUAAGUUGGUUACUUUUUAAGAUAAGCAUAUUUCAAUACUUCAGGCAAAGGUUUCAAUUUAAAUUUAAGUGCUUCUUGUUGUUCUAUCUUUUCAAUGAUACUAAGCUCUUUAAAUUUUGGUUAUUCAUCAUCAUUUUGUAAAGUCUGAGUAGAAUUAAGCAACAAAUUUAUAUUAGAAACAUCACGUUCAAGUUGCUUAUUUGAUUUAAUUGAAUUAACUAAACAAAUAACAGUAAGUUCAGAAAAAAAAAUUCUUUUUGAAUAUUUUCCUCUAUACAUGAUUCACGCAAUUCAUUUUGUUAAUUAGUAUCAUCUUCAUUCUCAUUUUCUUCAUUAGGUUGCCUACACAUGUUGAAAACAUUCAAUUUUAGAGUCAUACUUCCAAAUUAUAAAUUCAUUAAACCAUUCCUACAAUAAAUCAAAGUAUUAACAGUCGCUAAAAGUGAUCGGUCCAAAAUUAUAGGAAUUUGUUUAUAAUUAUUGACAAUAGCUUUAAAUUUUAGGACAAUAAAAUCCACAAGGUAUAUGAAUUUAUCAACUUGUACUAAAACAUCUUCCACUAUUACUUUUGGUAUUUUAACUGAUUUGUCGAUAAGCAAAAGUGUAUUUGAAGUUGAUUUUAACUACUAAGAUUAGAUUAAAGAUAAACUAAAUAUGGAAGCAAAUUAACACUACCAUCAAGGUCUAGUAAAGCAUGCUUAAUUCUGUGAUCACCAAUAAUACAAGAUAUAGUAGGACAAUUAAGAUCUUUAUAUUUUAAUGUAUUAUUAGUAGAUAGAAUAGAGCUUACCUAUUCAUCCAUAGUAACUCUGUUUUUUACCUUCAAUUUCAUCUUGACAGUGCAAAAGUCUUUCAAAAAUUUGGCAUAGGAAGGUACCUGCUUAAUGGCAUCUAAUAGAGGAAUGUUAACUUUCACUUGCUUAACGAUUUUAUAAAUUUUAGAAGAGUGGUUUGAUUUCUUUGGUUUAUUCAAUGUUUGCGAAAGUUGUGGUUCAAAUAGAAUAAUAAUUAUUUCUUUAAGUGGUGUAAGUUUAUUUAGUCCUUCAAGCCUUUUGAAUUUUCACUGUCUUCACCUUCAAAAAGUUCAAGAACAGAUCUUUCAACAACCUUACCCCUACAAAGAGCUAUUAUUGACUUGACUUGGCCCAUAGGUGGAUUUUGUUGGAUCUUAGGAGUUUGUUGUGGUUGAGCUAUAUAUUUACCUUUUUCUUGAAUUGUGAGCACAAAAGCAAUUUUAGUAAGAGUACCUUUCAAAUUAGAAAAGGUUUGUGUAUUUUGAUUAUUAAUAACAUUUUACUUUCCAAUGAAUGGAACAAAUGAUGCAUAAGGCUGAGUAUUUUGAAAAAUUUUUUGAGGUAGUGCUUGUGAAGAUUUUGCAUUAUUAUUAUUAUUUCUCCAACUAAAAUUUGGAUGAUUCCUCCAACCAAGAUUGUAAGUCUGUGAAUGUAGGUUUGGCUUAUUAAAAGUGUUAAUGGCAUUAGUUGGAUCAUGGAGACACUCUUUAAGUGCAAGUAGAGUGGAACGAUCUUAAAUGAAAUGAUCAUUGGAACCACAAACACUAAAUACAAUUUCUUGAAUAGAUUUUACUUGAUCACUCUUUUCAUAUUCUAAAGCUACAACCUUCCUAACUAGGAAUAUAAUUUUUUCUAGUAAAUUAGGAUCUUCUCUAAGGUUAUGGAUUCCUUCACUAGAUAGAGAUGGUUGUGGUUUAUUUAUCAAUUCAAAAGUUCAAUAGUAUCCCAAUGUUGUGCAUCUUAAGCUAAUUGGUCAAGGUUAUGCAUAUUCAUGAUUUUUAUCUCUAAGUUCACUAUUACACAUCAUUCAUAUUCAGAAUUUUUAGCUACUUUGGGGUAUCAAGCCUCUACAGAAAUGAAUGACCAAUCACCAAGUUUCAAAACCAUAGUAUGGACAUAUGCUAAGCAAUUCUUUAAACCUAUCCCAAUAUUGGUAUAAUGUUUCCUAUAUUUUUGAGUGAAAGAAGUGAUUUGCCAUUCAAAUGAAUUAAUUCCAUGAAGUGGAAAUUUUUUUUUGAAAAAUUGUUCUUGCAUGUUAAUCCAAGUACACUCAGCUUAUUCCAUUAAUAAUUACCACACCUAUCAUGGUAAAAACUUAUUCCAUUAACAAUUACUGCACUUAACUUGGUAAAAACUUAUAAUUGUGCAACGAAAGGGGUGGAUUUUCCUCGAUAAUGACUUAAUUUUUUCAAACCUCCGGAAUCUAAAUUUGAUAUCUAUUUACAUGUUUAAAACCUCGAAUUGUGUGAAAUUAUUAUUUUACCUAAUAAAUAUACAAAAAUACACAAAAUCAAAUAUUUAAAAAUAUAAUUAGAAAUUCACAAUAUGUUACAUAAUUGCAAAUGCAAAUUAUAAUAUAAGCACAAAAUAACAUGUUUAUCCCUUAGUAAACAUACAUUUUUUAACACUAAUUACCAAUGUAACUAAAAGUGUUUCACAUAAAUAGUGUUUAUUAUUAUUGUUGUUAUUGUUGUUGUUGGUGGUGGUGGUGGUGGUGGCAAGGGCGGCAAAUAACUAUGUCUAAUUAAUAAAUAUACGGAAAUUAUCAUUCAUAUACCUUAUAUUUGCUCUGUUAUAAAAAAUACUACAACACUUUGAGGGUGUAUCAAUCGUUCACCCUUAGUUGACAAAAUGUAUCAGCCGACCACCAAACCGUUAGUUGUCGUUUGAAAGUUAACGGAGUUACAGUGAAUUGACGAUUUUACCCUUGAAAAUUAUCACUUGUAUACCCUUAAAUUCUCUUUUUAUCACUUGUAUACCCUUAAAUUAUCACUUGUAUCAUAUGAAAAGACCAAAUUACCAUUCUGACAUCAUCAUACUUAAACGGCAACUAACGGUUUGGUGGUCAUCUGAUACAUUUUGUCAACUUAGGGUGGACGAUUGAUACACCCUCAAAGUGUUGUAGUAUUUUUGAUAAUGGAGUAAACUAAGGGUAUACAAAUGAUAAUUUCCCAUAAAUAUAUCCUAGUGGGAGCUGAUGAAUGGUAUUAAUAUUUUUAUAUAUCAUGUUUAAUGGACAUAAUUAUUAAUAAGGGACAUAACUAAUCCUCAAGAGACACAACUUCCCUUAUAAUUUAAGAGUCAUAUACCUAUAAAAAGAUUUGAUGAACAGACAUCAAUAAUCUAUCAAUACACCCUUUUAUAUGUAUUUCACAUCAUUUAUAUUUACGAGUUGAAGACAUUAGUUCUUAGAAACUCCUUUAUCUCAAUGCUAUAGUUGUAAGAUUUUUUUUAGUUUAACACUAAUUCUCUCAAGAUUACUUAUAUAAAGACCAACAAUUAAUUGACUAGAUUUCUACGUCAGUAAAUUACCACACACUCUAGGGAUAGUAUAAUUAGUCGCCAUUAAAAGUUAUAAAGUGCCAUCAAAGCACAAGUCAAUGAAACCAAUGCGACAAACAGAGCCAUGAAUUGCCAUGGAUUUAAGCCCAACAUAGAGGAAGUAUAACAACUCUAGGCUACAACUACCAAUUACGCAGUAAGUGGCUGACUUGGUAUAAAAUAUGACUUGGGUGAUCAAAUACAUAGAAAACCAAAUGAACUGUAAGCUAGCUCUACUAGUUAAGGAGCAUCAACAUGAUCAGGGAUUAGUGUUGUGCAAAUUUUAAUGAACUCGCAAGUGCACGAAUCUAUUGUAGUGUAGAUCAAUGGUGACGAGUGUCGAUCCCACGAGGAGGUGGAUUUUAAUUGCGUGUAGAAUUAAUUUUCUAAAUGGGUGGUUGGAUUUGUGGUGAAAAUGAUUUGGAUUAUCCUAAAAUUGGAAUUGAAAUGGCUAGAAUAAAUUGAAGAUAAAUCUAUUGAAAUGACGUACUUGGGUAUCUGGAUCUGUAUCAACAUGCACCAUGGGCUAAAUAUUCCUUAUUAAUGCCAAUUAAAUCAUGAGGGGGGAAUCAACACCUCAUGAACGACACUCUAAUCAAUAUGGUGCUAAGGGCUUAUCGUGCCAAAUAAUAAUAACCUUGUACCAGGGAGUUAAUGUAAUCAGGGCGGUAUCUAGAAAAUAUUAUUAUUAUUUGUCGACGAAAAGUCAAAUCAUCCACAAAAAUUAGAGGGGAAAAGAAAAUAAAUUUACCAAAUAAAGCCCAUGACACAUGUUGAGACUUCACCUUCAACCCAAGCUUGAAAGAAAAUUAGCUACUCAUAAUUGAACUAGGGGUAAAAGGGGAAUUUAUUAAAAUACGUAGAAAAUACAAGAUGAAGAGGGAAUUACAGAAAAUGGAGUCCAAAAAUGGAUUCAGAGGUAUCAAAUUAGGGGGGGAGGCCCCAUUUUUAUAGAUACAUUGAGUAAAUCGUAGCCAUCGGAUUAAAAACAGUUUAGACGCUCAGGAUUGCGCCACGUCAUCAAUCAACAGUACGCGGUUUGACUACACUUGUGAACAGUAACACGGUUUGACCCGGGUUGAACAGUGACGCGGUUUGGUUGAAAAUAAUCAUGUGUGAUGCAUGUACCGUACGCGAGAUUUUUGGUCCACUGAUAUGCUGCCACGUCACCAUCAACAGUACAUAAGAAUUUUAGUCCAACAGGAUCGUGACACCUCAUCAGUCAAUGCCACAUCAUCGGUCAAUGCCACGUCAUCGAUCCGUCUAUGUAAACAGUGUCGUGAACAGUAACGUAGGCAGUACCGUACACGUGAAUAGUACCGUACAUGUGAACAGUGCCAUUUUUCCUUUUAUGCUCCUCCUAAGGUUUUCGACCGUCCUGAGUUCAAAAGUGAUAUCUGUUUUGUCGUCUGAUCUCUCGUUUAUUGUGAAAUAACCAUGAUGCCUCUAAAAUACAUAAAAUACUUAAUUAAAAUAAAACACAAAUAAUUAAAUUACAAGAAGCUUAAAUACAUAAAAGUAAGGGUUGUUAGUAAGACGUGAAAUAUAAAAUGACAAUUUUCUCCUUUAUAAAUAUACAUUUUCUAACACUCAACAAUUAGCAAGGAGAAAGGUCUAGUAAAGGCCUUCUCAAGAGGAUAGAUUUAUUAGGAGAACAAGAGCCCAUGCAAGCCAAAAUAAUCGUGAAAGUGGCAAUCUUCAACAAUAUUGAAGUCUAGGCAGGACUUGUGUUAAAGGUUGAAUGCAACACAUAAGUCAAGAAGGCAUGAGGAGUAGAAUCUAGUACUAAUUUAACAAGCCUUGAAGUAGAGUUAAGGAGAUUUAAGAAGAGGAUAAAUGUUAUAGAGAAAAAUCCUGCUAGAAUAGUUUUGGAACAUGUAGAACCUUAUUUCAAAGGCAUUACUUCCCUCCAAAGUUCAAGAUGCCUCAAAUAAAGUUAUUUGAAGGUGUAAGACAUAUAGUUAAGCACUUAGAGACCUACAAGUCAUGCAUAGAGUUGUAAAGUGCAUACAUAGGGCUUUUUCUCUAAUUCUCAUAGGAGCGGCAUGCAAGUGAUACAAAAAUCUGAAGCCAGGCUUAAUAAUUUCAUUUGCUCAGUUAAGUCAGAUAUGUGUUAGUCAAUUUGUGUGAGCUAGAAACUAUUAGCUUCUUAUAACUAAUCUUUUAUCAAUUUUACAAAAGAAUGAUAAGACAUUGAAAAAUUAUAUUGAUCAGUUUAAUAAUGAUGCGACAAUAUUGGAAAACUACCCUAAAAAAGUGGCCUUCAUUGUCAUUAUGAUUGGUUUAUGACUAGGGCGAUUUCAUUACUUGUUCACAAAGAAUGCAUUAACAACCUUCAUUGAGUUAUUAUUAAGAGCUCAAAAGUAUUCUAAUGCAGAUGAGUUAGCUAAUACAAAGAGGAAUAUAAACCCAAACUAAGAAAGUGUAGUAGACAAAAAGGAAAUUGAUAAGUAAAUGGUAAAGAACAAAAAUAAAAAGGAAAAUCAAACGAAUAACAAAAAUUAGAGUUGUAUAGUCUCUUUUGUAUUGUUCAAAAUAAGAAAUCUAGUUUUUUGUUGUUUGAGCAAAAUAUAUCCCCUGAUUUUAUAUAAAGCUAGGGAAUGCAUGAGGAUAAUGCCAAUAUGAAUUGUUUGGCAAGGGUACAAAUAUUUCACCCCUCAGUAAGUAGCAAGGAGAUGGUAAAAAUCUAAUUAGUUGAUAAGACCAGAGAUACUCCACCUCUUAAAAAGAAGUCCUAGCAAAGGUUAGGCUCGACAUGACAUCUUGAAGAAUGUGCAGAAAGCUGUUGAACUAAAGAAAGGCCAAAUGAGUGGCAGGCACCCUUAGAAAAGAAUUCAUGCUUUUAAAAACAAACAAAGCAAGAGAAAAAUUCUUGUUUUCCUAAAGAGAAGGAAAACAGAAAAGUGAGAAGAAUUCUUUCUCUCCUAAAGAGGAUACAAGCAGGAAAGUUAAAAGGAAUUCUUACUCCUCUGAAGAGGAUGGAUGCAGAAAAAGCAAGAAAGUUAAUAGAAUUCAUGCUCUCCUCGGAGGGGAAAGAAGCAGAAAAGUUAAAUUUAUGGUCUAGCAAAUUAAAGUGAAACAGGAAAGUUAGAAUUUUUCUUAGAGUUUUAAAGAUAUAAAAGCAAGAAAGUUAAAAGGGAGCAAAGAAUACCAAGAGAGCAAUAUUAAAAAUGCACAACUUUAUUAUGUAGGGAGAUCGUACAAAAAAUCAUUCUUUAUAGUGCAGGCGUUGAAAAUGCUAAAAGCAAAAUACAAUAUAACAUAACAUAUAUAAGAAAGUAGAAAGAUACGAGAGAUGUGAAUUAGUCAUCUUCAUCAUUGUCUAGAAAAGAAAGGUCGAGUUAAGGAUAAUUGUCAUUACUUAUAGCUCUCAAUUGGUCGGCAACUCAACAUCCACUUUCUCCUUACCAUGUCAAUUUUUAACUUUUCUAAUUCACUGGUCAGUUCUUCGUCCUCUUGAAUUAAUCUUUGAUUUUUAGACAAGUAGUAUGCUAAUUCUACUUCUGAGUAAGCAAUGGAAAGAAUUUUCUCAAGAUGAGGAAUAAGAAUUUCAUCCUCAAAAAGAAUUAUUUAUGUAAAAAAAAAAGAACAGAAAGCUCGAAGAUGCGACUAAAAAGUGUAAAAAGAUAUAUAAAGAAUUUAGAUCUAUUUUAACAAAUGUAAGAAAAUUAAAACACUAGAUAAAUUAAUUUUUCCUAAUUAAUAAAUCUUAAAAUUACUAUUCUUAUAAAUCAUUCAAGCAAUACUGUUACGAUUCACUAUUCAUACGAUCUUAUUCAUAAUUAUUGUUCAUCAUAGAUAUUUACCACACUAUUCACAUUACUAUUCAUUGAUUAUAAAUCUAUCAAAUAUGUUAGAAACAGUAAAUUACAAAAGGUAAAGCACACAGAGGGUUUUACAUGUUUCGAGUUACUACAUACAUCCACAGGGUCAUGCCCAGAUAAUAAGCAAUUCAUUAAAUAAUGAAAAGAUUAAAACCUAUUAGACUCUUAAAUAAUUUUAGACACCCUCUUACUCUAGUCAUCACCUUAUUGUAUCUAACUUAGUUAAAUUUGCUUAUCGAGCAACCCUUGUCUUCAAUUAUGUUUGCUGCUUUCCUUGAGAUCUCCUCAACCAACAAACGACCUCUUCUUCCCAAAGAAACUAAGUAAAUAUAAAGAAUGUUUAAUGAAAGACUUUAUAUGAUAAAGACUUGAUGAAGAAGACUAAAGCAUCAUAUAGAUAUGAAACAUCAUGUGCAGCUAAAUAGGAUUUUUUCUUGUUUUCUAUGUUGGAUACUUCUCUGAUAUAAAAUACGAUACAUGUUCUUCUCUGUCUUCAAUGUGUAAAAUAAUUAUCUUUAUAUAAGAGUAGUAUUUCAUCCAAGCCCUAGUAGAGGAGUACUAAUGCUUGGACGUAAGUACACACCUUUAAUAAUAUAACAUGCAAUAUGAAGUAAUUAUAUCCAAAGAUGUUUAGUUAAUUUCUUAGAAUUUAACAUCGCAUGCGCCCAUCUCCUGUAAAGUUCUAGUUUUCCUUUCAACAAAUCCAUUUUGGUCAGGAGUAAUAAGUACUGAAAAUUUAUGCGGUAACCAUGUCUAUCAUAAAUUCUGCAAAAUUGGCAUUUUUAAAUUCUUUUCUAUGACCACUUCUAAUUUUGCCAAUAUUGUGAUCGUUUUCAUUUUUCAAUUCAACACAUAUAAGCACGUCAAAUGUAUCAUAUUUUUCUCUAAUAAAACCAACCCGUGUGCAUCUAGAGAAAUCAUCUACGCAAACAAAAGCAAAUCUUUUUCCAAUAAUACUUUCCACUUGCUUUGGACCCAUAAGAUCUGUAUAAAGCAAAUCGAGUACUUUAGAGAUGGUGAUGUAUUGCACAGUCUUGAGCGAUGUUCUUUAUUUUUUACUGAAUUGACAAGAAUUGCAUACUCCAAGCUAUUUCUUGUUGAGCUUAAGUAUUCCUCAUAUAAUUUUUGUACUCACGAGUUUAGUUGAUAAUUUGAAAUUUAAAUGACCAAGUUUUUAGUGCCAUAUUUCAAUCUUACCAAAAAUAGCUUUAUGACAAGAAUAUAUUGGAUUAAUUUAUAACAAUCAUCAGAUGAUCUAGUUCCUUCAAGCAUACACUUGUCCUUGUUAUUAAACAAUUGACAUUUACUGCUAUCAAAAUUUACCAUUAAGUUUUAGUCACAAAUUUGGCUAAUACUCAAAACAUUAGCUUUCAAAUCUCUAACAUAUAAAAUAUUUUCAAGUCUCUAACAUAUAAAAUAUUUUCAAGUCUCGGAAAACCAUCAAACAUUUAAAGUUCCUUUUCCAAGCAUAUGACUUUUAAUACCAUCAACAAAUGUUACAUGUUCUUGAUUGCAUUCUUUAUAAUUUAUUAAGGCACUACGAUACCAAUCAUGUGUCUAAAACAACUACUAUAAAACUACCAGAAAUUAUUAGUACAAGCUCAAGAAGAUGUAAAUGACACAUAUGCUUUUAAUUUAGUUUUCCUAAUCCAAAUUGUCCAAUAAAGUUAUCUUUAGAUUGAAGCUUUAAUUUAAGACAUAGCCAGAUUUAUCAUAUACAUAUAAAUUAGAUGAAACAACUUUCUUUAUGUAUUUCAUGAGCUUAAAGCAUCUAGGCCUUAUGUCAUUUUCAGGGCAAAAGUGACAAGUAAGAACCAACCUUUCAUACUUAUCACGUGAGCCUGAUUUCCAAUGUACCAUCAAUUUAUCUUUCAUUUCAUUAGGGAGCUUUGCCUUAGAUAGUGGCAGUUCAGUCAUUGGCAGAAAAGCUUUAACAAAAAUAGUAUUUGAAUUUAAAAUGAUUCAAUUAUUAUAUCUCAGACCAUGAUAAUCUGAACUAGCUGUUUCCAUAAUUAAAAGUUGAUCAAGUUGUUUUGUUCGAGAAUUCAUUAUUCUCAAAGAUUUUUUAGUACUUUUUAGCUCAGUUGAAACUACCUUCAAUUUUUCUUCUUUUUCAAGAAUAAUGGUUUGAAGGUUGAUUCCCUCACUUUCAAACCUUAACUUUUCAUGAAAGAGUUCUGACAAUUGAGCUUCCAUUUUCUUGUAUUUUUCAUUCAUUUUAUCCAUUUUGAAUACAUGCAAUUAUAUGCUUCACUCAUAAAUGUAGCAACGACAUCAAUAUCAUAACUACUUUUGGCUUCUGAAUUACAUUCUUCAUUAAUCGACUUCAUACUUGAAAUUUUAAUAUUAUGGAAAAGAAUACAUAAAUCACAAGAAGGACAAUCAUCACUUGAUUUUGGUCUUUCAUCAUCAAAAUCUUUCAGUUUCAACUUCUUAACAUGAACAACAAGUUUGCCAACAAUAUCUUCAUCAUCAACGCUCGAGUUAUCAUUAUCACUCCAUGUUGUUUGCAUUGCUUUCUUCUUUUUCAAGAUUUAGUUAGGAUAUUGAAUUUGAAUAUGGCUGAAACUGUCAAAAGCAUUGCGUCGAAUACUUCAACCUAUAUUAGUUUUAAACAAAUUGGAGCCAGAUUUACCUUAUUGUGCAAGUUAUGGCUUUGAUGAGAAUUUCUUUUUCUUUUUGUUUAUAGAAUUUCCUCAAGUCAAAUAUUAAAUCUCCUUGGUUAACUUAACCAGGGAUUUUUGUACGUCUUAACUUCAUUAGUUGCGUCUAAAGCUAUUAACAUGUAGAUGUUCGUUAUAUUGAUUUUGAUGAUAACAAACUUUAAAUGUUUUUGAUUAAAAUGUUGGAGUUUUCAUUAAUAAACAAUUUCUCAAAAGCGGUAUAAUCUUUCUAAAUGUGUUCAUGAAAUAUGGAGAAUCGUUAACUUUAAUCAGAAAAUCAUUCCCUGCGAAAUUUAGUUAAAACUGUGAUUCUAGAAGAAAACGGUGAACCGUUAACUUUCAAACUGUUAACCGAUAAUUACUAGAGAGGAAUAAAUCCUUAAGCUUGAACUGGUUAGCAAAAACGGAUAAGGGAAAUGAGUUUUGCAGGUUACUGGAAUUAAACGACGGACCAUCAAUGUCAAACGGCUAACCGAUAAUUUUCAGAAUGUCAUUCCAUGCUAACCUUCAUCAUUUAGCAAGAACGAAUAGCAGAAAUUUGUUUUGCAAGUCUUUGGAAAUUAAUAGCAAACCGAUAGUAACAAACGAUCAACCGUUUAUUUAAAAUUCAACUCAACGGUCACUUGGACCAAUCAAAACGGUUAACCGAUAACGGUUUAACGGCGAUUCGAUUUUGGACAAAAAGUCAACAACGGUUAUUUUUCAGCUCCAACUAUAAAUAAGCUUAAUCAAAUUUAAACAUGGGUUGAUCACAACGUUAUCAUUAAGCUUAUAAUCAAUAAUACAACAUUCAUUGAGCUUCAAAUUUAUUCUUGUUCAUUUAUUCACACAUUAAACAUUGAUUUGUAAUCUUAUAUAUUGUGUGAGAAAAAAAAAUAUAAUCUAUGUUUUGAGUGAUUGUAAGCGUUGGGAUACACUUGGGUUAAGAGAUUAUGGAUAAUCUCUAGAGGUAAAGGUUGAUUGAUACCUAAGAAGUCAAUUGUAAGUGUUCUUGAUGACUUGAAGGCUUGACUAGUGGAAUCAUCAAGCUCGGUGUGCUUGGAGGCGUGGAUAUAGGCAAGGUUGGCCGAACAACGUAAAAAUAUUUGUAUUUGAAUAUCUUUUCCUUUAUCUUUUUAUAUUUUGGUUGAUUUAUUUAUUAUUGCUUUAAAUUCAUUUAAGAUUUGCAUUAAAUUUGGUUCAAAAAUUGUAAAAUUUUUAGAAACCCAAUUCACCUUCCUCUUGGGUUGCUUAGAUAUUAUUUCAUUUGGUAUUAGAGCAAGGUUCUCUUAUUAGGACUUAACCGUCUAGAGUAAAAGAUCCAUAGCAACCCAAAAUAAUUCAACCUUUAGGGAAAGACAAUCUACAACUAGACCAUCGUUCUUUGACAGUAAUGACUACCCAUAUUGGAAAACUAUAAUGAGAAUUUACUUGCAAGCCUUAGAUUACGAAUUUUGGGAAGUUGUUUGUGAUGGUCUAUUUAUGCCUAUGACUAAAAAUGAAGUAGAACAUGAUAUUCCAAAACCUUCAAAUCAAUGCAGUGAGUUAGAAAAAAAAAAUAUGUUUUUAAACUCCAAGGUAAUGAAUGCUCUAUUUUAUGCUCUUAAUAAGAAAGAAUUUCAUAGAGUAUCUAGUUGUGAGAGUACACAAGAAAUAUGGAACAAACUUGAGGUUGUCUAUGAAGGGACAAAUCAAGUUAAAGAGUCUAAAAUCAGUAGAUACACUCAUCAAUAUGAAUUGUUCCAAAUGGAACAAAAUGAAAGUGUGUAUUCUAUGUAUACACAAUUUACAAACACAAUGAACACUCUUGAAGCCCUAGGAAAGACUUUUUCAAAUAGCGAGAAAGUCAAGAAAAUCAUUAGGUCACUUCCAAAAGAAUGGAGACCUAAAAGGACUGUCAUUAAAGAAGCUAAAAAUUUAAAUACUUUACUUAUUGAUGAUUUAAUUGACUCUUUCAUUUCAUAUCAAGAAGACUUGGCAGCAGAAAAAAAAAGGCAUCUGGAGAAUAAGAAAAGCAUUGCUCUCAAAGUUUCAAAACAUGAAAGUGAUGAUGAUAGCGAGCUGGAUGAUAAAGAGAUGACUAUGUUGACUAGGAGAUUUAGAAAAUUGUACAAGAGAACUAGUGAGCGGAAGAAGUUCAGAAACUUUAAGAAUCAAAAAGAGAAGAAGAAGCCAAUCAAUUGCUAUGAAUGCAAAAAGCCUGGACACAUACGAUCAGAAUAUCCUCUUAUCAACAAGCUCAAGAAGAAAGCAAUGGUAGCCACAUGGGAUAAUAGCGAUGAGGAAACGAGUGACGAUAAAGAGCAUCAAGAGAUGAUAAAUUUAGCUCUCAUGGCGAUCGAGGAAGAAUCAUUGGAUGAACUUGAUGAGGUAAAGAAUUGCAUGAUGAGUGGAUAAAAAUCGGUAAAAAGAAUGCAUGCCUUAAAAAGAAAAUGUUAGAACUUAAAAAUGAAAAGGAUGUCUUGGAAAAAUGCAAUAAUUCAUUGAAUGAGAAGAUAAAGGAAUUAGAUUUAGACAAUAAAAUGUUGCAUGAUAUGAUUGCAUCUCUUAAAGGUAAACAAAGUGCUUCAUAUGAGCAUGAAAAAUUACAUGUUGAUGAAUUGAUAAAAGAGAAUGAAGUGCUUAAGAAGAAUAAUAAUGAGCUAAAUGAGAUUGUGCUAAAAUUCACAAUUGGGCCAAAGAUGUUGGAUAACUUACUUAACUCACAAAAAUGUGUGUUUGACAAAGGAAGUAUUGGUUAUAAGCCAAAUUUGAAACAAAAGUAUUAUAAGAAUAUUAAGUUAAAUCAAGUUUUAUGUCAUUAUUGUAAUCAAGAUGGUCACAUGAAAAACAGAUGUCCAGUGAAAAGAAAUGCAUAUUAUGGUGUGAAAUGUGUUUAGGUUCUAAAAGAAACCAUUGCUAACACUCAAGGACCCAAGAAGUUUUGGGUACCUAAAACUUAGAAACUUUUUCUGCAUGGAUCAAAGAAAAGGAAAAAUAAUUGGUACUUGGAUAGUGGAUGUUCCAGACACAUGACAGGGAAUUAUCAAGUUUUACCAAGAUCGAAAACGGUGGAAAUGUAUCCUUUGGAGAUAACUCAAAAGGAAAAAUCAUUGGUAUCGGAAAUUUCGGUAAUGUAUCCUCUACUCUUAUUGAAAAUGUGUAUUUGGUUGAAAACCUAAAACACAAUUUACUUAGCAUUAGUCAAUUGUAUGAUAAGGGUUAUAAAUAUGUUUCUUAUAAGAAUAGAUGUGUUAUUAAGAAUGCAUAUGAUGGAAAAAUUUUGUUUGUAGUAAAUAGAUGUGUUAAUGUUUAUACUAUUGAUAUAGAUGGUGCAUCUACCCAUGAUAAAUGUUUUUCCGCAUUGCAUAAUGAUGGUUGGUUAUGGCAUAAAAGACUAGGACAUGCAAGCAUGGAUUUGAUUUCAAAGAUUUCCAAAAAUGAUUUAGUUAAAGGACUUCCAAAAAUUAGUUUUCAAAAAGAUAGAAUUUGUGAAGCAUGUCAAUUUGGGAAACAAAUCAAAACCUCUUUUAAAAGCAAAAACCAUAUUUCUACUUCAAAACCUCUUCUAUUACUUCAUAUAGAUUUAUUUAUACCUUCAAGGUAUGCUAGCUUGAUCGGAAAGUAUUAUACUUUGUAAUUGUUGAUGACUUUUUAAGAUACACAUGGGUAUUAUUCUUAGCUAAUAAGGAUGAUGCUCUUUAUGUUUUUAAAGUGUUUUGUAAGAAAAUUCAAAAUGAAAAAGGGUAUGGUAUUGCAUGCAUUAAGAGUGAUCACGGAGGAGAGUUUGAAAACCAUGCAUUUGAAAUCUUUUGCAAAAAUUUAGGCAUUGUGCAUCAAUUUUCAUCGCCUAGAACUCCACAACAAAAUGGAGUUGUUGAGAGAAAGAAUAGGUCGAUUCAAGAAAUGGUUAGGACCAUGUUGGAUGAAAAUUCUUUGCCUAAGUAUUUUUAGGCCGAGGCCGUCAACACCGUUUGUUAUGUUUUAAAUCGUGUAUUGAUUAGACCUCAUCUUAAUAAAAUUCAUGUGAGUUUUGAAAAAAUAGAAAACCCAACAUUAGUUAUUUCAAAGUUUUUGGAUGCAAAUAUUUUAUUUUGAACACUAAGGAUAAUCAUGGCAAAUUUGAUCUAAAAUUCAAUGUUGGCAUCUUUCUUGGGUAUUCAAACUCAAGCAAAGCUUAUAGAGUGUAUAACAAAAGAACUCUAGUUGUGGAAGACUCUAUGCAUGUUACAUUUGAUUAAUCUAACCCCUCCUCUGCGGAGAAAGUUAUUGUUGAUAACGAUGCAGAUGAAGAACUACUAAAAAAGUCAUCAAAGGAUAACUAAAAGGAUGCACCACAUGGAAAUCAAGAGGAGCAACAUGAAGAAAUGAAUGCAGAGCAAAAUGAAGGUACUUCUCAAUCACUCCCCAAGGAGUAAAGGUAUGUUUCUUCUCAUUCUAAAGACUUGAUUUUAGGAGAUCCUUUACGUGGCAUAACAACUAGAUCAUCAUUUAGAAAUACUUGUGAGCAUGCUGCAUGCAUAUCUCAAAUUGAACCAAACUCUUUUACGAAUGGGGAAAAUGAUGAAUCUUGGAUUAGGGCAAUGCAAUAGGAGUUAAAUCAAUUUGAGAGAAACAAUGUGUAGGAAUUAGUUCCUAAACCGAAAUAUCAAUCCAUUAUAUGCAUUAAAUGGGUCCUAAGAAACAAAAUGGAUGAAUCCGAUGUGGUUGUAAGGAUUAAAGUUAGAUUAAUGGCUCAAGGCUACAACUAAGAAGAGAAUUGAUUUUGAUGAAACAUUUGCACCUAUAGCUAGACUAGAAUCCAUUAGGAUGUUCUUAACAUUUGCACGUCAUAAAGAUUUCAUUUUAUUUCAAAUGGCUGUCAAGAGUGCUUUUUUAAAUGGUUAUAUUAUGGAGGAAGUUUAUGUGAAACAACCCCCUAGUUUUAAAAAUGAAAAUUUUGCAAAUCAUGUUUAUAAGUUGUCAAAAGCAUUGUAUGGAUUAAAAAAAGCACCUAGAGCAUGGUAUGAUUGUCUUAAGAAUUUCUUAUUGGAUAAUGGUUUUUCGAUGGGUAAAGCGGAUACUACUCUCUUUGUUAAGUAUAAGAACCAAGAUAUACUUGUUGUUCAAAUUUAUAUUGAUGAUAUUAUAUUUGGUUCUACUAAUGAGUCUUUGUGAAAGGAGUUUUCAUCUUGUAUGAGUAAAGAAUUUGAAAUAAUUAUGAUGGGAGAGUUGAAGUACUUCCUUGGGUUGCAAAUAAAAUAAAAUGAGGAAGGAAUCUUCAUAAAUCAAGUCAAGUAUGUGAAAGAUUUACUCAAAAGAUUUGGCAUUGAUGACUCAAAGACAAAAAGUACUCCAGUGAGCACAACUACCAAACUUGACAAAGAUGAAAAAGGCAAAGAUGUUGAUAUUAAAAUGUAUCGAGGUAUGAUUGGUUCUUUACUUUACCUAACUGCUAGUAGACCCAAUAUCAUAUUUAGUGUGUGUUUGUGUACAAGAUUUCAAUUAUGUCCCAAGGAAUUUCAUUUGCUUGCUGUUAAAAGAAUUUUCCAUUAUUUAAGCGGAACCAUAGAUCUUGGCCUUUGGUAUCCUAGAGGAACUCACAUAGAUUUAACUUACUAUUCGGAUGCGGAUUUUGCGGGUUACAAAGUCGAUAGGAAAAGUACUAAUGGAACUUGCCAUUUACUAGGUCAUUCACUUGUUUCGUGGUUCAGUAAGAAACAAAAUUCGGUUGCACUCUCAACCACUGAGGCUAAAUACAUUGUUGUAGGUAGUUGUUGUGCACAAGCUCUUUGAAUGAAACAAACACUUAGAGACUAUGGCAUUAAUCUUGAACAAAUCCUUAUUAAGUGUGAUAACACUAGUGCUAUAAAUCUUUCAAAAAAUCUCAUUCAUCACUCUAGAACAAAGCAUAUAGAAAUUAGACAUAAUUUCUUGAAAGAUCAUGUUCAAAAGGGAGAUACUGUAUUAGAGUUUAUUUCCACGGAAAAACAACUUGCCAAUAUUUUUACAAAACCUCUUUUCAAAGAUCAAUUUUCAAAAAUUCGGCAUGAACUUGGGAUGAUGAAAUUUUCGCGUUAACAUUUCUACUCAUGUUAUUGAGUCUAUUAAAAUUGAUUAAUUGAUGAUUGUUGAUGUCUAUGAAGUAUUUUGAGCAUGACAUAAAAGUGAUGUGUUUGAAUUAUUAAUUUUUUAAAUGCUUAUAUGAAUUGAUUGUUUGAAUACAUGUGAGUUCAUGAAUCAUGCAUUAAACUAGCCUUUAAAACAUUUUGGAUCAAUGAAAUAUCUUAGAAAGUAUUAUUUAUUGGCUAAAAAUUAAAACAAAUGUGCGAAAUCAUAGAUAAAAUAAACGAAUAACUAUUUCUCCAUAAAUGGUGCACCGUUUAAAUUCAGAAACUAUGAUAUGAUAUCUGUAAAUUAUCGGCAAACCUUUUACUGAAGAUGGUCAACUGAUUAAAAAUUGAGAGCUCAUUGGAAUUUACUCCUUCACCGUUAAUGACUACCCGUUAACCAUUUUCGAUUAAGUGCUCUCUAGAAAUUAUCAGCUCUCCAAUUACAGAAAACGGUUCGCCAUUUUCGUCCGAUAUAAAUUGUUCAUAGGUUUUUCUUCUUCAUCUUCAUUAACCUCUCACCGUUUCCUCCAUUGACGCAAAACCGCAACUUUCUCUCUCUCCAAUCCAUCAAUUUUCUUGCAAUUUCUUGCCAAAUCACUCCAUUAGAAUCAUCUCUAAUUAUCAUUAGAUCACUUUUACCGAUUCAAAACAUCAAAUCAAUCCCCAAAUUCAAAUUUCCCAAAUCAAAACCCUAAGGGCAGCUGAACGGGUUUCAUUGAUUUUAGCUGGAUUUUUGUCCUGUUUUGGCCAAAUUGAACCUCCCAAUCAGUUUCUUUACUCUCUCUUAACCCUUAAAUCGGUUCCCUUUCCUCCAUUUUCAUCUUUUUCAAAUUUUCCUCAUUUCCUUCAGUGUAUCUAUAGCUGACACAUCUCGUCGAACUCGGAAGAGAAAAGCUGCUCCUAGUAGGACUCUUAUACCUCUAUGGGAAACCUCUCAAUUCGAAAGAAUUCAUUUCCCCACAACCCUGUUGGCCAAGUGCUUCACUUCAUAGGACGAAAAGUACUUGACUCUUACUAUGUUGAUAUAUAAGACUUUAAAGAGUUGAUUGUUUGUGGUAGAGUAUUAGGAAUAUGCUACUACCUAAGGAGUCGGCUAUAGAUUUUGAUGAAAGAAUAUAUCCUAAUCUAGUCCGUGUUUUCUAUUCAAAUAUGGAAAUUUCUGCAACUCGAUUAAAUAGGAUAGUUACUCAAGUUGGGGGGUGUUCCCAUUGAAUUUGAUGUUGAGGCCUUAAACAACAUCUUGGGAAUUCUGAAUGCUGGUCAUAAGAUUUAUACAUCUAGGAAAGCUCUUCGUUUGCCAGUUUUGCUCAUCAUCUUGGUGUUCGAAACAUUUGUCAGCAUCGGGAUCUUACUAGUGAUAUUUGUGUUCUUCCUUUUCAGUCGCAAUUAUUCCCCCGAUCAACUUCCUGACUUUAGGUUAGGAGCUCACGCUCCACCUCUUUAUCGUUGAUCUGUACCCCAGCCUCCAGUCGAUGCCAACACUGAAGAGCGUGAGAUGGAUACUGAUCAUCCUCCAAAUCUUGAGCAGCCUCCAGCUUUAGAGCAGCCUCCAGCUCCAGAGCAGCCCCCAGCUCAUGUGGAGCCGCCAGCUUCGAACACUCUGCAACAUUUGGUUAAUGAUGUUCGCAGACUUUCCGAGCAACAGUAGUAGAUACUCGAAAAAAUGGAUGUCCUCGCCAUGCAACAGCAACAGCUCCAAUCCAAAUUUCAGACCUUUUAGGAACAAUGUAUAAACCAGCAACUCGAACUCAUUGCUGGACAGCACACCCUCCUUCGUUAUUUUGGAUAUGACCCUAGGAGUUCAUCUUCGCAACCUCCCUCUUAGUUUCUGACUUUGUUUUUCACACAUACAUUUCAUGUUAUAUUUAUAUGUGUGUUUUGACAUAUAUAUUUAUGUUUGGAUUGCAUAACUCUUUCUUAAUGAUUUGAUGAGGGAUAGUUAUAUGUGUAUGGAUUGAUAAAUUGCGGGAGUUAUUGGUUUAUGCAAGUUGUUUACGCUUAUGUGGAAGUCUUUUAACCUUGAUUUGUAUUUGGAGAUAUGUCCAAUUUUAAGGGGAGACUCUACCGAAAUUUUUGCUCGCACAAAAUGGGUAAUAUCUUCAUCUUGCUAUUUGUUUUACUAAUCAUGUUCCAAUUAUCCUUUUUCUAUCUUUUCUUUUUUAUGAUGAAGGGGGAGAUAAAUAUGAUAUAUCUUGCAUUUUGAAUCUUGAAAAAUUUUCAAUAAUUGUUUUAAUGAUAUGUUUUAAAAAAAAUUUAUAUUGCCUAAAAUUUGUUUUUGGUUAAAAAUGUAAUUGAGCAUACUUUUAGGGGGAGCAUACAUUUAGGGGGAGUAAAAUAUUGAAAGAGUUUGUCAUUAUUAAAAGGGGGAGAAUGUUAACAUGUAGAUGUUUAUUAUAUUGAUUUUGAUGAUAAUAAAAUUUAAAUGUUUUUUAUUAAAAUGUUGGAGUUUUCAUUAAUAAACAAUUUCUCAAAAGCUAUAUAAUCUUUCUAAAUGUGUUCAUGAAAUAUGGAUAAUCGUUAACUUUAGUCAGAAAAUCAUUCCCUGCGAAAUUUGGUUAAAACUGUGAUUCUGGAAGUAAAUAGCGAACUGUUAACUUUAAAACGGUUAACCAAUAAUUUUCAGAGAGGAAUAAAUCCUUAAGCUUGAAUCGGUUAGCAAAAAUGGAUGAGGGAAAUGAGUUUUGCAGGUUACUAGAAUUAAAUGACUAACCGUUAACGUCAAACGGCUAACCAAUAAUUUCCAGAAUAUUAUUCCAUGCUAACCUUCAACCGUUUAGAAAGAAUAGAUAGCAGAAUUUUUUUUUUGCAGGUCUUUGGAAAUUAACGGCAAACCGAUAGUGACAAACGGUCAACAAUUUAUUUGAAAUUCAGCUCAACGGUCACUUGGACCAGUAAAAAUGGUUAACCGAUAACGAUUAACGGCGAUCCGAUUUCGGGCAGAAAGUCACAAACGGCUAUUUUUCAGCUCCAGCUAUAAAUAAGCUCAAUCAAAUUCAAACAUGGGUUUAUCACAAUAUUAUCGUUGAGCUUAUAAUCGAGAAUAUAACAUUUAUUGAGCUUCAAAUUCAUUCUUGCUCAUUUAUUAACACCUUAAGCAUUGAUUUGUAAUCUUUGUUUUGAGUAAUUGUAAGUGUUGGAAUACACUUGGGUUAAGAGAUUGGGGAUAAUCUCUGGAUGUAAAGGUUGAUUGACACCUAAGAAGUCAAUUGUAAGUGUUUUUGAAGUCUUAAAGGCUUGACUAGUUGAAUCCUCAAGCUCGGUGUGCUUCGAGGCAUGGACAUAGGCAAGGUUGGCCAAACGACGUAAAAAUCUUUGUGUUUGAAUCUCUCUUUGCUUAACGUUUUAUAUUUUGGUUGAUUUACUUAUUAUUGCUUUAAAUUCGUUUAAGAUUUGCAUUAUGUUUUGUUCAAGAAUUGCACAAUUUUUAGAAACCCAAUUCACCCCUCUUGGGUUGCUUAGAUAUUAUUUCAAGAGCAUCAUCAACAUCACUCUCUAAAUUUGGCAUCUCAGCUAAAACAAAAAUACCGUUUUUUCUUUCUUUUUCUUCAAAUGAUUAGUCUCAAAAGUCUAAAGUUUGCUAAUCACUUGAUUUCUAGUCUUGGUGCUAAUAUCAUAGUAUUUUUCUAUAAUUGCAACUUUAAUGAGAAAUCUAUUAGCAAAGAUCUCAAAAUUUUCUGGCCAAUUCUUCCUCAGAAAUUCUUUCACCAAGAGAAUAUAAAGUAUCAUUAAUCUUACAAAGUUUAGCAUUUCAAUCAGCAAUUUUUUCAUGUUCAUACAUAUUAAGAUUCUCAAAUUCAGUUGCAAGUUUUUGAAGUUUAAAAUGUUCUACUGAAUUAUUUCCUUCAUAAGUAUCACAAAGAAUGUCCCAAACUUCCUUUUAGUACAUGUAGAGAUUAAAUAAUGCUGAUUGAUGUCAACUCCAUUGACAAUAGCAUUGAACACCUUGGAAUUAAAGCCAGAUUCUAGAAUUUCAGCAUUGAAAUAUUCAUUAACAUGCUUAAAUAUUAAGUUCCAUCUCGACCAGACAUAGUGGGUAAAGUAUAGCCUUUUCUAACACAUUCCAUUACUCUUAUGUCAAAUGGAUUCAAUAAAAGUAGUUAUCCUUUGCUUCCAAUGCUAAUAAUUAGUGCCAUCAAGUAAUGGUGGACCAAUAGUAAAUCCUCCUUCUCUAUGCAAUUCCACACCUACAAAAAAAUAUCAAGAUCCUAAAAUCUUACUAAACAAGCUAUUAGUGACACUGCUCUAAUACCACUCGUAAAGAAUUUAGAUCUAUUUUAACAAGAGUAGGCAAAUUAAAGCACUAGAUAAAUUAAUUUUAUAGUUAAUAAAUCCUAAGAUUUAUUGUUCAUGUAAACUAUUCAAGUAAUAUUGUUACAAUUCACUAUGCAAUGACAUUGUUUAUAGUUAUUGUUCAUACAUAUUGUAUACAAGUUACUAUUCAUAAUUACUAUUCAUUAUAACUAUUUACCUAUUGUUCAUGUUAUUUUUCAUCAUCACAAAUCUAUCAAAUAUGUCAAAAAUAGUAAAUUACAAGAAGUAAAGCAUAUAGAAGAAUUUUACAUAGUUCAGAUCACUAUCCUAUAUCCAUAGGGUCAUGCACAAACAAUAAGCAAUUUAGUAAAUAAUGAAAAGAUUGCAACCUAUUGAACCCUUAUUCUAAAUCAGUCGACCUCGCUUAGUAAGCACUUGUCAUCUUCAAUUGUGUUUGCUCAUUUCCUUGAGAUCCAUUUAACACAACAAAUGAUUGAUUCAUCCUGAAGAGACCAAAGUAAAUAUAAAGAAUAUCUAAUGGAAGACUUCAUAUAAUGAAGAUUUGAUGAAGCAAACUAAAAUGCCAUAGAAAUAUGAAACAUCAUAUGCGGCCAAAUAUGUUUCAUUCUUUUCUCUGCAUUGGCUACUUCUCUGGUAUGAAAUACGAUAUAUCUUCAUCACCUCUUAAAUAUAUGAAAUAAUUCCCUUUAUAUAUGAGUAGUAUUUCACCCAAACCCUAGUAAAGAAGUAGUAGGAUAUACUUCCUUAAGAGUCCAAUAAUUUAUAAGUACUUGAUAUACUUACCAUUAUAGUACUUGUAUUUAUUUGGAACUUUUUGAUAUGAAAUCCUACUUACACACUAAUUUCCUUCUUUAUGCCUUUAAAAAUAUUCGUCAAUAUUCCACAUAAUCUAAUAUAAUUGAUUCCCAAGGCUAGAUAAAUCUUUCAUAAUAGGAAACAAAUCCUUAAUAAGAAGAAUAAAUAAAUUACAAUAUUAUUGACACAAUGAUGUUAAUAACAAAACCCCUAACAGGAUGUUUAUGUAGAAAAUAAAUAUAGAGAAUGACAUUAGCCCUUGUUAGCUUUUGGUAGCUCCAGAGGCAGAUCCAUUGGUGGGCUAUACCGGGCUGCAGCCCGGUAUAGAAAAGGAAAAAAAAAUCAAAUAUGCUAGUUAAAUUUACAAUCAUGCCACUAAUAAUUAAUUACAAGAGUGCCAUUGAAACCAAAAAAAAGCAAAGAAAAGAAACUUUACCUAAUUCACUUUUUCUUUGCUCUCAACCGACAACAAUUAUCAAAGCCAAGAAUUAAAAAAAUCAAUUGUCCCCUCCACGAUUCUUCAUCUUCUUCGUCUUCCAAUUUCUUGGGCUUUGCAUAUUUUUCUACUAGUAUGCUUUCACAACUUAUAUAAAAAUCUUAUUUUUUUGUGAUGGAUUUUACUAGUUUGCUCUAUAUUUUAUUUUGAUUCAUUAUUUUGAAUUUCUAAUUGGCUAAUUAGUUUUUGUAAUUGGUUUUGCUGAUUUGCUCUGUAACUUGUUUUAAUUCAUUAGUUUGUAAAGUUUCAAUUUUGAUUGCUAUCCAUAUAUGUCCUGGUAAAACUCAAGCAAAUUGAAUUUAAUCGUUGUACAACUUUUAAAAUGGAAUUAUUAAUUGUUUAAUAAUUAAAUUGAUUGAUCGGCUUAAUAAUUAAAGAUGAACAAAAUUAAAUUGUUUAAUUUAUUUAAGCAUGCUAAUUAAGCUUGUAAUUAUUAAUUAAUUUAUUAAUUCUUAUGUAUUUUCAUGUUAUAGUUUCAAACUAAUUGAUUUAUUUUACAUAUUAUUUUAAUUUAUUAGUGUGAAUGUUUGAUUGGCUUUUUUUUAAUUAGUUUUGUGAUUUAUUAGUUUGAGUUGAUUUAUUAUUGUUAUUUUUCACUAAUAAUUUUUUUUAUAAUGGAAAAGAUGAACAAAAUUAAAUUGUUUAAUUUAUUUAAGCAUGCUAAUUAAGCUUGUAAUUAUUAAUUAAUUUAUUAAUUCUUAUUUAGUUUCAUGUUAUAGUUUCAAACUAAUUGAUUUAUUUUACAAACUAUUUUAAUUUAUUAUUUUGAAUGUUUGAUUGGCUUUUUUUUUAAUUAGUUAUGUGAUUUAUUAGUUUGAGUUGAUUUAUUCUUGGUAUUUUUUCACUAAUAAUUUUUUUUAUAAUGGAAAAGAUUAACAAAAUUAAAUUGUUUAAUUUAUUUAAGCAUGCUAAUUAAGCUUGUAAUUAUUAAUUAAUUUAUUAAUUCUUAUGUAGUUUCAUGUUAUAGUUUCAAACUAAUUGAUUUAUUUUACAAACUAUUUUAAUUUAUUAUUUUGAAUGUUUGAUUAGCUUUUUUUAAUUAGUUUUGUGGUUUAUUAGUUUGAGUUGAUUUAUUAUUGUUAUUUUUUCACUAAUAAUUUUUUUUAUAAUGGAAAAGUUGAACAAAAGUGAAUUGUUUAAUUUAUUUAAGCAUGCUAAUUAAGCUUGUAAAUUGUAAUUAUUAAUUAAUUUAUUAAUUCUUAUGUAGUUUCAUGUUAUGGUAAUUUAUAGGUAAUAGGUUAUAAUGUCCGGUAAAUCCAAGUUAAGGAAAACUCUCCUUUCAUUCUUUGCCAAAGUAAAUGGUGGUCAAUUAUCAAAUGAAACAACUUCUCCAUGCAGUAUUGAUACCUCGAGUUCUCUUAAAUCUCAAAGAGCUGAAUUUGAGAAAGUUGAUACUCCAAAUAGUAUUGACACCCCUUAUUUAGAACGUGGUCCCGGAUUACGCAUCUCAAUCAAAACUUAUCCUAUUGAUAAACAAGAAGAUGUACGGAUGGUGUACAUAAAUAUGGGACCAUUCCGACCCGAUUUACAAAAAUACCCACCGACUAAACAUGGUAUGCAAAAUCGUCGAUUUCAAUUUUCUUGGUUCUCAAAAUUUCCUUGGCUUGAGUAUUCCUUAUCAAAAUAUAAAGCAUUUUGUUUUCCAUGCUUUCAUUGUUGAUGGUUGUCAAAAUUGGAAGUAUGUUUCUUGUGACAAAAAAAUGUCCUUUUGCACUGCAUGAAGGGAGUCAUGGUUCUUUUCACAAUGCCGCCACGGAAAAAUGGAGCAAUUUAAAGGAUCCAUUUAAACAUAUUGAUAAAAGAAUGAAUGCACAAUCUUCACAACAAGCUUGUGCUUUUAGAGGUCAUGAUGAGUCAGUUAAUUCUCUUAAUCGUGGAAAUUUUAUUGAAUUAAUCAAGUUGUUAGCAACAAUGAAUGAGGAGAUUAAUAAAGUUGUGUUAGAAAAUGCUCCUAAAAAUGCCCAAUACAUAGCACCAAAUAUUCAAAAGGAGUUAUUGAGUAUUCUUGGUAAUAAAGUGCGAUACAAGAUUCGGGAGGAAAUUGGAGAUGCUAAAUUUUGUAUUCUUGUUGAUGAAGCACUUGAUGAAUCUCACAAAAAACAAAUGGCUAUUAUUGUGAGAUUUGUUGAUUGUGAUGGGUUUAUUAGAGAGUGUUUCUUUGAAGUUGUGAAUGUUGAUGACACAAAGGCCUCAACUCUUAAAAAUGAGAUAUGUAAUGUGCUUGCUCAGUACAAUCUUUUAGUUGAAAAUUUAAAAGGUCAAGGGUAUGAAGGUGCUAGUAAUAUGGCUGGAGAGUGGAAUGGAUUACAAUCUUUAUUUCUUAGUGAUUGUCCAUAUGCCUGUUAUGUACAUUGCUUUGCUCAUCGGCUACAACUUGUACUAGUUGUAGUAUCUAAAGAAGUGCAUGAGGUGUGGUUAUUUUUUUCUAAGUUGAGUUCCAUUGUCAACUUUGUUAAUGCCUCUUCCAAAUGUUAUUCUGAGUUGAAAUCUGCUAAAGAGAAAUAAAUUAUAGAAUUGAUAGCUUCAGAAGAGCUUGAGACUGGUACAGGUGCUAAUCAAGUUCGAACUUUACAAAGGGCGGGAGAUACUCGUUGGAGCUCACAUUUUACUUCAGUUAGUAGGCUUGUUGAGAUGUUUGGUGCAACUCUUGAAGUUCUAAGAAAGAUUAUUAAUGAUGGGCUUAGUCGAGAUAUGCGUGAAGAACCUAGAGGUGCGUAUAGAGAAAUGAAAUCCUUCGAGUUUGUGUUCAUUUUACUUUUGUUGCAUAGAGUUCUGGGGAUCUCUGAUAUUCUUUGCCGAGCAUUACAAGCAAAAUCUUUAGACAUCUUGAAUGCUUUGAAUUAUAUCACAAGUACUAAAAGGCUUUUGCAAGAAUUUCGAGAUAAUGGUUGGGAUGAUUUUAUUAGAAGUGUGGAAUCAUUUUAUGGAAACCAUGACAUUAGUGUGGCUGAUAUGAGUGUUCGUUAUAUGGAAGGUACAAGACGCUCGUGUCAGCAAAAAGAUUAUAUUACAGUUGAGCAUCAUUAUCACUUUGAUAUAUUUAAUGCUGUAAUAGAUUUUCAAUUGACAGAGAUAAAUAGCAGGUUCGCAUAGCAAACUAUGGAACUCCUUACUCUAAGCUCGGCUUUGGAUCCAAUCAAUGGGUUUAAAUUAUUUGAUAUAGUUCGUAUUUGUUGUUGAUAACUCUAUGAAAUGAGAGUUAUUACAGCAAUUCUAGACUUAAAUCAAUAUCACUUAGAGAGUAAAUGAGGUGUUUUUAUUAUAUUUUGGUUAUAUUUUGCAUAAACAUUCAUUUUAGUUGAGUAUUAAUAAGUUUUGCUUGAAUUAAAGUAAUUUGUACUCAAAACAUGUACAUAAUUCUAGGUUUUCAGAAGUUUAUAAUUCAUGAAGGGAUGCUGAGAUAUUAGACUAGCAAGAGGAGGAAAGAAUAUGGCCACAAAAGAAGUGAAGCACAACCGGGAACCGUGUAGUGUUAUAGCCGUUGUUAGAGCAACCAUUGCUGUAGCAAUCCUGGAGCACUGAGGGAGAAAACUUAGCGUGGGUCAACUACAGAAUUGCGAUCAGCAGUUUCCUAAUUUAACUCAUGCACGCCCAAGGCUUUUGUUUACCCUAAUUUUUAGUUAUAAAAGGAGACGCGCACCACAUAAAACCGCGGCAAGGAAUUAACAUUGGAAAAAUCGAGAGGAAGAGAAGAAAACAAUCCGAAUUCAAGAGAACCAAUUCUGCAUCAAUGACGAAUCCAGCAGAGUUAUUUAGAUUCAAUCUUCAUCGUUCUCUACUUGUUCUUUUCCUUACUCGUUGAUUGAACCGAUGUAUUUCAUGAUUAAUAUUUUUAUGUUUUUUUUUUCUCUUUCAGAAUAUGAACUAAAUUUGCUUGUAGUUAGAUGACAAACAAUCUAAUGGGUUCUUAACUGUUUUUAUAAGUUGUUAUGUCAUUACUGUAGCAUUUUACUCUAGUAGUUAUAAUUAUAACUAUUAUUUCGGUUGACCACCCAUUUAAUAGUUCAAGUUAAGAUAGAGCCGCAAAAGGGCAUGUCUUAGCGAAUAUUAUUGGAGUAAUAAUUGAUCUUAAUUUAAGUUUCCUGGAUUAAGUUUAUCUUGAAUCCCAUAAGGGCUUUACUUGAAGUUAAGAUAUGUGACAAACUGGACAUAGGUACUCACCUUGUAGGGUGGAGAGAAUAAAGAUUCAUAAGGUCAUGUCGUAGGUCGAAUAACAACUGGUCAUUGCUAAUAUACUUAAGGGUGUGAGAAUUCCAACACGCGACAGCUGAGGAUGCAAAAUAAUUCUACCCAGUGCUCUAGCAAUUGCUGUAACAACUUGUGUUAACUUGAGAAAAAGCAGUCAGCCCAUAAAAAGAGUUUGAUUAUUCAAUUACCUUGUUCUCAAUUGAUUCUUCGACACAUUUUAUUUCAUUACUGCAUUGUUUCAUUUUAUUCUGUCACAAUUAUCAAUUUCAAUAAAACCAACUUUACAUUUGUUAGUUUCGGGAUUAAGGUAGAUUGCACUAUUGUGAUUGCUGUAAUAUUUCUAGUAACAUCAAUCCAUGUGGAGAUGAUCUUGAAUAGUCAUCACUUUAUUACUUGUUAUGUACACUUGCACAUUGGCAUCGAUAGCAUUUGAUUAUAAUAAAUACCAACAGUUGUCUUGCUGAGAAUUUUAUCCUCAUAAUUUCACUGCGAAUGAGAUUUUUGCUUUGAGAAGACAAAUGGAGCAUUACAAGUUUGAUGUGCUUUCUCAUCCACUUUUUCAAAAAAUUUCAUCACUUUCUGAGUUAUGUCGACGAUUAAUUGAAACAAAGAAGUCACGACACUAUUUUUUUAUUGAUAGAUUAAUUCGUCUGGUGUUGACUCUUCCAGUGUCUACAGCCACAACCGAGCGUGCAUUUUCAGCCAUGAGCCUUAUCAAGACAUCACUUCGCAAUAAGAUGGAAAAUGAGUUUCUUUCAAAUUGUAUGGUUGUCUAUGUUGAAAGAGAAAUUGCAGAUACUAUUGUUCCAGAAUCCAUAAUUGAUGAAUUUUAUUAUUUGAAGCCGCGAAAAGUACAAUUUUAGUUAUAUUUUUUUAUUACAUUUUUAUUUUUUAUUUUUAUAUAAUUAUUAUUUUUAAAGUAAUUAUUAUUUAGUGUAAUAUUUUUAAUGCUCUUAUCUUAUUAUGUGUAUUUUAUUUUUUUCUUAUAAAAUUUUAUGUUCACUUUACAAUAUAACCUUCCUUUUAAAUUUAGUCUGGGGUACUUUCAAAUCCUGGAUCCGCCCCUGGCUAGCUCAGCUUGAAGAGCUAAGGGAUUAUUGUUGUUACAUGAAAUGUGAGAAGUUACAAUAAUAAUAAUAAUAGCUAGAAUCAUGAAUCUUAUAAUAGAACUAUUAGUCUUGUAGCAAGACCAUGAAUAAGUGAAAAGUGGUGCUGGAGUUGUGAACCAGCUAAACCUGUAGCAAAGCCCAUAAAACCCAAAAGCCCCACUAAACUUGUAGUAUAGCCCAUUAGUCCAACAACAGAACCAUAUAAGUCAGUAGACAAGAUGCAAGAUUGUGGACUAUAUAGAAGAUGAGUAGAAAAGUCCAAAUCCAAUCACCACAAAUCCAUGAGACCAUGGUUUGGAAGUUAAAGCUCAGCCCCAGCUUAGAUGUAGAAAAAUCUAAAAGCUCGAUCCAAAGAGAUAGGGACAGAAAUAAAUUGUGGUAUCUUCCAUAGAGAUAAAGUUAUAGAGAAUCUAAAUCUUAAGUGAUGUAGAUGAUGAAGAGUUUGAAUUCAAAUUCUAUUAUAUCAAUAGUAAGGCUAUAAAUAGAACGUCUCUUUUAAUACAAAAGGGACAAGACAUUGUGGGGGAAAAAAAGUUAUGUUCUUUUUUAAUGGUGAAGCCAUUUAAUAACUAAGUGUUGAACUAUGUUAAAUUUUGUUUUGCAUUUAUUGUAUGCCCCCACUUAUUUUAUUUUUUAUUGAACUAAUAUUGGCAUAUCAUCAUUUGGAUUACAUAAAUUUUUUAAAUGUAAAAUUAAUAUAAAAUAAAAUAAUUAAAUAAUUAACAAAAUAUUUGAAAUUUAAUAUAUAUUCAAACUACAAUAUUAUUUAACUAUAUCCACUAUAGUUUUGAAGUAUUUUCAAACUGCAUCAACCCGAAAUUUUGUAAAAUAUAAAAAUAUAAGUAAUCACUAGCAAUUCAAAGCCCAUCAAAUUCCAAUGUAAAAUAAUUGAGGAAUCGUAACAGCAAGGGAGCUAUAGCAAUUACUCCUCCGAUCACCACCACGCUUUUAUUCUUUCCUUCAAAUUAUUGAUGCCUCUCCAUUCUUUCACCAUAGCCUCAACAAAAAUGCAAUUAUGCAAUGAUACGAACUAAUUGGGCAAACAUGCAACCAUAUUAUCAUUACUAUAAUUAUUGUCAAUCAUGUAUCUAAGUACCUGUGUAAAAAAAAAAAAGGUUUCUUUAGGUGGGCUUAUAUACAUAUUUUCGAGUCACACAUUUAUCUUCAAAAUAGCUAUUAUUAAUUUUUAGACAAUUUAAGCUAUUUAUAUUUUGAUAGUUAUAGAAUAAAACAACAUAUUUAAUCAUUUCGCUUAGUACAAAGACAAGAUUUUGCAUUGUUUCAUAUUUUAGGAACAUAGAUGCUAAGUAUGAAAGAGAAUAAGAAUCUUAUGCCAUGUUUGGUUGACAGCAAAACACACGGGAGAGGAGAGCAUUUGGAUUUCUUCCAUGAUUUCCACUGUUCGGUUGGCAACAUUAGAUGGGAAUUGAAGAUAAUUUUGGAAGAUGGAUUGAGAAGCCAAAAGAAGUAGAGCAUGAGUUUUGCAACUAUUUCACCAAUCUUUUUACAUCAACCCAGCCGAGCCAAGAUCAAAUUGCAGCAGCCUUGGAAGGAAUAACUCCGAGAGUUUCAGCCAGCAUGAAUGAGAGUUUGGGGGAACCGUUUACAGCCGAGGAAGUUUUGGAAGCUUUGAGUCAAAUGUGCCCAACGAAGGCUCUGGGGCCGGAUGGUUUGCCAGCAGUAUUUUACCAAAAGCAUUGGCAUACGGUUAAGGAGGGAGUGCUCACCACUUGUCUGCAUAUCCUCAAUUCACAAGGUACCAUAGGCCCUCUAAAUCACACUUACAUUGCUUUGAUACCAAAAAUUGGAAAGCCUAGGAAAGUGAUAGAUUUUAGGCCUAUUAGUUUGUGCAAUGUUAUCUAUAGAAUUGUAGCUAAAACAGUUGCUAAUAGAUUUAAGCAAAUUUUGCACAAAAUCAUCUCUCCGUCGCAAAGUGCCUUCAUCCCCAAUAGGUUGAUCACUGACAACAUCAUAGUUGGCUACAAAUGUUUGCACAAGAUAAGGCAUUGUAAAGGCAAGUGAAAUGGAUUAAUUGCAUUAAAGCUUGAUGUUAGUAAAGCUUAUGACAGAUUGGAAUGGAAUUUUUUAGAGCAAACUUUGAAAAAACUAGGCUUCUCGCACCAAUGGAUUAGCUUGAUCAUGAGGUGCAUUAGUUCGGUUUCAUUUUCUGUGUUAAUAAAUGGCUCAGUGAAAGGCUUAAUUAAACCCCAAAGGGGGGGCUUAAGACAAGGUUGCCCCCUCUCUCCGUAUUUGUUUAUUACAUGUGCAGAGGCCUUUUCUUCCUUACUACAGUAGGCUAAGCAACAACGACUUAUUCAUGGGCUAUCAUUUGGAAAUGAUUUGAAGAUUUCGCACCUUUUAUUUGCUGAUGACAGCCUUGUCUUCAGCAAAGCUUCAGCAAUGUCCAGACUUGCUGGUGGCAAGGGUCCUGCAAGCCAAGUAUUUCCAGUCAAAAAAUUUCUUGGAUGCAAAACUCGGCUCAAACCCUUCAUCUAUUUGGAGAAGCAUUCUGUGGGGAAGGAAAAUAAUUUGCUCGGGCUCUAGGUGGAGAGUUGGCAAUGGUCAGAAAAUUCAUAUUCAUAAGGCUAAUUGGAUCCCACAGCCUUUAACAUUCCAGCCAGUGGUUAAGCCAACUUUGCCUUCUGAUGCUAUGGUCUCUGAAUUAAUCAAUGAGGCAAACUGCUGGAAUGAGAAGAGGAUUUAUGAGCAUUUCGACGGCAAACUGCUGGAAUGAGAAGAGGAUUUAUGAGCAUUUCGACAAAAUGGAUGCUGAUUUAAUUACUAAGAUUCCUCUGCCUCGAAGACCAAGGGAGGAUGCGCUGAUUUGGCAUUAUGAAAAAAAUGGCCAGUUCUCGGUUAAAAGUGGGUACCAGACAGCUCUCCAAAUAAAGUUUCCAGCCACGCCUUCAAGCUCAGUGGUUUCCAAAAAUGAGUAGAAUAUUAUUUGGUCUCUUACUUUACCUCAAAAGAUCAGAAUUUUUGCCUGGAGAGCAGCCAAAAACCAACUCCCCUCAGUUGAGAAUCUGUGGAAGAAAAAGAUAAUCUAGGAACCCACUUGCCAAGUGUGUAAAAUGGGAAUGGAAAAUGUUUUUCAUGCUCUAGUGGCCUGCAAAUCGGCUGAGAAGGUAUGGAAGCUAAUCCAUUUUGAAGAUGAUAUUCAUGCAGCUCACAGUCAAGAUUUUUUAAGUUUGCUGCAUGCUAUGAAAAGAAUGAGAAACAGAGCUAACCUGGAGCUGUUGGUAACAAUUUGUUGGGUAAAAUGGAAUGCUAAGAAUCAGUUGCUUUUCAAAGGAAAAAAGGAGAACCCCCAGAUUAUGGUAGCUAAACCUGAAGCUAUGAUUGCAGCUUAUAAGAGGGUACAUUCUUCAGCUGAGGCUUGUAGUGAAACAAAGCAGAGGGUACCUCCUCAGACAUGGAAUCCCCCUCAAGAUGGCUUUGUAAAAGUAAACAUUGAUGCAGCUAUCAACUUCGAAAAGAACAUUGUAGGGCUGGGGGCAGUGAUCAGAUAUGGUUCGGGGCAUGUUACAACAGCUGCUAUCAAGGUUUCUAAGUUUCAUGGAGAUGUUUCUUAUGCGGAAGCAGAAGCUAUGGAAUGGGGUAUGUUGGUGGCGAGAGAAGCAAAAGUGAAAGCUGUAAUCGUGGAAUCAGAUUCUCAAGGUGUGGUCAGUUUAGUUAACAACAAGCAGGGCAGCAAAUCCGAGAUCUAUUGGGUUGUUUCAGAAAUUCAGAAGUUAGUGGAAAACUUCGAACGUGUUAGUAUUAAGUAUACGCCUAGAUCUUGUAAUGUUAUUGCCCACUCUUUAGCUAAGUUAGCUUUAGAAAAGUGCGAGACUGUUGUGUGGAAGGGUUCAUAUCCUUCACAAGUGAUGUAUCUCCACUUAUCGUUGAUUUAAUUGAAAUCUCUUUUCAAAAAAAAAAAAAAUUCUGAUGGAAAUCUAGUUUCCAUAAGUUGAGGAAUUUGGUCUCCUCUCGCAACAGUGAGGAAAUCUAAAUUCCACACAAAUGAAAGGCUUAAAUUCUCAAUUUUACUCUUAAUUAUAUUUUUAUUCCCAAUUCUACCCUUUGACAAAUAACCCUCAUUUGCAAAUUAUUCUGCGAUUUCACAGCUCUCAUAACUCAAAAUCAAAUCAAAGCCUCUCAAAAACAAAAGUUAAAAUCUCAAUUUCCGAUAGCGAGUUUCAUUUGUUAGCCAGUGAGCUACGACAAUGGGUCCGUUCGCCGAAGCUAUCUUAGUAAGUAUCAACGCCUUAGCUUCACGGUUUCUCACCGUAGGUACGAUUUUUCAUCUCUUUUCAUCUGUUUUAGUGUUGUCACUUUUAUCGUUUUGAUGGUAUUGUUGAUUUGUUAUUGUUAGUUGUUGUAAUUAUUCUUGUGUGGCUAUUGUGGUUAUUUAAUGAGUUUAGCUUAUGAGAUGAUGGAGAAUGAGUUUGAAGAGGGCUAUUUGAGAUUUUGUUGCUUUAAUUUGAAUUAAUUUUGAAUUUUCAGAUGUGUCAUUUUGUUUGAAUAAGUUAUUAUGAGGAUUUGAUUGAGAUUUUGUUUCAUUCUAUUGUGAAUGGAUGGGUUUAUAGAUAUAUGCCUACCAAGUGUUUAAUGACCUGUCUAAGAGAAAAAUGUUAAUUUUGCCCUGAAAUUAUGAUUGCAUCUAGAAGCAUAUUUCCAAUCCGUAAUUGACUUUACUGAUGUCUAUGUUUUGUGUUUGGGGAUGCCAAAUUUUUUUGCUGUAAUCAUAAGAAAUAAAUUUGAAUUAAUAUACAGUGGCAUUUUUAAGUGUUAGUAGAAAUUUUGAAGGAAUACAUAUAAAGGGGUUUGGUAGUUUUUCCUUUUGAUUUAUCUCGUAAUAUAUGUACAAUUCUAGCUUUCAUUAAGGCUUGCAAGACAUGUAAAUAUGUAAUGAUGAUCACUUUGAUUUCAGCGAAAUCUAAUUGGUCUCUUUCUUUUUGUUUGCUUUUUCAAGGAUUGUUCUCACUAUUUUCACAACAUUCAUUAACAUGUCAAUCCAAGUGCCGUGCAAUUUCUCUUUAGCUUUCUUUAAUCUUUAUGUAUUAAGCCCUCGUUCGUCCCCUCAGGCUGACUUUAAUUUCUUUGUCCCUUCUCUUUAGUAUAAUUUUUUAGAUUAAUUAAAAUAAUAUGAACCUAAAAAAAAAAACCUGAGCUGACCCUAUUGAAACUUUUAUUUAGACUCGCAACUUUGCAACAUCCUAUUUUAUUCUUGUCCCUUGACUUUGGAAUUAGAUACCAAUUUAAUUUAAGAACAAUUUUCUACUUUUCCUUUUUUAUUUAUUGUUUUAUUUUUCCCCUAAAAUCUUCACUCUUACAUUUAUAUCACGCCACAUUAAUGUAUAUGAAUGGGUUUUGUAAAUAAUAUAUAUCUGCAGUAUUUUUUUCCCUCGUAAAUGAAUAAAACUCGUAGAUCAACUUAAAUUGAUACAAUUUGAAUUUAACUUCAAUUUCAUUUUGUUGUUGCAGUAAUGGAUGACUUAAGUUUAACUGAGACAAAUAAUUUUAAAAAGAAGAAAUUGGCUACAUUUAUGGACUGGUUUCAAACUAUGCAAGUAGUUGUUUGCUUAGUGAAGUUUAUAAAAUAUGUUUGGAGAAAUAAUUUGUGACACGACUUAAAAGUAAUUUCUAACUCUCAAGUAUAAGAGUAUCUUGUUAUAUUAUAACUCGGUGAGUCUGAGGUCGAUCUACAAAGAAAUGAUUUAAUUUGUUUAUUUAAGUUUAUAAAAAAAUUAAAAUUAAAAUUAAAAACAUGCAAUUUAAUUUAGGAAAAAACUAUGAAAUUGAAUUAGUUAUGGUUAUGGAUCCACUCCUAGUAAUAAAUAUAAUUUAACAAAUUAUUUUUAUUUUAUUCCCAAAGGAUUAAUUGUAUAAAUUAAAAUUAUUUUCCCAUUUAUUUUAUUAUGGAUUAAGAACUUAAUGUGCCAAAACUUAAUUUGUCUACAAUAAAUCAAAAUACCAUUUUACCAUACUUUAUACUAAGAUAUUAAGAAUUCAUUGUGCCAAACUCCCCUGUUUGUUUACAAUAAAUCAAAAUUUCAAAAUAUAAAAUAUGGAUAAAAUUAAAUAUAAAACAAUUCGAUUUACAAAAUGAAAAAUAGAAUUUGAUUAAACCAUAUUUUUACUAUUAAACCAUAUUUUUACUAAGAGUUUCACUGUAACACCCCAAAUCUAAUACGUGCGGAGCACGUGAAGAAGGAGGUUACUCACAAAUCAUAAUCUUUACUCAUAAGUUUCAAACUGAAAUUCCUCCAAUUCUUAUUCAAAUAAAUCCAUAAAUCCAAACGUCAAAUACUAAAUAAUCUCUCUCGAGGACAUAUAAAAAUAAUAACAAAAGUCUCAAACUCCAAAUUACACGUUCAUAAUAAAAGUAACUAAAUAGAAACACAAGUCUAUUCCUCCUCUUAUUCAAUAGCAAACGGAAACUGGAAAUCAUUAACUCCAAAGCUAAGUGCACCUCUCAAAAGAAACUUAAUCUGCAAAAAAAGUAAUGACGAGGGGUGAGCCGUCAACUCGGUAAGUAAAACCAUUCCUAACACACUAGGCCUAUCGAUACCAAAAAUAUUGCAAGCCUUCUUUUGUUUAAAGCAUAUAUCAUAAUCCAUAAUUUUCAUAAAACGAUAUAUCACAAUAACAUAAGAUAAAUUCUUAAUAAUUCAGAAUAUUCAAAAGCAUAUUUACUUACGAAUCAAAUCAUGUAAUACGUAUACAGAAAACAAACAGGUUAGCUCAUGUCACAUAGUGUCACCUAUAGUCCCGGUGACCCGGCCAGAAACAGAAUCAGAAUAUCGCGUGCACAUUCAGAACAGAAACCCAGUACUGGUCCAGACAGAUAUAUCGUAUAUUACGAUCAGAAUCAGAAUCAGAAUAACUAUGGACAAUGAGCCAAAACAUUAGGAAUCUCAUACAAUUAUCAGUAAUUGAAAUCAUAUAUGGGUACAAAACAUUCGUAUCAGAUUUAUAAAAGUUCAUAACAAUAAUUUAGGCUUGUAUAACAUUUUAAAGAUAAAAUCAUAAAAGGUUGUCAUGUCAUAAAAUCAUUUACAUAUUAAAAAGCAUUUAUAAAAUACUUUGUUAAAAAGAAUGGUUUGAAAACAUUUACAUAAAGCUAAUUUUGUUAUCAAAAUUAGUAAUCCUUUAAGUAGUAUCAAAACAUUUAUACUUAUAAUAAUAAUAUCAAAAUACUUCUACAUAUCCAGUACAUUAGGAAUGAAGUUACUUACCUCGACAAAUGAACUUGGAUUAACACACCUCUAAGCUUCUAAGAGCCUCAAACACCUUCAAAACCUUAAACAAAUACAAGAUAUGACAAUCAAUAACUUAUUCUAAGAAUUUGAUUUUCUAAUUCAUACCCGUACAGGUCUGAUUCUCAGAAUUUUAACUCUUAAUCCAAGUCUCAGAAUGAUAUAAAAUCCUAUGGAACCAUUCUGGACAUCCAUGAGUACCCCAUGUAAAAUUUACAAGAGAAUCCGAUAUCAAAAACAUUUUAAAAACUAUUUACUUCUCAGCAAAUUCGAAACUGUUUUCACAUAAUCUAAACCAAACAGAACGGGUUCCGUGAUUUUUAUAAAAUAAAAUACUAAUCAGAAAAUUAUGAAAUUAAAACUGCGAAUCCUAGACACAUAUAUUAACAUACAUAAAAACUUUCAGAAUGUUUUGAGUUCAUUUGGUGGUACAAAUAGUCUUUUGAAUCUGAUCACAAUACUGGAAUCGUGGAUUUCCAGUGCAGUGGUUUCUAUUUCCAAAAUACGUAUAAAAUUGAAAACGAAGUUGAAUUUAAUGAAAUAAAAUUUAAUCAAGAAGCCCUACAUGUCUAGUUUCCAGAAAUAUAAAUUUUAUAAGAAAAUUCGUUCAGAAAAUAUAGCUUUAAAAAUUCGAGAUACUCAUGCUGUUCAGAAUAAACGUUGUGAACUUACCUGUCGCUUUGAGUCUCUCCUAAACAAAGGUUUGAAUCCUAAGAUUUGGGUAGGAGCGUAAAGAGCAGCAGAGAAGAAGGAUAAACGUUGUGAACUUAGGGUUAUGGAAGGGGGAAAAGUAUGUAUUUAUAGGGGAUCUUAAGAAACCCUAUUCAAUAAGGAAAAAUAGCCCUUUUCCAAAAUGAUCUCAUAAAUAACCUCUAUUUAAUUAGUACCCCUUUCUAAAUAAGGGUUAUAGGCCACCCAUAAUUCUCAAUGAAAGCCCAAUUUCCAUAAUUUAAUAUGUAUGCGAAUUUGUGGCGUUACAUUCACAUUCCCCUAACUACUAAUAUUUAGCUAAACAUUUUUUGAAAUAAAGAAAAUUAUUAAAAUUGAAAAAUGCAUAAUUAAAAAAUGGAAUUUGAAAAUUGAAAUAAAACUAAUUUUAUUGAUUGAAAAUAUAUUACAAAGAGAGAUGAGAAGAAGAAUUUGGGGGGAAAGAAGAGAAGAGAAUGUGUGAAGAGGUGUGUCCCCCCCCCCCCUCUAUUUAUACUAAUAUAUGGUAAAUCAACACCACACAAAUAAAUAAAUCUAAUUACAUCUUAGCCUUACAUUUGUCUCACUAAUAAAAUAUAAAUCUAACUUAAUCUACUCAAACACAUCCAACACAUUCCACUAACAAUUACCAUACCUAACAUUAUAAAAACUUAUAAUUUUACAAUUAUCAUAUUUAUCGUGGUAAAAACUUAAAAAUUUACAACAAAAGUCUUGGAUCCUCCUCGACAAUGACAUAAUUUCUCGGACUUCCAUUUGUUUGGAGCCUCAAAUUGCAUGAAAUUAUUAUUUUUACCUAAUAAACACAUAAAAAUACAAAAAAUCAAAUAUUUAGAAAAAUAAUUAGAAAUUCACAAUAUGUUACACAAUUGCAAAUAUAAAUUACAUUAACAGCACAAAAUAACAUUUUCACCCCUUCAUUACCAUACGAUUUUUAACACUAAUCAAUCUGGAAAAAUCAUUAAGACAUGAAAUGUAUGUGCUCGAUUUCUUCACAAAUAGAAAAAAUUUUCACCGAUUAGCUUAUGAUAGCGACGCAACUUGCAUAGCCCAACUUAGAAUGGAUAAGCGUGCAUUUACAAAUCUAUGCACUAUGCUUGAAAUGAACGGGGAGCUAAAACCAGCAAAACAUUUAUUAGUCGAUGAUCAAGUUGCCAUGUUUUUACAUAUAAUAGUGCAUCAUGUGAAAAGCAUAGUGAUUAGGUUUAAAUUUUUUAGAUCGGGAGACACUGUUAGUAAGUAUUUUCACAAUGUAUUGCAUUCUGUGAUACGACUCCAUGGAGAAUUAUUGAAAAAGCCUAAGCCAGUUUCAGAAAACUCCACUAAUGAGAGAUGGAAAUGGUUUAAGGUAUAUAUCAUUGUUAUAUUCAUUUUUCUUAUAUGCUAAAUAUGUUGUAUGAUAUAAAUAAUUAUUUUUUUUCUUUGGCAUUGAUAAUAGAAUUGUUUACGAGCAUUAGAUGGAACAUAUAUUAGAGUGAGGGUGCCUGCAGCAAAUAACCCUAGGUACCAGAAUCGAAAAGGGGAGAUUGCCACUAAUGUCUUAGGAGUAUGUUCCCAAGAUAUGCAAUUCAUUUAUGUUUUAGUGAGCUGGGAAGGUUCAGCUGCUGAUGGUAGAGUCUUUCGUGGGGAUCUACGGAAAAUAAAUGGUUUGAAUGUACUAGAACUAAACGAGUUGUUUAAUAUAAAAACUUUAGUUAUCUAAAACUUAAUAUUUCUUAAUUCUAGAAGUUACUACUAUCUAGUGGAUGUUGGGUAUGCUAAUAGUCCGGGAUUUCUCACUCCUUAUCGUGGACAACGAUAUCACCUCAAUGAUUGGAGGGAAAACUACCAACCUACUAACCCACAAUAUUUUUUUAACGUGAAGCAUCCAUCCGCUAGGAAUGUUAUUGAAAGAUGCUUUGGCAUGUUGAAAAACCGACGGGCAAUUCUUAGGAGUCCUUCCUUUUAACCUAUUAAGACUCAAAAUAAGAUUAUCAUGGCAUGUUUCUCGUUACACAAUUUUGUUAGGAGGGAGAUGCCAUGUGAUCCUUUUGAGGAGUCAUUUGAUGUUGUAACUGGGGUCAAAUCAUUUAGAAGCUUAAUAUCGAGUAUCAAAACUUCGAAAGAGUAGAAUGUAUGGAGGGCAAACUUAGCUCAACAAAUGUAUAAUCAGUGGACAACAAGUAGAUUGAUGACAUGGAAAAUGAAUGUAUUACUCAUUUUUAUUUUUCUGAAAUUUUGUUGUAUUUUAGUAUCUGUUGAAACUUUUGAAACUAAAUUGACAAUAUUAUUUUGAAUGUGACAUGGAGGAUUUAUUUUAUUACCACUUGUAAUUUAAUUUGAGUUUGUUUUGUUUCAUGUUGGUGCAAUUUUUACUGUUUAGUUUUUUGUUUUAAUAGCUAAAUGGCAUUACAACCUCCAAAGUCAAGAUUUUGGACCUUAGAAGAAGAUAUUAAGCUCGUGGAGUCUCUUUUUGACUUUUAUCAUGAUGGAAAAUUUUAUGCUGACAAUAACUUUAAAAGUAGCUACUUAAGAGCUCUUGAGACUACUUUGGAAACAAAACUACCCGGAUGUGAUAUAAAAGCAAAACCACACAUUGAAUUAGGGGUGGGCAAAAUACCCGACCCGAUCUGAUCCGACCCGACUUGACCCGAAAAAUUGUGAGUAUAAUCUGAUCGGGUGUAUUUGUGUCAACCCGAUCAAAUCUUGAUCGGAUCGGGUUACCCAAUCGGGUUAGCUAAAAAAAAUAAUUAACAAAUAAAAAACAAAAUAAAAUUAUAACACAAGCACACAACCACAGACAAACAUAUGCACACAACCACAAAUCAUUUCGCUACCUUCACAGAUCAUAGUUGUUAGCCUAUAUCCUAUAAAUAUUGAUUUUGAUGAUAACAAACCACAUGUGUUGGUUAAACAAAAAUUUAUGUAUUGUGCUUUUAUAAUAAGAAAAUGGUUUUAUGGAGUUAAAUUGUUUUUCAAGUUAUGGACUAAAAUGAAAGAAUUAUUACAAUCUUUGAUUUUAAUAAAUAUUGAUUUGAAUUUCGGAUUUGAACCUAUUUGAAAAUAUUUAAAUAUUUUGGGUCAUUCUAUAAUUUCACAUAUUUUGGGUCAUAUCAUAACUUCAGAAAGUUUUGGGACUGACGAAGCAUUAUUUUGAAAUUUUGAAAUUGGACCUAUUUUGAAAACUUUCAUAACGUUUUGGGUCAUAAUACAAUUUUAUAAAGUUUUGGGGUCAAAUUGUAAUUUUGGAAUAUAGUUCACUGUAGCAGUUACUGUAGCAAGUGGCUAACUGGAUUUGACAAGCGGAAGACCGGAUUUUGGAUAGUAAGCUUCUGGAACAUAAACGGCUAUCCGAAUUUCAAAAGCAGCUAUUCGGAUAUGAAAAGCGGCAUGCCGGAUAUUCUGAAAUUCAAAUUUUUGUUGUAACGGUAAAAUAAAAGCGGCUAACCGAAUUCCAUAAACAGUAAGCCGGUUAAGCCGGUUAUCACCAAAAUGUGCAUAACGACUAGUUUUUGAGUUCAAACUAUAUAAACUCAAAUCCAAUUUAUUUUCAAACUCUCUCUAGCAAGUAAAAACAAAAAGCACAUAUCAUAUCUUCAGCUCUCAAUUCGUAAAUCAUUAUUCAUUGAAUCAUCUUUGUUCUUCAAUUUGUUCAUCUACUCUUUAAGUGAGUUUAUUCGAUUGUAAUUUUCAUUUCUUCAUCUUAAUUGUGAGUGUUUGAGUGUGUGAGACACUUGAAUGAAGAGAUUGAGAGAUAAUCUCUUUGUUGUAAAGGUUCAUUGGCACCUUGAAGUCAGUUGUAAACAUUUGAAGCCUUGAAAGGCUUGGAUAGUGAAAUGCUCAAGCUUGGAUCGCUUGGAGGCGUGGACGUAGGCGGGGAUUGUCGAACCACAUAAAAAAUUCGUGUGUUUGUUUCUCUUCUCUCUUACUCAUUUGUUAUUGUGCUUUUAUUGAACUUAUUGCUUUCGAAUUUAUUAAGGCGUUAGAUUGGAUUGUUGUGUGGUUUUGUUAGGAUAAUUUUUAAAAUACCAAUUUAUCCCCUUCUUGGAUUGCACACUUGUAUUUCAAUAGCCUCACGGCCCUCACCCUCACAUUCGCGACUUCACACACACACACACAUCGCAAAAGCUAAAAGCAAAGCAGCUGCCAACAACUAAUGCAGAGAAGACACGGACGAAGCGCAGCCCGCGCAUGCAGCCACCUAACCUGCUACCAGAUCUAUUCCUCUGCGACCCACGACCGGAUCUUCUACUGUUAGAUCUGCUGCUGUAAGAUCUGUUGCUGUUGGAUCUACUGCUUGCCAGAUCUACGGCUUGCUGGAUCUGCUGCUGUAGCCUCCACCAUCACCAAGUUCUUCUAGAACUGGAAACCCGAAUUCUUUUUUUUUAUGUUUUGAUGGUAUAAAAUAAUAUAUUAUAUAUUAUCUGUUAAUUGUUAAUUGUUAAGUAUAUGCAUUGUUAAAUGUUAACAAUAAAAUGAGGAAAAUUCUUGUAUUGAAAAUUGUAGAGCUGGAUCGAUUAGGCAUGUGGAAGCUUAAAUUAUAAGUAUGAAUUCAUUUUCUUUUUUUGUUUUUAAUGAAUAGAUUAGUUAGAUUAAACAUUAAAAUUAAAUAUUUUAUUUUAUUUUAUUUGUGUAGUAGCUUUGCCCGAUCCGAAUUAACCCGAAUUUAACUUGGUUAUUUGACUCGAUCUGAUCCGAACAUAUUCGAAUCGAAUCGGAUCGGGUUACAGUUUCGGGUUGAGUUCGGAUGAAUUUGUUUCUAACCCGAUCAACCCGAAAUUCGAUCAGGUUGAUCCGAACCCGAAAAUGCUCACUCCUACAUUGAAUCUCGUAUAAAGACUUUAAAUAUGCAAUUUCGAAUUAUACAUGAGAUGUUAACUAGACCGAAUUGCAGUGGCUUCGAUUGGGAUCCAGAAAAGAAAAUUGUAAGGGUAGAGAAGGUUGUAUGGGAUGCUUAUGUUUUGGUAUGUGAGAUGUUAUUGUUUUAUUUGCUAUUUUUUAUCGUUGUUAUAGAUCUUUGCUAUUUUAUUUGUUAUUUUUGUUGUUUUUGUUGUUUUGCUUGUUGUUUUACUUAUUUUUAGUGCUAUUAUGUUUGCUGGGUACUGAUGUUUUUGUUGUUAUACCAACUGGUUACUACUUUUUUUUAUGUUUUACUAUUUUACUUACUGUUUCACUUAUUGCUUGCUACUCUUAUAUUUUUUGGGUACUGUUGUUUUUACUGUUAUACUUGCUGGUUACUACUUUUUUGCUAUUUUUACUGUUUUGUUUGUUGUUCACUUGCUAUUUACUGCUGUUAUAUUUGCUAGGCACUACUGUUUUUGCUGUUAUACUUGCUAGUUAAUAUUUUUUUUGUUGUGUUUUGCUAUUUUACUUUAUGUAUCCUUUGUUGUUUGCUACUGUUAUAUUUGUUGGGUACUACUGUUUCUGUUUCCUUUGCUAUUUACUACUGUUAUAUUUGCUUGGUACUACUAUUUUUGCUAUUAUACUUGUUGGUUACUACUUUUUUUGCUGUGUUUUGCUUUUUCUGCUUUGUUUUACUAUUUUACUUAUUGUUUUUACUGUUAUAUUUGUUGGUUACUAUUUUUUUACUACUGGUUGCUAUUGUUAUUACUGUUUUACUCACUGCUUUUUAUUUUUACUCAUUUGUUGCUACUAUUAUACUUGCUGGUUAUGAUGUUUAUUAUUGUUCUUUUUCACUAUUUUAUCUGCUGUUAUAGAGUCAUAAAGGGGCAACAAACUUCAAGAAUAAAGCAUUCCCAUAUUAUGAGAACUUAUGUAUGAUUUAUGGUAAGGACCAUGCAAUUGGAAAGAAUGCAGAAGCUCCUGCAGAUGUGGUUGAGGAACUUGAGAGGACAAAAAAAAAAUGAAGCUCAAGAAGACAAUUUGGAUGUUGAGAAUAUGAGAGAUGAUAUUGAUGACAGUGUCUCUUUCUCACUUGCUUCACGGAACCGUCCAAAAACUUCAAACAGCUCGUUAAGAAAAAAGGAGAAGAAAUGAAGAGUCGGAAGAGCUUGGAGAACUUAAAGAGCUAACAACUCUUAUCGUUGCACAAAUGAAAGACACUUCUAAUGUGGUGAGUUGAGCUAUGGGACAAGAAAUCAAUGAGAAACAAGUGGGAUUAAGUGAAGUGUUGAAGAAGAUUAGCAGUCUUACAACAGUAGAAUGACUUAAAGCCACCACUCAAAUUGCUCGUGAUAGUACGGCACUUAAUGUUUUUUAUACUCUUUGUGAUGAGGAUAGAGAGACAUGGGUUAAAAUUUUCCUUGAUGGGGAAAUUUAACUCAUGCUUAGAUGUUAUGGUUUAUUAAUGUCUAACUUAACCCAUUUGUGCACUUAAUAUUUGAGCACUUGAAAUUUGACCUAGUAUUUUUUGUUAUGUUUUUGCUUUUUCAUAAUUUGGAAUGUCUUUGAAAUUUGAAGGUGUUACAGUCAUAUUUUGAAAUUUGACUAAGUAUUUUUUAUUAUUUCAUUUGAUCAUUUGAAAUUUAAUAUACUUUUAGUAAUACUAUGGGCUAGUUUUGAAAUAAUAUUAAUGUUUCUUAUUUAAAAAGAAAUAUAUUUGAUAAAAGCAUUUGGAUAAUAAUUGGUAAAAGUACUUUUGACAAUGAUAUGCAAAAGCACUUUUAAUAAAAGCACUAUAAAUGCAGCUAGGGCAUUGAGAAUGAAACAUUAACCUUGAGUCUAAUUUUAAAAUAAUUAAACAUAUUUGUAGUUUAUAAAUUAAUUUAACAAUAAAUAUUAAAAAUCUAAUACAAGGGUAAAUUUGUCCAGAUAAAAAAUUAUAAAAUUCCUUUCCUUUGCUAAUUCUAUCUUAAACCGAACAAAGGAAAUCAAAAUCCCUACUCUUUUCUUCUCUUUUCCUUUCUCCUCCUCUCUUUUCCUCUCCUCUCCUCUCUCAUCUUUUGCUACAACCGAACAUGGCCUUAGAACCAAAAAUAAAUGUUGGAUUAGUCGACUUGCCAGUUUUGGGUUGGAUGAAACGUCGGUUUAAAGCUUCGAACACAUGCAUGACAUCUAACUAAUGUCAUAUGAGUACAAUUUGUGAAGCAUGUGCUUUGCACGUGAUUCACUUAAAACAUUAUAAGCUUGAAACAAUGAUGUUGGAUGUCGUUUAACUCACUUAUGGACCCCUUCACAUGUAAGAGGUUGUUAAGGCAGUUAAAAGAGGUGGGAAAUUUCUUGGUUUGUUUUAACAAACCCAGAAUGCAAGCUGGCUUCUUAACCAAAUUGCUGGAUCAUUCUAGAGUAAUAUAUAUAGUCAUUUAGCUUGUACCCUGGUACGUAAAGUUGAUUGAAACUUUCUAUGUAAGCUUGUAACUUGAUUUGCUAUAAUGAAAGAACCUACAGAUUUGUUUCUCAAGAGGAUGUAGGCCACCAUAGCUAAACCUCUAUAACUCUUGUUUGUCCUAUUUUCUUUAUCUUCUUCUGUGUUGUUUGACUUUAAAUGCAUUUGUUAAGCAUUUUUUAUCUGAAAUUAAGAGUGUGAUGUAUGAUCUUAGGCUAAAGAUUGGUUAUCUCUUAUCUUUAUUCGAAAAAUAAAGAAUAUACUCAGUGAGUGGGCUUGCUAGAAGAACAAUUUUCUCUAACCUGGGACACUGUAGACAAAGACUCUCCAAAGAAAAUAAAUUCUUCUCAUUCCCUCAUUAGAGUAUAAUCAAAUAAAUAGUUUAUUUCACAAUAAAUAUGUUUGUGACUCUAUAGUAAAUCAUCCGAUCUUUAUUCUCAGCAACCAUGUUUUCCUUGAGACAACCAUAGUGGCAAUUAUAUCAUCUCCAUUAGCCAAAUUAGAGCAUUACCAAAACACUCAUCUAAUUUUACUUUUCAAUACUUAUUUACAUACCUAUGUGGCAAAUAAAAGAGUGAAAAAAUAAAUUCUCUCCCAAAAGACUCUUCAAAAAUAAAUAAGUUUAUAUUAUUUUAUCAAAUUCUUUUACUAAAUUUAAAUACCCUCCAUUUUUUCAAUAAUGUAGUUAUAAUACUUCUUUCUCUUCAACAAUGAUGAUAUAAAAUAUAAUAUAAUAUUAUUUGAAGAGAGAAAAGUCACUCUUCAAUAUUGAAGAAAGAGAAGAACAAUUUUAUUUGAAAAAUCUCAUUUGAAGGGUUUUUUGGAAUCUUUUUGCUGACGUAGCCCUGAAAAUAAGAAUUGAAAUCUCAUUUGAGGAGCAUUUUAGUAAUGCUAUGAAGGUAAUUUCGAGGAGUGGAGUGCUUACAAAAUGUUAAUGGAAAUUUAAUCAAAAUUUUAAAAAACAAAACUCCCAUUUUAUAUCUGAAAAUCAGUAGUCUUUAAUUAAUAAUUCAUAUUUAAUUCAAGUAAUUACUACUUGUAAAUUUCAUUGUCAUUUUCAUCCAUAAAAAAAAAAAACUUGUCAUUUGAAUUUGAAAAUUGUCCCUCAUGCCAGUUAACAUAAUUUUAUGCAUUUUGAAAUAUCAUUGUUAUACAUUUAAAACACUAAAAGUAAUGUAAAGAUAUUUUGUAUCAUUCUUAUUUACCGUUUCUAUAUGAAACUCGUUAUGAUGAAUAUCUUUAAAGUUAGAAAGAUUUCUUCUAGACUUGGUUGAAUACAAAGCAUCAUGGAUACAUAAUAUGUUCCAUUGUUCCAUUUGCUAAGAUGAAUACGACUCUAUAGAGCCCUCAGUCUGAUCUACAGGACUUGCUAUGGUAUUCACCUUAACUUCAAAUAAUAUUAAGCUAAUGAAGUAUUUAUUAUUACAAACAAUAGUGUGUGUAAUCGCACUGUCAGCUAAACACAUCUCUCCAUCAUGUAAUCCGUUUUGCAAAUUCAUAUCCUUUCACAAAAGAAAAAAUUUAUUAGACUAUAUCAAUAAUACAAUUACAAAAUAGAUAUAUUAAUAAAAACUAGAGACUAAUUUAAUUAGCUUAGAUAUCUCCAUCACCAAUUAAGUCACUUAGCUUCUCAUUAUGAUCUUCAAAGAAGUCUGAGACACCUAGAUUUAUAUUAUCAUUAACUGAAAUAGCAUAAUUUAUCUCAAUAUUCUACCAUUUCUACUUGAUACAUGUCAAUAAACUGCCCAAGUAUAUGACAAGAUCUCUAGAAUGGCGUCCAUUUCUAAUAAUUUUUGUUGUAACCACUAUUAAGUCUAUAAUUGUGAUUAUGUCCAUGACCACAGUCAAAACCAUGAUUGCAUCUUUGAUUACACAAUCACUGUGUGGAAUAGUAUUCCCUUAAGCAAUAGCUUGGCAUCAAUUCAAGCAAUAGCUUCGUAUCAGUUCAAGCAAUAGCUUUGUAUCAGUUCAAGCAAUGGCUUCGUGUCAAUUGGAUAAGCUUGAUUGCUUUAAUAAAGCCCAUGGAUUCUAGAUGAUGAAUAACAGAUGCACAUAGCUUGUAGUUGAAUCUCAUAAUCCAAGGUAAAUUAUUUUCACCAGAAAUAUUAAGGGCUUCAGGGUCCAGCUUCAUUGGAUUCAUCGUCUUCAAUCAAUCUUCAAGGCCUCGGAAUAUUUAAAUUUAUGGCUUCAUAUGUAUAGGCUUCAAUAUGAAUUUUGUACACUUUAAUCUUAAUUUUAUAGGUUUCAGUUGCAUGCUUCAAUCUUUGCCUGUAAUGUCAGUAGUAUAAAAUAAACAAGAAAAAUGUAAUAACUAACUUAAUUUUCUUAUGUGGAUGAUCCAAAUUAAUGGCAACUAGAGAGCAUACUUGCAAGGAAAUUUUUAUUAAAUAAAUAAAAUAAAAUAAAAUAAAUACUUCUUUAUCUCCUACUGAUGACGUGUUAUAACAUUGAAGAGAAUUUUACAAGAAGUUAUUGAUAAUUUAACUAAAUAAUAUAAAUAUGAGAGGGGCUAUAUGAUAUAAGACUAGAGAACAAAGUACUUAACCGAGGCUUUUAUUUCCGUGAACUGGAAAUUAAAAAUUGUAAUUAAUACAAAAGUCUUGCAAACCUUUUUAUAGGCAAAUCACAACCAAUCAAACUUUAACACCUCAGCAACAAUAUCAAUUUAAGUAGUGUGCACUUAAGAGAGCCUAUCAGGCCCAAGUAGGUGAUACACAGGUCGAGCAGUGUGCCUACGCAUGUGGUCUCCAUCAAUGUUGUGUCUACUUUUUGGAGUGGGAAUGUGGAAUGUGGAGUAUGAAUUCCUCUCACUCUAAUGUUUAUUUACUAUUUUUAAGGAGGGAGUGGGAUUCCCACUCCGUGGGUCCCACCUAAUUUUGGAGUGGGGAGUGGGAUUCCCACUCCCAUGGGGGGAGGUGGGAGUGGGAAUCCACUCCCCCUCUUCCCUUUUUAUCCUAAUAAUUAAAAUAAAUAAAUAAUAUUUAAUAAAAUAAAUAAUAUCAUAUUUAUUAAAAAUAAUAAUUAUAAACAUAUUUAUUUUAUUAAAUUUAAUAAAAUAAAAAAAUAUUAUAUUUAUUUAAAUAAUAAUAUUAUUUUAUUUUAUAAAUUAAAUUCAUUAAAAAUAAUAAUAUUAAACAUUAAUUAUAAUAAAUAUUAAUUAUUUAUUUAAUUAAUAAUAAUAAAUAUUUUAUUCUAAGAAAAUAUUAAUUUUGUACUAUAUUAUCAAUAAUAAUGUUUCAUUUGUGUUGCUAUUAUUAAUAAUUUUAUUCACAUAAUUUAAAUUUAAAUUAAUAAAAAAUUAUGAUUUACAUAAUUAAGAAUAUUAAUAAUUAUUAUUAAUUUACAAAUAUAAUAAAAUAUUUAUUUUAUUUUUAAAUAUAUUUUUAUUAAUUUUUUAAUUACAAAUUAUAAUUCUUUAAAUAAGGGUAAAAUUAUAAUUUAAAACUAUUUACUCCCAAUCAAAGACAAUGUAAACACAUAAAUUGGAUUCGGGUUUCAAUUUCAUUCUCUCAUUCCAAUGUAAGUAAACAACGUACUCCCACUCUCACUCCACACUCUCAAUCCUAAGAUUCUCACUCCUCAAGAUUCUCACUCCUAUCCAAAAUGUAAACGCUACCCAAAUGUAUUUCCCAUUAUAUCUCCAGCUAGUGAACCAAGCAUCAAGCAUCACAAGUAGUAUUCCUCAAUUUACCACUUAACAAACCACUGAUGUUUAUCCUCCAAUUGGUGCAAGCGGUGUGUGCACUUUACUAAUCCAAGAUGGCGGAUAGCCACACUAAAACAUCAUAACAUUUUAAAAGAAAAAAAAAAUCUUUUCAAAAAAAUUAUAAGUGAACUAAGAGUUUCACAUGGGCAUGUCUAAAAAUUAAAAAUCACCAAGGGUAUUUUUAAAAUUUUCAAGAUCAUCAGGACUGUUUUGAUGAUAUAUUAUAAGAACAAAUUUCUUUCAAAGCCCAAUUCAGACAUUUCGCUCAUCUCAUCCCAAAACCGCCCAACAGUUACAAAUGUCUUGGUUCAAAUUUAGAAUGUGCCUUAAUCAGAUUAGUAUCAAUAAGGCUCAAAAUCUAUCGAAAAUAAAUAAAUUACAAAAAUCACAGAAAAAACGCCAUUGAUAGUGUUUGGGAGGGAUACUGUUUGGGGCAAAUGCGUCGAAGGGACCAGGAAUGACGAGCAGAUAUCUGACGGCGGAGUUCUGCGAACCGGUGUGUUCCGUUAAAGCCUGGCGCGUGGAAGAACAGGAGCAGAAACAUCCUGCUCGUCCACGAUGUUGUCGUCCGCGAGGCCAAUUCCUAUAAAAGGCAUAAGGCCAUUCCGGCUAGAGAUCGAGAGGCGAGGAGACCCGGUCGACGGCAGUUGGCAAGACGUGCUCUCCAGCACGAGAAUCUAGGCACAACAGCCACGCUUUCCCCAGAACCGCGACGUAACACGCAAGAUCUCACAGAGCCAUGACAGCCACACUUUCCCCAGAACCGUGGCGUAACACGCAAGAUCUCACAGAGCCAUGACAGCCACACCUUCCCCAGAACCGUGGCGUAACACGCAAGGUCCCACAGAGCCAUGGCAGCCACGCUUUCCCCUGAACCGUGGCGUAACACGCUAGAUCCCAUGUUUUGCCCAUAACGCAGCAGUUGGAGUCCCAUACCGUCUCGAAAAGAGCGGAAGACUGAGAUUCAGAGGAAGCCUAUAAAAAGGUAGCCAACGAAGGUAAAAAGGUUGGCAUUCUUGAGAAAAGGGGAGAAAACCACAAGAAACGCCAUAAGACCUGUGGCAAGCUUUUCCCGAACCUUCAUAUCUGACUUGAGCGUCGGAGGGUUUGCGCCGGGAAAACAACCGGCGUACUCUGACUUAUCUGUGUACGCAGGGACCUCCGGGGAAGAAGCCUGGCGAGGAGACCUCCUGGUCGUGACGAAGUUGAUCGAGCAGAGAUCCUGAUCGUAGAACGAGGAGAACCGGAAUCUCGCAUCAACAUUUUGGCGCCGUCUGUGGGGAUCCAGAGCAAAAAGCUUCUGUCGAUAACAAGAAGAGGGGUGGAGUAAGCGAAAGGCAAUGGAGAUAGGAGGAAGUAGCGCACAAGGGGGUGACAUAAGGCUUAACGAUUCCGUGACGCUGAGGGAGGUGAUCAGCGAAGCACGGGAAAAAGUCAUGUUCGACCGGAUGGAGCGAAUGGAAAAGCAGAUGGAAACCUUGACAACCAUCCUGCAUGAGCUGUGGAACGAGCGAAGGGUAACCCAAGAGGGAAGGGUGAGAGGCGGUGGAGCGACACCAGGUACCGAUAGUGCGGAGAGAAGUCAAACCGCUGGGAGAUUUGACGGUGAGAGAGGUAACGUACCUCUGCGGGGAGAAUUUCAUAGAGAAAGAGAGCAGUCCCCGGUAAGACAGACUUGUGACGAGGGCGACGGGGUGGUGAACGCAGAGGAAACAGAACUGAGGCAACACUUACAUGAUGUAGAGCGAGAGCGGGAUCAAGCUGCAGCGCGCGACCCUGGUCGCGCAGGACAGCUGGAGGAGGAAGUGCGAAGGCUAGCGCAAAUAAUUGAUGACAUGCAAGGGAGGAACAGAGCCCCUGGUUGGAGGAUAAUGCUGGACGGGGAAUCACCGCUCGCAGUAGAGAUCAUGAGGGCAGUUAUUCCAAGAGAUUUCCGCCUCCCCGACCUCAGAUACUCGGGAAGAACUGACCCGCUGGUGCACAUAGAGCGCUUCAACGACAUAACGGGGGUCCAGGGAUUAUCUCCAUCCCAAAGGUGCAGGGUGUUCCCACUAUCCCUUGAGGGACGUGCACGAGAAUGGUACAGGAAACUUCCUCGGGGCAGCAUAAAAACCUUCGAGCAGAUGUGCCAGGAAUUCGCAGAGCAGUUUAGUGGGGCAAUGUCACCGGAAGAUGACGUGAUGGAGCUGAAGAGCAUGAAACAGGGGGAGCAAGAAACCCUUCGGGAAUUCAUCAAGAGGUUUCAUCGGGCUGUCCUCGACUUGGAAGCCUUCAACCACCCUCAGGCGUUAAGGGGACUGAAAGAAGGGGUGAAGAUAGGAAGGCUGUGGUACAAUUUGAGAAGCCCAGCUAUUCAAACGUAUGCAGCCGCAUACGAACAGGCUAAAAGAGACAUCGAGAUUGAGGAGGAGAAGGCUGCACGGAUCAAGACAGACCAGUUGGAAGGGUUAGGGAGGAAAGAGAAGAAAGCAUUACCAACUAAUGGACCGAACAGGUGGAGGGACCACCAGAUCUCCGGUAGUGGAGCAGGAGGUAGGGUAAUUGCUUACCAGCCUCAUCAGAGGCCGCCACAGUAUCAGCGCAGCAGGGCGCCACCUCCUUGCUCCCCAGCUAGGGAGCCUUGGAGAAGACAUGAUUCGGCAUCCGGCGAUCUUCAUCAACAUUCCCACGGUAGCAGGACGAGCAGACCAGAAGCACUCCCACCGCCCCCAACUCACAGUGGGGCAAACAGAGAAAGAGCAGUGCAUCUGGUCGACCAGAACCAGGACUGUGGGCGGUACACUCCCUUGAAGAUGCCCCUGGAUGAGGUGUACGAGGCCAUAAAGGGUCGAGGGCUGCUGCACCUCCCUACACCAAUAACAAAGCUACCCAACAGGAGGGAUAGAGGACGUUAUUGUAAGUUCCAUGGCACCCAUGGCCAUACCACAGCAGAGUGUAGAGAUCUCAAGACCCAGGUCGAAGAUUUGGUGAGAAAUCGGUACCUGGACGAGUUUAUGGAUGGGACUUUCCCGAUGGUGGCCACCACGGAUGAAGGGGAGCAGAGUGAUGGAAUCUUGAGACGCGAGCCGCCCGCAGCGAGGGUGAUAGCUGGGGGCCCAACGUUGGCCGGAGAUUCGAACAGAUCGAGAAAAAAUUAUGCCAGAUGUUGAUGCGAGAUUCCGGUUCUCCUCGUUCUACGAUCAGGAUCUCUGCUCGAUCAACUUCGUCACGACCAGGAGGUCUCCUCGCCAGGCUUCUUCCCCGGAGGUCCCUGCGUACACAGAUAAGUCAGAGUACGCCGGUUGUUUUCCCGGCGCAAACCCUCCGACGCUCAAGUCAGAUAUGAAGGUUUGGGAAAAGCUUGCCACAGGUCUUAUGGCGUUUCUUGUGGUUUUCUCCCCUUUUCUCAAGAAUGCCAACCUUUUUACCUUCGUUGGCUACCUUUUUAUAGGCUUCCUCUGAAUCUCAGUCUUCCGCUCUUUUCGAGGCGGUAUGGGACUCCAACUGCUGCGUUAUGGGCAAAACAUGGGAUCUAGCGUGUUACGCCACGGUUCAGGGGAAAGCGUGGCUGCCAUGGCUCUGUGGGACCUUGCGUGUUACGCCACGGUUCUGGGGAAGGUGUGGCUGUCAUGGCUCUGUGAGAUCUUGCGUGUUACGCCACGGUUCUGGGGAAAGUGUGGCUGUCAUGGCUCUGUGAGAUCUUGCGUGUUACGUCGCGGUUCUGGGGAAAGCGUGGCUGUUGUGCCUAGAUUCUCGUGCUGGAGAGCACGUCUUGCCAACUGCCGUCGACCGGGUCUCCUCGCCUCUCGAUCUCUAGCCGGAAUGGCCUUAUGCCUUUUAUAGGAAUUGGCCUCGCGGACGACAACAUCGUGGACGAGCAGGAUGUUUCUGCUCCUGUUCUUCCACGCGCCAGGCUUUAACGGAACACACCGAUUCGCAGAACUCCGCCGUCAGAUAUCUGCUCGUCAUUCCUGGUCCCUUCGACGCAUUUGCCCCAAACAGUAUCCCUCCCAAACACCGGUCCCCCAGUUUCUGGUGUUGGGUAGUGUAGUGGACCAGCAGUAGAAACUCGAUAGUACUCGCUCACGUGGGUUUGGAAAAGGCUGCCAGGAGUCAUGUCGCAUUUAAUUGCGGACGAGGUGACGUGGCAGAAAUCCCCCCCUCCAUUUGAAUUUCAAACCGACGGUUACGGGAUUCUCGGAAUAUGCGUCAUUAAAUGCUGGCAGCCCAAGAGUUUGCUUCUCAGUAAGGAAACCCAAAAUCUUCAAACACGAACUCGUCAUUUUCUCCAUUCUUGUCUCUCCGGCGAAUGAACCUCGGCGUCAAAGCUGUCAUCCCUGUCUCUCUCUGACCGAGUCCCUGCUUCAGGUAUUUCUUCUAUUUUUUUUUCGGUAUUGGUUAGUUGUAGGUAAUUUCCUUUCUCUCUGCGUUGCUUGAGGUUGUAGUUGGCGGUGGUGUUUUGGUUAGAACUUAAGAUAUGUCGAAAGGGUAAGGAGAAGGUCGUUGAGGUUGGUGACGACGAACUAGGUUUUUUGCCUAGUCUGCCCGCUGAUUUUGCUUUUGAUCCCGGGNNNNNNNNNNNNNNNNNNNNNNNNNNNNNNNNNNNNNNNNNNNNNNNNNNNNNNNNNNNNNNNNNNNNNNNNNNNNNNNNNNNNNNNNNNNNNNNNNNNNNNNNNNNNNNNNNNNNNNNNNNNNNNNNNNNNNNNNNNNNNNNNNNNNNNNNNNNNNNNNNNNNNNNNNNNNNNNNNNNNNNNNNNNNNNNNNNNNNNNNNNNNNNNNNNNNNNNNNNNNNNNNNNNNNNNNNNNNNNNNNNNNNNNNNNNNNNNNNNNNNNNNNNNNNNNNNNNNNNNNNNNNNNNNNNNNNNNNNNNNNNNNNNNNNNNNNNNNNNNNNNNNNNNNNNNNNNNNNNNNNNNNNNNNNNNNNNNNNNNNNNNNNNNNNNNNNNNNNNNNNNNNNNNNNNNNNNNNNNNNNNNNNNNNNNNNNNNNNNNNNNNNNNNNNNNNNNNNNNNNNNNNNNNNNNNNNNNNNNNNNNNNNNNNNNNNNNNNNNNNNNNNNNNNNNNNNNNNNNNNNNNNNNNNNNNNNNNNNNNNNNNNNNNNNNNNNNNNNNNNNNNNNNNNNNNNNNNNNNNNNNNNNNNNNNNNNNNNNNNNNNNNNNNNNNNNNNNNNNNNNNNNNNNNNNNNNNNNNNNNNNNNNNNNNNNNNNNNNNNNNNNNNNNNNNNNNNNNNNNNNNNNNNNNNNNNNNNNNNNNNNNNNNNNNNNNNNNNNNNNNNNNNNNNNNNNNNNNNNNNNNNNNNNNNNNNNNNNNNNNNNNNNNNNNNNNNNNNNNNNNNNNNNNNNNNNNNNNNNNNNNNNNNNNNNNNNNNNNNNNNNNNNNNNNNNNNNNNNNNNNNNNNNNNNNNNNNNNNNNNNNNNNNNNNNNNNNNNNNNNNNNNNNNNNNNNNNNNNNNNNNNNNNNNNNNNNNNNNNNNNNNNNNNNNNNNNNNNNNNNNNNNNNNNNNNNNNNNNNNNNNNNNNNNNNNNNNNNNNNNNNNNNNNNNNNNNNNNNNNNNNNNNNNNNNNNNNNNNNNNNNNNNNNNNNNNNNNNNNNNNNNNNNNNNNNNNNNNNNNNNNNNNNNNNNNNNNNNNNNNNNNNNNNNNNNNNNNNNNNNNNNNNNNNNNNNNNNNNNNNNNNNNNNNNNNNNNNNNNNNNNNNNNNNNNNNNNNNNNNNNNNNNNNNNNNNNNNNNNNNNNNNNNNNNNNNNNNNNNNNNNNNNNNNNNNNNNNNNNNNNNNNNNNNNNNNNNNNNNNNNNNNNNNNNNNNNNNNNNNNNNNNNNNNNNNNNNNNNNNNNNNNNNNNNNNNNNNNNNNNNNNNNNNNNNNNNNNNNNNNNNNNNNNNNNNNNNNNNNNNNNNNNNNNNNNNNNNNNNNNNNNNNNNNNNNNNNNNNNNNNNNNNNNNNNNNNNNNNNNNNNNNNNNNNNNNNNNNNNNNNNNNNNNNNNNNNNNNNNNNNNNNNNNNNNNNNNNNNNNNNNNNNNNNNNNNNNNNNNNNNNNNNNNNNNNNNNNNNNNNNNNNNNNNNNNNNNNNNNNNNNNNNNNNNNNNNNNNNNNNNNNNNNNNNNNNNNNNNNNNNNNNNNNNNNNNNNNNNNNNNNNNNNNNNNNNNNNNNNNNNNNNNNNNNNNNNNNNNNNNNNNNNNNNNNNNNNNNNNNNNNNNNNNNNNNNNNNNNNNNNNNNNNNNNNNNNNNNNNNNNNNNNNNNNNNNNNNNNNNNNNNNNNNNNNNNNNNNNNNNNNNNNNNNNNNNNNNNNNNNNNNNNNNNNNNNNNNNNNNNNNNNNNNNNNNNNNNNNNNNNNNNNNNNNNNNNNNNNNNNNNNNNNNNNNNNNNNNNNNNNNNNNNNNNNNNNNNNNNNNNNNNNNNNNNNNNNNNNNNNNNNNNNNNNNNNNNNNNNNNNNNNNNNNNNNNNNNNNNNNNNNNNNNNNNNNNNNNNNNNNNNNNNNNNNNNNNNNNNNNNNNNNNNNNNNNNNNNNNNNNNNNNNNNNNNNNNNNNNNNNNNNNNNNNGGAAACGCUUUGGGCCUCCAACAACCGAUAGGGACCAAGACAAAGAUGCUCCCGCUGCGAAGCGAAAGAACAUCGUGCAGCAGGUUCCUCCUUGGCAGGCUCUCCCUCCUGCUUCUGCUAAAGUCGGGAAUCCCAGUAGAGCAGCCACUGAUCCUGCUUUCUCUUCUCCACCUGUUGUGCCUCGGUCUCGCUUUCCCGACAGCCGACCAGAACACUUGGUCCCCUAUCUCAAUGAGUUGUCUAAACUCGUGAGCAAGAAGGACCUGAAGGGCUUUGACGGUUGUACCCUGGGCGAGCUGGUGGGAGCCAUGCAGUAUAGUGCUUUCCAUCUCAGCUGCAUGGCCACCUACUAUAAGGCCAAGGUUGGCCGUUAUGACAGGAAGAUGAAGGAGGACAUUCAAUCGGCGACGACCAGAGCUGACGUUGCCGAGAAAAAAGCGGGGGAGCUAAACGUUGAGAACCUCAAGCUGAUAGAGCAAGAGUCCCUUGCUCAAGCAAAAGCCAUUACCCUCGAGGAGGAGCUGACCAAGGUUAAGGAGGAUCUCCAAGGGCAGAGGGCUAUGUAUGAGGCUCAGCUCGAAUCUCUCCGCGAUUCCCACCGAGCUCAUGUAGAGAACUUGGAGAGGGAGGCUGACAACCAGUACGACCAGGGACUUCGGCAUUCCUAUCGUUGUAUCAUGGCCGUCCUCGGGAAGCAACACCCUGAUCUGAAGAUGGAUGACCUUGCAGCUGGUGUUGCUCAACACAUGGACGAGGAGGCGGCCAAGGAAGAUGCCGAAGGGGUAGAGCCGAUCGUGAUUGAGGAGGGAGACUCUCCUCCUCGUGCAGUCCCUGCUGAUGUUGGCGAGGUGAGCGCCCCUCUGGAUGCGACUGGUGAUACUCCUCCUGCACCUGAGGAGGUCCAGCCAACCGACGCUGCUGGGCUUACUGAUCCACGACCUUCCUGAUAUGUUUCUUGUAUUGUAAUGAACAAUGUUUGUGAAGAUUAUCUGCUUUGUUAAUUAUUAAUAAAUUAGUAGAAAUGUUUUUGAUUACUCUCUUGUGUGGUAAUUACGAGAGCCUGCUCGUCCUCGUCUGGUCGAACUGGCUAUGGCUUGGUAUAUGGUUUCGCCACCUGCCUUAGAAAAUUUUCCGAUGUUCGGGAUUCUGCUCGCCUUUACGCGGUCGAGCAGAUCUCGCCAUGCUUGGCUUCUGUCUCGCCAUAAGACAGGCUCUGAGACUUGGCGAGCCUUUGCAUGCCCUAGGAUUUUCUUCAAACGAUUUGGAUUCUGCUGCCUUCUCGUGGCCGAGCAGAUCCUGGCAUGCUUGGCUUCUGUCUCGCCAUAAGACAGGCUCUGAGACUUGGCGAGCCUUUGCAUGCCUCAGGAUUUUCUUCAAACGAUUUGGAUUCUGCUGCCUUCUCGUGGCCGAGCAGAUCCUGGCAUGCUUGGCUUCUGUCUCGCCAUAAGACAGGCUCUGAGACUUGGCGAGCCUUUGCAUGCCUCAGGAUUUUCUUCAAACGAUUUGGAUUCUGCUGCCUUCUCGUGGCCGAACAAAUCCUGGCAUGCUUGGCUUUCUGUCUCGCCAUAAAACAGGUUCUGAGACUUGGCGAGCCUUUGCAUGGCUCAAGAUUUUCUUCAAACGAUUUGGAUUCUGCUGCCUUCUCGUGGCCGAGCAGAUCCUGGCACGCUUGGCUUCUGUCUCGCCAUAAGACAGGCUCUGAGACUUGGCGAGCCUUUGCAUGCCUCAGGAUUUUCUUCAAACGAUUUGGAUUCUGCUGCCUUCUCGUGGCCGAGCAGAUCCUGGCAUGCUUGGCUUCUGUCUCGCCAUAAGACAGGCUCUGAGACUUGGCGAGCCUUUGCAUGCCUCAGGAUUUUUUUUCGGUUUCAAGCGAAUAAAAUUCGUCGACGUUACAUUAAUGGCAGGAUUUGACUUACAUGAAAUUGUUCGGACAUAAAACAUAAAAAUAAAAGAUAGACAGCAUGAGCAGAAAUUGCUUUAAAAUGUGAGCAAGUCUUACUGGAAGUAUUUUCGGAGGUGUGCUGCGUUCCAUGGGCGUUUCACUUCGUGGCCGUCCGCGCGAACCAGCUUGUAAGCUCCGGGCCCCGCUAUCUGCUUGACUCUAUACGGCCCUUCCCAAUUCGGUCCCAGCACUCCUUGAGUCGAAUCUUUGGUGCUCUGAUUCACUCUUCUCAGUACCCAGUCUCCGACCCUGAAUUGCCGUAUGUUCACCUUCUGGUUAUAAUACCGAGCAACCCUCUGUUGGUAAGUGACUGAUCGCUCGGCUGCUUGUUCCCUCCUCUCCAUUAGCAGAUCAAGAUUCAAACAUAUCUGCUCGUCGUUCUCCUGCUCAUUGAAAUGAUCUGUCCGGUGUGUGGUCGUUCCUACCUCAGCCGGCACGACCGCUUCAUGUCCGAAAGCCAAAGCGAACGGUGUCUCCCCCGUUGCGGUUUUGUGGGUUGUUCUGUAUGCCCAUAGCACACCUGACAGCUCGUCAACCCACGCACCUUUUUUUGCUCCGAGCCUGGUUUUCAGAAGCCUCUUGACUGUCUUGUUGGCUGCUUCUACUUGUCCAUUCGAUUGAGGGUGAGCAGGCGAGCAAUACUUCAGCUCUAUCCCGAGGUUCUGGCAGAAAUCCCUGAAGCUGUGAUUAUCGAACUGCCUGCCAUUAUCCGUUACCAAGGCAUAUGGGAUCCCGUAUCGACAGACCAGGUUUCUCCACACGAAGUCUGUUGUUUUCUUCUCUGUGAUCCUGCUAAGGGCUUCUACCUCUAUCCACUUCGUGAAGUAAUCUAUAGCGACUAUCGCAUGUGUUGCUGCUCCUCGUCCCUUUGGCAAUGGGCCGAUCAGAUCAAUUCCCCAUUGAGCGAAUGGCCAAGGGGAGGCCAUGGAGGUGAGCUUCUCUGGUGGUUGGUUAGAGAAAUUCGCAAAACUCUGGCAGCUUGCACGGCUCCUGAUCUUCCUUUGCGCAUCCUGGUGCAUCGUCGGCCAGAAAUAUCCCUGCCUUAGAACCUUGUGGGCCAGGGACCUCCCGCCAGAAUGAUUUCCGCAAAUUCCUUCAUGUACUUCCCUCAGCACGUAAUCCGCGUCGUCAUCGUCCAAACACCGAAGGAACGGUAAUGUAUAUCCUCGUCGAUACAGUACCCCAUCGAUCAUCGUGUAUCUCGAGGCCUGAGCUCUAAUCUUCCGAGCCCGUAGCUUGUCCGGUGGUAAGACCCCGUCUCUAAGGUAUGAAACUAUCGGGUCCCUCCACGAGCUUUUUUGUUCUAUCCGCAACACCCCCAAAUUUUGCUCGAUACUCGGGCGAGACUUCACUUCUAGGGGGACCGACUUUGGCAUUUUUGGGUCGGCUACGGCUGCCAUCCUAGCCAAAAUGUCUGCUCGACUAUUCUGCUCCCUGGGGAUUUGUAUCACCUCCACUGCUUCGAACUUCCCCAUCAUCUGCCUGACUAUCCUUAGGUACUGUUCCAUCUUCUCCUCUCUUGGUUGGAAUCUUUCACUGACAUGAUUCGCAACCAGCUGGGAAUCGGUUCUGAUCUUAACUCUGUCCGCUUUCACGGCCCUAGCCAAUUCCAGCCCUGCUAUCAAGGCUUCAUAUUCUGCCUGGUUAUUUGUGGCUGCAAAUUCCAACUUUACAGCAUAAGAGAUCUCCUCCCCCUCUGGGCCUUCCAGGACAAUCCCUGCUCCUGAACCCCGCUCUCCUGAUGACCCAUCCACAGAUAUCUGCCAUACUUGAGUUUCGUCGUUGCCUAUAUCUGCAUCUUGCUGAUCCAAGCAUACUUCGGGCUCCGCGAACUCAGCUACGAAAUCGGCCAUUGCCUGGGCCUUUAUCGCCGCGCGGGGUUUAUAGUCUAUGUCGAAUUCGCUCAGCUCUACAGUCCAUUUGACGAGCCGACCAGAAGCAUCCGGCUUGUGCAGAAUUUGACGCAAUGGCUGGUUGGUUAUUACCGAGACCGGGAAUGCUUGAAAGUACGGCCUCAACUUCCGAGCAGCAACCACAAGGGCCAGUGCCCAUUUCUCCAUCGUUGGGUAUCUGGUCUCAGCGUCGAGCAGGGCCUUGCUGGUGUAGUAUAUCGGAUACUGAAUUCCUUCUUCCUCUCUCACCAGAACGGAACUGGCGGCCCGAUCAGAUACCGCCAAAUACAGAUUCAACUUGUCCCCAUCCCUCGGUGUGGACAGUAGCGGAGCUUGCUGCAAGUAAUGCUUCAAGUUCCGGAAGGCUUCCUCGCAUUCUGGGGUCCAUUCCGUUUUCUUUCCCCUCCUUAUCACUUGAAAGAAUGGCUGACACUUAUCUGUAGCCUUGGAUAUGAAUCUGCUCAACGCCGCCAGCCUCCCCGUGAGGCUCUGCAUCUCCUUCAGGUUUCGAGGAGACGUCAUUUGCACAAUCGCCUGGAUCUUCUCGGGAUUUGCUUCAAUCCCCCUAUGGCUCACCAUGAAUCCCAGGAAUUUCCCUGACUCGACCCCGAAAGCACACUUCUCCGGGUUGAGCUUCAUCUUAUACUUCCUCAAAAGCUCGAACGUCUCCUCGAGAUGUCUGACAUGUUCCUUCGGGACUUUGGACUUGGUGAUCAUGUCGUCCACGUACACCUCCAUGGUUUUCCCGAUCAAGGGCUUAAAGACUUUAUUCACCAGCCUUUGAUAGGUGGCCCCAGCAUUCUUGAGACCGAAUGGCAUCACCCUGUAACAGAACAGACCUUGGUUAGUGAUGAAAGCCGUGCUCUCCUCAUCCGGCUCGUACAUGGGGAUCUGGUUGUAUCCCGAGAAUGCGUCCAUGAAGCUAAGCAGACCAUGUCCAGCCGUUGAAUCUACUAGCUGAUCGAUCUUUGGUAAAGGGAAGCUGUCUUUUGGGCACGCCUUAUUGAGGUCUGUGAAAUCCACACACAUCCUCCACUUGCCGUUCGCCUUCUUUACCAACACCACAUUUGAUAUCCACUCUGGGUAAUUGACUUCCCGAAUGAACCCUGCUCUCAGAAGCUUCUCCACCUCAUCAUUUACAGCCUCAUACCUCUCCUGGUUGAAGCACCUCCUCUUCUGCCUUACUGCCCGAGCACCUUUCUUUAUUGCCAGCCUAUGACAUGCUACCUCUGGGUCAAUCCCUGGCAUGUCCUCAUGUGUCCAGGCAAACACGUCGGCAUGAGCCUGUAAGCAUUUCACCAACUCCUGCUUUUGCUCUCCCUCAAGUCUCGACCCGAUUCUGAUCGUCUUUCCCGGGUUCUCUGGUCCCAUGCUUACUGUUUCCAGAUCCUCUACGGGUUCUUGUCUGCCAGUCUUGUUUUCCACUCGGGUAUCGAGGGAUGUUAUCUGCAUCGCCUCCCUUGCUGCCGAGGAGUAGCAGCUUCUUGCGAUCCUCUGGUCUCCUCGUACCACUCCGACUACCCCAUUCACCCGGUACUUCAGAGACAGAUAAUGGUUGGACAGCACCGCUUUGCUCAUCCUUAAAAAUGGCCGACCUAGGAUCAUCUGGUAAGGACCUUCCUCGUCCACUACGACGAAGUCCAGUAUCAUUGUUCUUUCUGUCGAGGGGCUCCCGAUUGUGAUAGGCAGUUCGACCACGCCCAGAGGGACCAGCUUCCCUCCUCCGAACCCCUUCAAGGAGGUGUUGGUGUAUUCCAACUUCCGGUCGGCUAUUCCCAUCUCUUCCAAAGUUGAUUUAAAUAGCACAUCAACUGAGCUCCCCGUAUCAACCAGUAUCCGGUCAAACUUCUUGCUAGCGAUCGUAGCCUUGAUGACUAAAGCGUCCUCGUGGGGGUAUAGAAUCCCUUCCUCAUCCUUAUCCGUCCACAUGAUUGGCACUUGCCUGACCCUUGCUCGUUUGGCUGCUGGGGUGUUGAAGAGUAUCUCUUUACUGGUCAUGGCGUAUCUGGUGUUUGGGAGGGAUACUGUUUGGGGCAAAUGCGUCGAAGGGACCAGGAAUGACGAGCAGAUAUCUGACGGCAGAGUUCUGCGAACCGGUGUGUUCCGUUAAAGCCUGGCGCGUGGAAGAACAGGAGCAGAAACAUCCUGCUCGUCCACGAUGUUGUCGUCCGCGAGGCCAAUUCCUAUAAAAGGCAUAAGGCCAUUCCGGCUAGAGAUCGAGAGGCGAGGAGACCCGGUCGACGGCAGUUGGCAAGACGUGCUCUCCAGCACGAGAAUCUAGGCACAACAGCCACGCUUUCCCCAGAACCGCGACGUAACACGCAAGAUCUCACAGAGCCAUGACAGCCACACUUUCCCCAGAACCGUGGCGUAACACGCAAGAUCUCACAGAGCCAUGACAGCCACACCUUCCCCAGAACCGUGGCGUAACACGCAAGGUCCCACAGAGCCAUGGCAGCCACGCUUUCCCCUGAACCGUGGCGUAACACGCUAGAUCCCAUGUUUUGCCCAUAACGCAGCAGUUGGAGUCCCAUACCUUCUCGAAAAGAGCGGAAGACUGAGAUUCAGAGGAAGCCUAUAAAAAGGUAGCCAACGAAGGUAAAAAGGUUGGCAUUCUUGAGAAAAGGGGAGAAAACCACAAGAAACGCCAUAAGACCUGUGGCAAGCUUUUCCCGAACCUUCAUAUCUGACUUGAGCGUCGGAGGGUUUGCGCCGGGAAAACAACCAGCGUACUCUGACUUAUCUGUGUACGCAGGGACCUCCGGGGAAGAAGCCUGGCGAGGAGACCUCCUGGUCGUGACGAAGUUGAUCGAGCAGAGAUCCUGAUCGUAGAACGAGGAGAACCGGAAUCUCGCAUCAACAUUUUGGCGCCGUCUGUGGGGAUCCAGAGCAAAAAGCUUCUGUCGAUAGCAAGAAGAGGGGUGGAGUAAGCGAAAGGCAAUGGAGAUAGGAGGAAGUAGCGCACAAGGGGGUGACAUAAGGCUUAACGAUUCCGUGACGCUGAGGGAGGUGAUCAGCGAAGCACGGGAAAAAGUCAUGUUCGACCGGAUGGAGCGAAUGGAAAAGCAGAUGGAAACCUUGACAACCAUCCUGCAUGAGCUGCGGAACGAGCGAAGGGUAACCCAAGAGGGAAGGGUGAGAGGCGGUGGAGCGGCACCAGGUACCGAUAGUGCGGAGAGAAGUCAAACCGCUGGGAGAUUUGGCGGUGAGAGAGGUAACGUACCUCUGCGGGGAGAAUUUCAUAGAGAAAGAGAGCAGUCCCCGGUAAGACAGACUUGUGACGGGGGCGACGGGGUGGUGAACGCAGAGGAAACAGAACUGAGGCAACACUUACAUGAUGUAGAGCGAGAGCGGGAUCAAGCUGCAGCGCGCGACCCUGGUCGCGCAGGACAGCUGGAGGAGGAAGUGCGAAGGCUAGCGCAAAUAAUUGAUGACAUGCAAGGGAGGAACAGAGCCCCUGGUUGGAGGAUAAUGCUGGACGGGGAAUCACCGCUCGCAGUAGAGAUCAUGAGGGCAGUUAUUCCAAGAGAUUUCCGCCUCCCCGACCUCAGAUACUCGGGAAGAACUGACCCGCUGGUGCACAUAGAGCGCUUCAACGACAUAACGGGGGUCCAGGGAUUAUCUCCAUCCCAAAGGUGCAGGGUGUUCCCACUAUCCCUUGAGGGACGUGCACGAGAAUGGUACAGGAAACUUCCUCGGGGCAGCAUAAAAACCUUCGAGCAGAUGUGCCAGGAAUUCGCAGAGCAGUUUAGUGGGGCAAUGUCGCCGGAAGAUGACAUGAUGGAGCUGAAGAGCAUGAAACAGGGGGAGCAAGAAACCCUUCGGGAAUUCAUCAAGAGGUUUCAUCGGGCUGUCCUCGACUUGGGAGCCUUCAACCACCCUCAGGCGUUAAGGGGACUGAAAGAAGGGGUGAAGAUAGGAAGGCUGUGGUACAAUUUGAGAAGCCCAGCUGUUCAAACGUAUGCAGCCGCAUACGAACAGGCUAAAAGAGACAUCGAGAUUGAGGAGGAGAAGGCUGCACGGAUCAAGACAGACCAGUUGGAAGGGUUAGGGAGGAAAGAGAAGAAAGCAUUACCAACUAAUGGACCGAACAGGAGGAGGGACCACCAGAUCUCCGGUAGUGGAGCAGGAGGUAGGGUAAUUGCUUACCAGCCUCAUCAGAGGCCGCCACAGUAUCAGCGCAGCAGGGCGCCACCUCCUCGCUCCCCAGCUAGGGAGCCUUGGAGAAGACAUGAUUCGGCAUCCGGCGAUCUUCAUCAACAUUCCCACGGUAGCAGGACGAGCAGACCAGAAGCACUCCCACCGCCCCCAACUCACAGUGGGGCAAACAGAGAAAGAGCAGUGCAUCUGGUCGACCAGAACCAGGACUGUGGGCGGUACACUCCCUUGAAGAUGCCCCUGGAUGAGGUGUACGAGGCCAUAAAGGGUCGAGGGCUGCUGCACCUCCCUACACCAAUAACAAAGCUACCCAACAUGAGGGAUAGAGGACGUUAUUGUAAGUUCCAUGGCACCCAUGGCCAUACCACAGCAGAGUGUAGAGAUCUCAAGACCCAGGUCGAAGAUUUGGUGAGAAAUCGGUACCUGGACGAGUUUAUGGAUGGGACUUUCCCGAUGGUGGCCACCACGGAUGAAGGGGAGCAGAGUGAUGGAAUCUUGAGACGCGAGCCGCCCGCAGCGAGGGUGAUAGCUGGGGGCCCAACGUUGGCCGGAGAUUCGAACAGAUCGAGAAAAAAUUAUGCCAGAUACGCCAUGACCAGUAAAGAGAUACUCUUCAACACCCCAGCAGCCAAACGAGCAAGGGUCAGGCAAGUGCCAAUCAUGUGGACGGAUGAGGAUGAGGAAGGGAUUCUAUACCCCCACGAGGACGCUUUAGUCAUCAAGGCUACGAUCGCUAGCAAGAAGUUUGACCGGAUACUGGUUGAUACGGGGAGCUCAGUUGAUGUGCUAUUUAAAUCAACUUUGGAAGAGAUGGGAAUAGCCGACCGGAAGUUGGAAUACACCAACACCUCCUUGAAGGGGUUCGGAGGAGGGAAGCUGGUCCCUCUGGGCGUGGUCGAACUGCCUAUCACAAUCGGGAGCCCCCCGACAGAAAGAACAAUGAUACUGGACUUCGUCGUAGUGGACGAGGAAGGUCCUUACCAGAUGAUCCUAGGUCGGCCAUUUUUAAGGAUGAGCAAAGCGGUGCUGUCCAACCAUUAUCUGUCUCUGAAGUACCGGGUGAAUGGGGUAGUCGGAGUGGUACGAGGAGACCAGAGGAUCGCAAGAAGCUGCUACUCCUCGGCAGCAAGGGAGGCGAUGCAGAUAACAUCCCUCGAUACCCGAGUGGAAAACAAGACUGGCAGACAAGAACCCGUAGAGGAUCUGGAAACAGUAAGCAUGGGACCGGAGAACCCGGGAAAGACGAUCAGAAUCGGGUCGAGACUUGAGGGAGAGCAAAAGCAGGAGUUGGUGAAAUGCUUACAGGCUCAUGCCGACGUGUUUGCCUGGACACAUGAGGACAUGCCAGGGAUUGACCCAGAGGUAGCAUGUCAUAGGCUGGCAAUAAAGAAAGGUGCUCGGGCAGUAAGGCAGAAGAGGAGGUGCUUCAAUCAGGAGAGGUAUGAGGCUGUAAAUGAUGAGGUGGAGAAGCUUCUGAGAGCAGGGUUCAUUCGGGAAGUCAAUUACCCAGAGUGGAUAUCAAAUGUGGUGUUGGUAAAGAAGGCGAACGGCAAGUGGAGGAUGUGUGUGGAUUUCACAGACCUCAAUAAGGCGUGCCCAAAAGACAGCUUCCCUUUACCAAAGAUCGAUCAGCUAGUAGAUUCAACGGCUGGACAUGGUCUGCUUAGCUUCAUGGACGCAUUCUCGGGAUACAACCAGAUCCCCAUGUACGAGCCGGAUGAGGAGAGCACGGCUUUCAUCACUAACCAAGGUCUGUUCUGUUACAGGGUGAUGCCAUUCGGUCUCAAGAAUGCUGGGGCCACCUAUCAAAGGCUGGUGAAUAAAGUCUUUAAGCCCUUGAUCGGGAAAACCAUGGAGGUGUACGUGGACGACAUGAUCACCAAGUCCAAAGUCCCGAAGGAACAUGUCAGACAUCUCGAGGAGACGUUCGAGCUUUUGAGGAAGUAUAAGAUGAAGCUCAACCCGGAGAAGUGUGCUUUCGGGGUCGAGUCAGGGAAAUUCCUGGGAUUCAUGGUGAGCCAUAGGGGGAUUGAAGCAAAUCCCGAGAAGAUCCAGGCAAUUGUGCAAAUGACGUCUCCUCGAAACCUGAAGGAGAUGCAGAGCCUCACGGGGAGGUUGGCGGCGUUGAGCAGAUUCAUAUCCAAGGCUACAGAUAAGUGUCAGCCAUUCUUUCAAGUGAUAAGGAGGGGAAAGAAAACGGAAUGGACCCCAGAAUGCGAGGAAGCCUUCCGGAACUUGAAGCAUUACUUGCAGCAAGCUCCGCUACUGUCCACACCGAGGGAUGGGGACAAGUUGAAUCUGUAUUUGGCGGUAUCUGAUCGGGCCGCCAGUUCCGUUCUGGUGAGAGAGGAAGAAGGAAUUCAGUAUCCGAUAUACUACACCAGCAAGGCCCUGCUCGACGCUGAGACCAGAUACCCAACGAUGGAGAAAUGGGCACUGGCCCUUGUGGUUGCUGCUCGGAAGUUGAGGCCGUACUUUCAAGCAUUCCCGGUCUCGGUAAUAACCAACCAGCCAUUGCGUCAAAUUCUGCACAAGCCGGAUGCUUCUGGUCGGCUCGUCAAAUGGACUGUAGAGCUGAGCGAAUUCGACAUAGACUAUAAACCCCGCGCGGCGAUAAAGGCCCAGGCAAUGGCCGAUUUCGUAGCUGAGUUCGCGGAGCCUGAAGUAUGCUUGGAUCAGCAAGAUGCAGAUAUAGGCAACGACGAAACUCAAGUAUGGCAGAUAUCUGUGGAUGGGUCAUCAGGAGAGCGGGGUUCAGGAGCAGGGAUUGUCCUGGAAGGCCCAGAGGGGGAGGAGAUCUCUUAUGCUGUAAAGUUGGAAUUUGCAGCCACAAAUAACCAGGCAGAAUAUGAAGCCUUGAUAGCAGGGCUGGAAUUGGCUAGGGCCGUGAAAGCGGACAGAGUUAAGAUCAGAACCGAUUCCCAGCUGGUUGCGAAUCAUGUCAGUGAAAGAUUCCAACCAAGAGAGGAGAAGAUGGAACAGUACCUAAGGAUAGUCAGGCAGAUGAUGGGGAAGUUCGAAGCAGUGGAGGUGAUACAAAUCCCCAGGGAGCAGAAUAGUCGAGCAGACAUUUUGGCUAGGAUGGCAGCCGUAGCCGACCCAAAAAUGCCAAAGUCGGUCCCCCUAGAAGUGAAGUCUCGCCCGAGUAUCGAGCAAAAUUUGGGGGUGUUGCGGAUAGAACAAAAAAGCUCGUGGAGGGACCCGAUAGUUUCAUACCUUAGAGACGGGGUCUUACCACCGGACAAGCUACGGGCUCGGAAGAUUAGAGCUCAGGCCUCGAGAUACACGAUGAUCGAUGGGGUACUGUAUCGACGAGGAUAUACAUUACCGUUCCUUCGGUGUUUGGACGAUGACGACGCGGAUUACGUGCUGAGGGAAGUACAUGAAGGAAUUUGCGGAAAUCAUUCUGGCGGGAGGUCCCUGGCCCACAAGGUUCUAAGGUAGGGAUAUUUCUGGCCGACGAUGCACCAGGAUGCGCAAAGGAAGAUCAGGAGCCGUGCAAGCUGCCAGAGUUUUGCCAAUUUCUCUAACCAACCACCAGAGAAGCUCACCUCCAUGGCCUCCCCUUGGCCAUUCGCUCAAUGGGGAAUUGAUCUGAUCGGCCCAUUGCCAAAGGGGCGAGGAGCAGCAACACAUGCGAUAGUCGCUAUAGAUUACUUCACGAAGUGGAUAGAGGUAGAAGCCCUUAGCAGGAUCACAGAGAAGAAAACAACAGACUUCGUGUGGAGAAACCUGGUCUGUCGAUACGGGAUCCCAUAUGCCUUGGUAACGGAUAAUGGCAGGCAGUUCGAUAAUCACAGCUUCAGGGAUUUCUGCCAGAACCUCGGGAUAGAGCUGAAGUAUUGCUCGCCUGCUCACCCCCAAUCGAAUGGACAAGUAGAAGCAGCCAACAAGACAGUCAAGAGGCUUCUGAAAACCAGGCUCGGAGCAAAAAAGGGUGCGUGGGUUGACGAGCUGUCAGGUGUGCUAUGGGCAUACAGAACAACCCACAAAACCGCAACGGGGGAGACACCGUUCGCUUUGGCUUUCGGACAUGAAGCGGUCGUGCCGGCUGAGGUAGGAACGACCACACACCGGACAGAUCAUUUCAAUGAACAGGAGAACGAUGAGCAGAUAUGUUUGAAUCUUGAUCUGCUAAUGGAGAGGAGGGAACAAGCAGCCGAGCGAUCAGUCACUCACCAACAGAGGGUUGCUCGGUAUUAUAACCAGAAGGUGAACAUACGGCAAUUCAGGGUCGGAGACUGGGUACUGAGAAGAGUGAAUCAGAGCACCAAAGAUUCGACUCAAGGAGUGCUGGGACCGAAUUGGGAAGGGCCGUAUAGAGUCAAGCAGAUAGCGGGGCCCGGAGCUUACAAGCUGGUUCGCGCGGACGGCCACGAAGUGAAACGCCCAUGGAACGCAGCACACCUCCGAAAAUACUUCCAGUAAGACUUGCUCACAUUUUAAAGCAAUUUCUGCUCAUGCUGUCUAUCUUUUAUUUUUAUGUUUUAUGUCCGAACAAUUUCAUGUAAGUCAAAUCCUGCCAUUAAUGUAACGUCGACGAAUUUUAUUCGCUUGAAACCGAAAAAAAAUCCUGAGGCAUGCAAAGGCUCGCCAAGUCUCAGAGCCUGUCUUAUGGCGAGACAGAAGCCAAGCAUGCCAGGAUCUGCUCGGCCACGAGAAGGCAGCAGAAUCCAAAUCGUUUGAAGAAAUCCCUGAGGCAUGCAAAGGCUCGCCAAGUCUCAGAGCCUGUCUUAUGGCGAGACAGAAGCCAAGCAUGCCAGGAUCCUCUCCAAGUUCUCUACAUGAGCUCGGUGGGAAUCGCGGAGAGAUUCGAGCUGAGCCUCAUACAUAGCCCUCUGCCCUUGGAGAUCCUCCUUAACCUUGGUCAGCUCCUCCUCGAGGGUAAUGGCUUUUGCUUGAGCAAGGGACUCUUGCUCUAUCAGCUUGAGGUUCUCAACGUUUAGCUCCCCCGCUUUUUUCUCGGCAACGUCAGCUCUGGUCGUCGCCGAUUGAAUGUCCUCCUUCAUCUUCCUGUCGUAACGGCCAACCUUGGCCUUAUAGUAGGUGGCCAUGCAGCUGAGAUGGAAAGCACUAUACUGCAUGGCUCCCACCAGCUCGCCCAGGGUACAACCGUCAAAGCCCUUCAGGUCCUUCUUGCUCACGAGUUUAGACAACUCAUUGAGAUAGGGAACCAAGUGUUCUGGUCGGCUGUCGGGAAAGCGAGACCGAGGCACAACAGGUGGAGAAGAGGAAGCAGGAUCAGUGGCUGCUCUACUGGAUUCCCCGACUUUAGCAGAGGCAGGAGGGAGAGCCUGCAAGGGAGGAACCUGCUGCACGAUGUUCUUUCGCUUCGCAGCGGGAGCAUCUUUGUCCUGGUCCCUAUCGGUUGUUGGAGGCCGAGAGCGUUUCCUGGUCAGAGCUCCAAUCACUGCGUCCUCCAUCUUAUGGCCAGGAAGUAUCAACCGAGACUCGAGGAAGUUGUAUGUAGAUAGCAGUUCUCGGCUCGAGCAGGAAUUGGCCAAUACAGCCUCGACCCGUUUAAGCUGACCAGGUCGGAGCGGGAAGUGAACACCCCAGGAAACUACAGCACAAACAGACACUUGGUUAGAGACAAACCAAUACAGCAGGAACAAUUAUGGAUACAAGACAUCUAAAGCGAGCAGGCAACCUGGGACCGUGAAACGGGGUGGGACGCGACAAUCCUUCCCGUCUAUUUGUGCAACUUGACCCCAGGGACCCCCAGCAAAAAAGAAUUUCCUCUUCCAAGUCCCACCACCACCAGUUGGAAGAUUAGUUAUGGGUUUCCUGCUCUUGGUACCAGAUUGGAAGUAGUACCAGCCGGCAUCUUUAGGGCUGCUCUUCAGCUGGUACAGGUGCUUCACCUCAUCAACCGUGGGCUCGCUUUGGCAACAUCUGUCCCACAAUAUGAACAGACCAGAGAGCACUCUCCACCCGUUGGGGUUCAGCUGACCAGGAGCCAGAUUUAGCCCGUUAAGUAUCCGGGCAAAGUAAGGCUGCAAGGGACACCUCAGCCCAUACUUAAAGCUCUCCAGAUACAGGGUAACGUAUCCCCUGGGAGGCCGGCUAGGUGUAUCCUUCUUUCCUGGGAUCUUAAGAGGUAUCUCACCAGGAAUACUAUACCUAAGUCGGAGGUCAUUGAGCUCGUCAAACGUGGUCGUACACGACAUGUAAUCAAUGGCAUAAUCACGCGACAAGGCUCUACCUCCUACUGUACCCCGUUCUUCUGGUCGUGAUGCUCUUGAUGGGGACGCCUCACCAGAAUCAUCCCCUUGACCCUCACUCAAGGUGUUCUCCGAUCCAGAAGAUCCUUCUUCAUCGCUACUGUUGCUCGAGGAGGUUGUUUGGGGAGACAUCCUCCUAGCGCUAGUACCAACACUAGACCUAAUGGGCUCUAAGGGGAUCCCGGGAUCAAAAGCAAAAUCAGCGGGCAGACUAGGCAAAAAACCUAGUUCGUCGUCACCAACCUCAACGACCUUCUCCUUACCCUUCGACAUAUCCUAAGUUCUAACCAAAACACCACCGCCAACUACAACCUCAAGCAAAGCAGAGAGAAAGGAAAUUACCUACAACUAACCAAUACCGAAAAAAAAAUAGAAGAAAUACCUGAAGCAGGGACUCGGUCAGAGAGAGACAGGGAUGACAGCUUUGACGCCGAGGUUCAUUCGCCGGAGAGACAAGAAUGGAGAAAAUGACGAGUUCGUGUUUGAAGAUUUUGGGUUUCCUUACUGAGAAGCAAACUCUUGGGCUGCCAGCAUUUAAUGACGCAUAUUCCGAGAAUCCCGUAACCGUCGGUUUGAAAUUCAAAUGGAGGGGGGGAUUUCUGCCACGUCACCUCGUCCGCAAUUAAAUGCGACAUGACUCCUGGCAGCCUUUUCCAAACCCACGUGAGCGAGUACUAUCGAGUUUCUACUGCUGGUCCACUACACUACCCAACACCAGAAACUGGGGGACCGGUGUUUGGGAGGGAUACUGUUUGGGGCAAAUGCGUCGAAGGGACCAGGAAUGACGAGCAGAUAUCUGACGGCGGAGUUCUGCGAACCGGUGUGUUCCGUUAAAGCCUGGCGCGUGGAAGAACAGGAGCAGAAACAUCCUGCUCGUCCACGAUGUUGUCGUCCGCGAGGCCAAUUCCUAUAAAAGGCAUAAGGCCAUUCCGGCUAGAGAUCGAGAGGCGAGGAGACCCGGUCGACGGCAGUUGGCAAGACGUGCUCUCCAGCACGAGAAUCUAGGCACAACAGCCACGCUUUCCCCAGAACCGCGACGUAACACGCAAGAUCUCACAGAGCCAUGACAGCCACACUUUCCCCAGAACCGUGGCGUAACACGCAAGAUCUCACAGAGCCAUGACAGCCACACCUUCCCCAGAACCGUGGCGUAACACGCAAGGUCCCACAGAGCCAUGGCAGCCACGCUUUCCCCUGAACCGUGGCGUAACACGCUAGAUCCCAUGUUUUGCCCAUAACGCAGCAGUUGGAGUCCCAUACCGCCUCGAAAAGAGCGGAAGACUGAGAUUCAGAGGAAGCCUAUAAAAAGGUAGCCAACGAAGGUAAAAAGGUUGGCAUUCUUGAGAAAAGGGGAGAAAACCACAAGAAACGCCAUAAGACCUGUGGCAAGCUUUUCCCAAACCUUCAUAUCUGACUUGAGCGUCGGAGGGUUUGCGCCGGGAAAACAACCGGCGUACUCUGACUUAUCUGUGUACGCAGGGACCUCCGGGGAAGAAGCCUGGCGAGGAGACCUCCUGGUCGUGACGAAGUUGAUCGAGCAGAGAUCCUGAUCGUAGAACGAGGAGAACCGGAAUCUCGCAUCAACAGAUAGUUCUAAAAAGCAUGGUGUUUAUACACAAGUACUCCAUUCAACAAAUCCAACAGGUGGAGCAAAGAGCUAAUGCCAUGUCACUUACCUUUGAUACAUAUGUUUCCAAGGUGAAAAUAGUGACAUGGUUAUUUGUUUUUUGUAUUUUAGAGCCUAAAACUUGGAGCUGCCUGUGAGUUAAUCUUGCAUAUAUCAAAGCUUGAAUUUCAGUGCCAUUACUUACUAAUGGAUGACUAUUGUUAAGAGUUAAUACUUGAUAUUGGAAAUACAGGUACGUUAUAAAUUACAGUUGUAUAUAUUUUAAUGUAUUUUAGAGUACCACAGUAAGGAAUCUAGUUCAUCAAUUUUUCCUAUGACCAAAGUUUGUUAGGUACUAGUGAAAACAUUUAUGGUGAAUGUGUUUGGAGUACUAUCUCGGUACUGAAAAGAUGUAGAAUAUAUUUGCACAAUAUUUCAGCAAAGUACUAAAAUAUUGUUUUUAAAAUAAAUAAUUGUACUCAUGGAAAGUAUAAAUGUUCUCUCUACUCAUGUGAUAGGGGUUUGAGCUCCACUUGGAUACCAUCUCAAAAGAUUUUACUAAUAACACUACUUACUAUUCAAAGAUCUAUCAGAUCUACACAUUUAUUUUAAUAAUUAUCGGACAAAUUAGUAACAAUAUCUAAAAAUAUUCCUCAUGAUUUAUUGAAUGAUUAUACGACCUUUGAAUCUAGACUUCUGUUGUCAUCUUAGGAAUGAAAAAUAUUUUGUAAGUCGGACAUAUUAUCUCAGCUAAUUGACGUGCUAUGCCCAAUUACUUAUACUUUGCCAGUAGACAGAGCGAUGCGUCCCAUGGUAGAACCAGCUGUGGUCACAUCAAGACACAAGCAUUUAGUUUAGUCCUUCAACAGAAAGAAAAUUCAAUAGAUAAAAAACCAAUCCAAGGAAAAAUAAUUGCGUAGUGGCAUACACAGCGCCCCACAGCAACUCAAUCUUUGCCAAGUAGCAUUACAGGUGCGUUCUCUUAAGGGACCCAUAAAUUUUCUUCCAAUUGGUAAAGACUGAGUAGACGGAAAUACUAUUUGCCCUGCAUAGAGAUGCCCAAUGAGUCGGGCCGGCACAAAGCAAGGCCUACGCGUAUUUAUACCCAUGUUGUAUUGUGCUCACUUUUUAUUUCGUGCCGUAUUUAAAGUUUUUUACUUAGGCCAGCCCGGCACGCGUUCUGUCGUGCCGUACUGUGCCUUACCUAAGAAAAAAAAGCGUAAUAAGUUUUUUUUUUUAAAAGCGCAUGAUAAGUUGUUGGCGUACUUUUAUUAAAUUUAUAUAUAUUUUUUAGGUCUAUAUUUUUAUUCAAAUUUAAUAAAAUUAAAAAUUCAAAACUCAAGUCCAUAUUUAAUAAUAAUAAACUAAUAAUAGUAAGAAAAUAUAAUAUUAAUUACUAAGUUUGAUCUUAUACUAUUAGAAUUUUUUUAAUACUUAACAACAAUAAUAAUAAUAAUUUUUUCUUAAGGAUUAACUUAAUUGUUAACUUGGACUUACAUAAAGUCACAAAUCUUAGUUCACAAUAAUAUUAAUGUAUAUUUAUAAAAUAUGCAUAUUUAUAAUUUUAUUCAUUAAAAUCAUGAUAUCAAUUAUUUAUUUAAUAAAUUAUAAAUAUAAAUCAAUUAUAGUAUUUUUUAAAACUAAAAAUUAAAUGAAUUUAAAAAAUGCAAUUUCAAGUUAUUUGCAAAUCAUAAAAUUUUAAGUUUAUUUUUAUUAAAAAAUAAAACAUGCUUAUUGCGAGUUUUUUUAUCGUGCCGUGCUUUUAAGGUCCGUGUGCCUAAAAUUUUAGGCUCGGCACAACUCGCGUGCGUGCCGUGCCGUGCCACAUGCCCCACCGAAACGUGCUUGUGUCGUGCCGUGUUAUACGGACAUGUGUCGUGCCACGUGCCGUCCGACUCAUUGGCCAUCUCUAGCCCUGCACAAGUUUUUGUCGAAUCGAAGAGUAUAACAAUUGGGUUGUUAAGUUACAAAUUAUAUAAUUUACAGCACAUAUAAUAUGACAGUAGAUCUCAUUAUCAAGAGUUGUAAAUUAUACAAAUUGUAACUUAGCAAAACCCAUGACAAUUUGGUUAUGAUAUAUCAGAAUCUCGCAUCCAAUCAAUAAACGGUCAAAGGCCGUUGUCAGCUAAUUGCAGCUACUGUAUCUACAAGUAAAAAUUUUAUUAAAAAAAAUUUAAACUCCAAAGAAUCUUGAUUUUUUUUUUUUUUUGUCUUCUCCAAAUGGGAAACAAUCACUCCUUCAAAAGGAAGUUUGUAUUUUGUUCGAAAUUUAACAAUUAAGAUUCUUCAGUUAUUGAACAGACUCUUCAGUGAUUCUUUCACAUCACAUUGAAAAAUACAACUGAAAUUAUCACUCACAAUUAAGUAAUGAAUUGUAGAUACAACACCAGCAGCAUGGAUCAAAAAAGAUGUCCAGUUGAUAAAACUAUUUUCUUAUGAAAUUAAAUCUACCUUAUUAAUUCAGCACUAAUUCCUCUUCCAAAAUACCAUUGCUCCUUUUUUUUUUUUUUUUUGGUUUCCUAGUACAAAAAUAUUGCCUUCACAAAAAGGAAAAGCAAAAAACCAAAACAAGUACUUCUUGAAGAAAAUAAUUAAGAUAUUCAUCAAGAAUAUUGGUUGAUUUAUCAUCUACACAUUUGAAGAUGAUGAGAAGGUGUCAACUCACAAUCAGAUGAGUAACAACAAUUAAUCAUCUCUUUAUUAUCUGCAUUAAUAUUAAACCCUAAUUCAUGCAAAUAAAAAACAACAUCUCUUUUCUCUUCCACCAACUUCAAGAUAUUCUCAAACACACAGACUUCACAUGGAAUCUUCAACACUCCCUCUUGUUGAAACCCAAACUCUUCUUCAGCUUCUCUUAACAAAAUCACAAAUGCUUGAUGACUCAAGUACUCAGUUGGGAUUAUAAAUCUCUUCAGCUCCUUCCCUACACACACUGCAAGAAAACCUUUCGGUACGACAUCGUUUGAUGCUGUUGAAACAUCAGUGAAAGAGAGUGUUUUCUUAAGGAACUUGAUGCUUUUAGUAGCACUAUUUGUAGUGCUACCAGAACUUGAGAAAUUGCCGCUAUUGUUACCAGUGUUUCCGGUGCUGCUGUUGCUGUUGCUGCUGCUGCUUUUGGGUGCAUUUGCAAGCUUCUUCCAUUUCUUGAGGAUCUGUUGAAGCCUGACAAUAUCACUAAUCUUGUUAGACUUCUUUGAAUCCAUGGAGCUUCUUGUGGGCUUAUGGUUUAAUAUUUUGGCUCUUUUUUUUUUUUUUUUUGUGUGUGUGAGUCUCAACUCUCAAGUGGGUGAUGAAGUGGAGAUUUAAAGAAGUGAGAGGGUACAUGUUGUACCGAAAAUAAGAAUAUUAAAUUAUUAGAAAAAUAAAUAAUAAAAAUUAACCAUAGAAGUUAGGAUACGUCGGUUGCUGGCAUAUAAGGUCCAAAUCCAACUGCCUCAUUAUCAUGAACUAACCGGUAAGAGUUAUUUGGUUUUUUUAAUCCCUAGAUAAAUAUAUGCUUACCUUUCCCCAUCUUCAAGCCAACAGUGUUUAUUUCUCUGUUGGCUAAACUUGGCUUUGCAUUCUUUUUCAUUUUUCACUCUCCUUCUCUCUUUAAAAUGUAAGGCUUCAUUUCGAAUACUAAUGUUAAGUAGUUGUUACCUAAUAGCUUAAAUAUUCUGGUUAACCUCUAACUAUAAUUAAGGUUUUAUUUUUUCCCUCCUAACAAGUCAUCGAGGUUUUGUGUCCAAAAUAUUAAUUUCAUUGUUUCAAGUUUAUUUAUCUCAGUUUCAUCGAAUCUAUUUUUGUUUUAAUUUUAUCGAUUGAUUUAAACUUUUGAAUCAAACAAUUUCACUAAUGAUAAAAAAAAUAUAAAUUGGAUAAAAAUAAAUAUAAAAUAUUUUACAUCUAAUAAUCCCAUUAGUUUAUAUGAUAAUUUUCAGUUGAUUUAGAGAAAAAGAAAAUAAUCGAUUCUCUCUCACACUAAUCAGAGCACAGAAAUUUUAUUAAUUCAAUUUUAAGAAUAACAUCAUUAUUAAAUUUUUAAAGGCUAUGACUAUUUUAGAACUGCUCUAAGGUGGAGCACGAAUCUUACCCACACACGUUGAUCGUGUGGUUAUGAAGGAUGCUCUACCUUAGGAGAAAUUCUAGAAUAGCUUUGAUGUAUGACGUGUAACUAAAUUUAAAAUAAUCAUCACUUAUAUGAUGAUUUUUCAAAAUAAAUGCAUAUAUGUCAUAGCAUCAUUUGAUCGUUGUAUGACAACAUAGUACGUCUAAUGUAUUCUAGAAUUUUUCUUAUUUUAUAAUGGUUCCAACGUAUCCAAAUCCAUUUUUAAAUUAUGUAUUUUUUUAGUAAAUAAUAAGUCUUAUUGUGACUGUCACUCAAAAUGCACCCACAUGGACAGAUGGUGUUAUUUAUUGCAAUUUGCUUCUCAUGCAGGUGCCUCAACAGUUAAAAAUCUACGGGGCAUAUCGGGGUGCUCUCCCAAAAUAUUAACUUCUCAUCAGUUUGUCUUGGUAUCCGUUUCCUGAAUCCUGAUUUAUAUAAUGUUAUUAAUUAAAUUAUUGUAUAUUAAUCUCUUUCUCUUUAUUGGAUUUUGCGUGUGCUGAGACGAUCGUGGAAGAUGGGACUCAAGAAAUUCCAUGUGACAUGCCCGAUUAAAAUAAUAACAAAUCUGAUUAAGGAUUGAAUAUUAGACCAACAAAAUUGACAUUUAAGUACAGAAUUAUUAAAAUACAAAAUAAAAAGGAGCAUGUAAGGCCUUGAACAACCAAAUGAUUAAUCUUUUAUAUGUUGGAUUUGAAUGUUGCCUUUUGAUUUAAAUUUUUCUGUUACGUUUUGCAUGACAGCGAAAAUUGCAAACCUGUCAUGAUAUAUAUAUAUAUAUAUAUGCUGAAAAAUCAAAUAAAUAAUUAUUUUUAAAUAGUAUGAGGAUUUUUAUGUGAAUCGAAAAGUAAAACAGUAUAAGUCUGUUCAAAUCAAAGGGGACAAAAUUAUUCAAUGUGAGAGCAAGCUGUUAAUAUCUCCUAUUACUAAAUAUAAUAAAUAUGUUCUAGCUUGUGCAUAGAAUAUAACAUUUUGUAUUUUGGUUAUUAAUUUUGGAAUAGUUUGAUCUUUUACCGCAAAGAAAUAAUCUUAUUGUUCCUGCUCAAUAGAGUUGUCAAUUUUGUCACACUAGUUUUGCAUUAAGAGUUUAAACGUUACGGAGAGAAAAUGAUCAUGAAAACAAAAGACAAUGAAGAAAGUUAAGAACUAUUAUUUGAAAGAAAAUAGAGUUAAUGUGAAUUUUUUUUUUUUUUUGGUGAGAGGGGGCUCGUCAAAACGAGCUAAACAGAAACAAAACGAGGUUGAGUAACCCCAAACAAGUCUUGCGAAAUGAUAGAAUAUAUACCCAUAGGAGGGUCAGAGAACACUUGCAAUCCAAGAGGAGCUGAAUGAGCCAUAUUAGCCAUGAAGUCUGCAGCUGAGUUUGCUUCUCGAUAGAUAUGGGUGAUAGCAAUCUGCCAAUUUCUACUUAAUAAUUCCUGGACAGCUACUAUUAAAGCAUGGAACACAUUAGGAACGACCACCUGCUUAGAGAUUAUUUGUGUAACACAAAGACUAUCCACUUCCACCAACAGCCGUUUUAUGCCUACAUCCUAAGCCAGAAUUAGACCCUGAUACAGCCCCCAAAGCUCAGCCAUAAGCACUGAACUCUCCCCAAUUCUCAUACAAAAUCCGGAAAUCCAAUGACCGACUGAGUCUCGAAUGACACCUCCUGCUCCUGCUUCCCCGUCAUUUUUACGAGAGCCAUCUGAAUUUAAUUUGCACCAUGGCCAUGGCGGCGGAAUCCAACGAAUAAAAAUCUCCUUUCUCCUCGGCUGUUGACUUAUACCGGAAUUAUAAACUUUGUAAAUUUCAUUAGCUCUAGCCAUAGCAUCCAUAUAGACUGUUACACCAUCCACCAACUUCCCCGCAAACAAGAAAUGGUUCCUCCAGAACCACAGCCUCCAAACCACCACUCCAAAGAUACAAUCCCAAGGGAGGGAAGAUGCAAUCUUCCAUUUGUUCUGCAAGUUCCCAGCAAUCCAUUCACGUAGAUUCGAAUUGAAGAAAGCGUUAUGAGUUGCCAUUGGGACAAGCUUACGCCAAACCUGAUUAAUACAGCAGCAAUCUCUCAAUGCAUGGAGAAUAUCUUCAACCGCACCCCCACAUCUAUCACAGCCCUCAGGAACAUUGAUAUGGCGCCUAGCUAGCUCAACAUGAGUCUUUAAUUUCCCAUGCAUCAGCUGCCACAGAAAAAGACGGAUGGAUUGAGGCCCCUUCCAACUCCAUGGAAGCUUCCAAAUUCUGUCAUGAUCAGCCAAGUGAUGAUAGCAAAGGGAUGCAUAAGCUGAACGAACCGUAAACAUGCCGCUCGGAUCCAAACCCCAGUAAAUUUUGUCAAACCCAAAAUGCGGUCUCGGAGGCAUGACUGAUGCGAUCUGCAUGAAAGUAUAAUGUGGCAGCAAAUGCUCAAAGCUCGACCAAUUCCAUCCCCCCUGACCAUUCGUAAACUCACUCACGGUGGCGUUGAUAAGCUCUUGAGGAAUCGGCUAGAGAGCUAGGCUGAUCAAGGGAUAUUUCGUAGCCCAACAAUCUAUCCAAAAGCAAGCUCGACCUCCAUCGCAAACAGACCAGCGAGCUCCCUGAACUGUUGUCAACCACUUGCUACGAAUAGCUCUCCAAAUCUGAGAACCCGGUUUAUCUGGAAGGGACAUCGGUAAAUUGCUGGAAUCCAAUCCAUAUUUGGAACAGAAAACUUUCACCCACAAUUUAUCUGAGUUGGACACAAUCUCCCAGCUCAAUUUCAUUAUCAGCGCCUGGUUCAUCUCGUCCAUUUUUUUGAACCCCAGACCUCCAUAUUGUUUCAGCAUGCAGAUUUUGCUCCACCCCACCAUACUCAUCUUAGGACUCUUUGAAUUCCCAUCCCAAAUAAAUCGCCGACAAGAUUUGUCUAUUUUAUGCCUCACUGGAGAAGGAAGAAAGGUCGUUUGCAUGGCAUAAAUAGGCAUUGCUUGCAGAACUGAUUGAGCCAGGGUGACGCGUCCAGCAAAAGAGAGAUGAGCCGCAUUCCAACCAGUAAGCCGCUUAUCCACUUUAUCAAGGAUGGACUGAUACGUGGAUUUAUUAACCCGCGUGUGAAUUAAUGGCAUUCCAAGAUAAUCACCCAAAUUAUUUGUGGCCGAAAAAUCCAAAGUAGAGCCUAUGAGAUUGGCAUCCCGAGUAUCAACAUUUUUUGAGAAGAACACCUUGGUUUUCAACUUAUUUAUUUUUGCUUCAGAGCUCCUACAAUAGUUUUCCAGAACAGCAUCAACCACAUAAGCUUGGUCAAUUGAAGCUUCCGCAAAUAAAAGCAAAUCGUCUGCAAAAAAGAGAUGAGUUAAGGGAGUUCCAUAUUUGGCCAACCUAAUAGGCCUCCAUCUCUCAUCCAUUACCGCAUGGGUUAUCCCAUGACUCAAACGCUCGAUACAUAGAACAAAAAGAUAAGGCGAGAGGGGAUCUCCCUGACGAAUACCUCUCCCUGGAGUGAAGGUCCCUGUAACCUCACCAUUCCACAAAAUACUCAUACUAGCUGAAGUUACGCAUUCCAUGAUAAGUCUAGAUAAAUGAGUUGGAAUACCAGUCUGUUGAAGCGUAUCAAAAAUGAAAUCCCAAUUAAGCCGGUCAUACGCCUUCUCUAAGUCGACCUUAAUGGCCAUAAAUCCUUUCCUGCCAGUUUUUCUGCGCAUUGAGUGAACGACUUCCUGAGCCACAACAAUAUUAUCUACGAUAUGCCUCCUUGGAACAAAACUUGUCUGAUUGGGGCCUAUUAGAUUGGGCAGCAGCGAUUGCAAGCGAGUGGCUAUAAUUUUAGUCACCGUCUUGUAAGCCAUUGUGCAUAGGCUUAUGGGCCUAAACAUCUUUAAGCUAGUAGGGUGCUCCUCUUUUGGAAUCAAAACCAGAAGGGUAGUAGUUAUCUCUUGCGGCACUUUGCCCGUGGUAAAAAUAUCAUCAAUAAACCUGCAAAACGACGAACCCACAACAUAUCAUUGGGAUUGAUAAAAAAUAGCAUGCAACCCAUCCGUACCUGGAGCUUUCAGCGGCUUCAUACUAAAAACAACACUUUUAAUCUCCUCCCUCAAAAUUGGGGCUGCGGCACCAUCAACGUCAUAAGGACUCAAGUCUGGAAAAAAAUUUGGCACAUGGUAGUUCUGAUAAAUAGCUUUUUCUCUUUUAAAUAAUUCUGAAAAAUACCCCACUGCAUGCCUCUUUAUAUCUUCCUCAUCAUACAGCCAAUUCCCCGAACUGUCUCGGAUAGCCUCGAUUCUAUUCCGCCGCCUUCGAGCAAUAGUUUUUUUAUGGAAAAAAUUCGUAUUUCUGUCUCCAUGUAAAAGCCAAUCCUUUCGAGAUUUCUGGAGCCACAGAAUUUCCUCCUGGCUCAUCACCAUUUCAAGCUCAUUACGCAAUCGGGCCUCCAAUCGCCUCAAACUGCGAGAGCUAUAUUUCUCUAGGGUGGCUUGAAUUCCAUUAAUCCGAGCCAUAAGCCGGCAUUUCCUCUGAAAGAUAUUCCCAAACACAUCUCGAUUCCAAACUUGAACCUCCUGAACAAAAUGAGAAGCUGCUGCACUAUAGUGGGUUUACGGAUUCCACAUCCGCUUAACAAAAUUGUUGAAGUGCUCAUGAGUUAACCAAGCAGCCAAGAAGCGGAAAGGCCUGGUCCUCUGGUGGCCAGCCAUAUCUCUCUCAAACCGAACCAGCACCGGCCUGUGAUCCGAGGCAAUCUUCGGGAGAUGGAUUACAGAAUUAUUCAUAUAUUUAAGCAGCCAUUCACUGUUACACAAAGCUCUAUCAAGCCUUUUAAAAAGCAAUCCACGUGACCAAGUAAACCUUGGACCCUUAAAUUUCAAGUCAAAAAGUUGAUGCCCAUCAAACCACUUCCGAAACAGAUUACACACUCCUGAGUUCCUGGCCACACCCCCUUGCUUUUCUGAGGCGUAUAAGAUAGAGUUGAAAUCCCCACCUAUCAACCAAGGCUCUUGAAUUAAAGGCGCAAGGUUCUCCAUAUGGCACCACAGCUGUCUCCGCAACAUUGGGUUUGGACUAGCAUAAACAGCCGUUACCCAAGACACAAAAACAUUGUUCCUGCAAAUUUUAAAAUGGAUGAACUGCCUGUGAUUAAUUAAGACCUCCACCUCUAUAGAACUUCGCCAAAGAAGCCAAAUUCCUCCAGAGAAACCCACAGCUUCCACCCGGUGCGAGUAAUCAAAUCCACUUUUCUUUAUAAAUUCAUCGGCUUUCACCCCACUAGUACGAGGUUCCAUUAACACCACCAUCAAUGGGUUGUAAUUUUUAAUAAUAGUCCUAAACGAGCGCCUGAAUUCCCCCGAGGAUGCCCCUUGGACAUUCCAGAACAUAAUACUGACUGUCAUAAAAAAUAUAAGAAGAGAGAACAUGAGGCUACUGUUGCUGUCCAGAGACAUCAUCCAUCAAUGCCAACGGCGUUUCCUGAACCAUCGAAAUUUCAUCAUCAGUCAUCCCAUCUCCAUCCAUACCACUCAUAGGAACAUCUGGAUGGUUACAAACAUGUCCACCUUCCUUCACCCGAGAAGUGUUAUGGUUAUUAGGAGGGUCUGCUAAGGGUUGCGGAUCCGAUCCCUGCCUCUCUAUAUGAUCCGUGGCCACUUCCCUUACAUCUCCAUUAAGAAGUGUUGGGGGAGAACAAAAAACCACUGUGUGUUUAGUAGGAUCCAAGGUGGAUUCGAAAGAAACCACACGUUGGUUGCUAGAUACUUUCUGGGGGAAACUAUGUGAAUUGGAUUUUUGGUUGGUAUGGGGUAAGAGAGUUAUAUCCUCAUCUUUGAUACUUAAAUCACUAGGCUGGAAAUGGUUACUAGUAGGGACCACUGGAGCAUUUAGCUUUCUGCUCUGAUUCCUUAUUACCACGGUCUUAUUUUGCAGCUUUCGACGAGCUAAAAUCUGUACUGUGUUAUCUGUUUUGGCUGUAAAUGUAGGGUUUGAGGCGGAUAUGAAAGGCUGGCGUGAGGUGGAGGGGAAGUCUGUGCAAGCCUCUUGCACUUGGUGUCUUUUAAUAUACUCGCAAGCGCACGAAUCUAUUGUAGUAUAGAUCUAUGGUGACGAGUGUCGAUCCCACGAGGAGGUGGAUUUUAAUUAUAUAUAGAAUUAAUUUUGUAAAUGGGUAGUUGGAUUUAUGGUGGAAAUGAUUUGGAAUAUGCUAAUAAUUAAAUUAAAAUGGCGAGAAUAAAUUCUAAAAUUGGAAUUGAAAUGGCGAGAAUAAAUUGAAGAGAAUUCUAUUAAAAUGACGUACUUGGGUAUCUAGAUCCGUAUCAACAUGCAUCAUGGGCUAAAUAAUCCGUAUUAAUGCCAAUUAAAUCAUGAGGGGGGAAUCCACACCUCAUGAACCACGCUCUAAUCAAUAUGUUGCUAAGGGCUUAUCGUGCCAAAUAAUAAUAACCUUAUACUAGAAAGCCGGUGUAACCAAGGCGGUAUCUAGACAAGAUUAGUAUUAUUUGUCGACGAGAAGUCAAAACAUCCACAAAAACUAGAGGGGAAGAGAAAAUAAAUUUACCAAAUUAAGCCCAUGACACAUGUUGAGACUUCACCUUCAACCCAAGCUUGAAAGAAAAUUAGCCACUCAUAAUUGAACUAGGGGCAAAAUGGGAAUUUAUUAAAAUAUGAAGAAAAUACAAGAUGGAGAAGGAAUUACAGAAAAUGGAUCCCAAAAAUGGAUUCAGAGAUAUCAAAUUAGGGGGGGAGGCCCCCUUUUUAUAGAUACAUGGAGUAAAUCAUGGCCAUCGGAUUAAAAACAGUUUGGACGCUCAGGAUUGCGCCACGUCAUCAGUCAACAGUCCACGGUUUGACCACGCGGAUGAACAGUAACACGGUUUGACCCGACUUUGAACAGUAAUGCGGUUUGACCCGGAUGAACAGUAACGCGGUUUGGUUGAAACUAAUCCUGUGUGAUGCAUGCACCGUACGCGAGAUUUUUCGUCCACUGAUAUACUGCCACGUCACCAUCAACAGUACAUAAGAAUUUUAGCCCAACAGGAUCGUGACACCUCAUCAGUCAAUGCCACGUCAUCAAUCCGUCUAUGUGAACAGUGCCGUGAACAGUAACGUAUACAGUACUGUGUACGUGAAUAGUACCGUACAUGUGAAUAGUGUCAUUUUUCCUUUUAUGGUCCUCCUAAGGUUUUCGACCGUCCUGAGUUCAAAAGUGAUGUCCGUUUUGCCGUCUGAUCUCUCCUUUAUUGUGAAAUGACUAUAAUGCCCCUAGAAUACAUAAAUUACUUAAUUAAAAUAAAACACACGUAAUUAAAUCAUAAGAAUGUUAAAUACAUA
rnacentral:lncRNA from 1 species